ACGAGGGGUGCCGUUGAUGAAAUGCCCUAGCAAGAAGCAUGCUAAAGAUGUUGAGGAUCCUAAAGAAGACGACGCCAUGAUGAUUGUUUCUUCAUGAGGUUGCAUGGAUGGAAGCUGUAUGACCUGCCUUUGGUGCCGGGUAUCAGUGGAGGGGGUAGUGGAUUAUCAUGUCUGCUGGUCUGACCCUUCCUUUGCCUGUCUUUUAUUUAUUUUAGGAUUAUUAUGGCCCUCUAGACCCUGUUCUGGAGUUCCUUUCUUCAUUGUCUCACCGCCUACUCUACCCGGCUUGUCUAUUAUACAAGCUGUAUUAUUAAAACUCUGUAUGAACUAUAUGUGUUAUGUCGGUUGUAGUACCCACCUUCUGUUUUCUGUUGCUCGCGGUUGUCUUCUGUUAUGAUCAUAACCUGUGGAAAGUUGGGUGAGUAUUACGGACCUCUAGAACCUGUUCUCGAGUUCCUUUCUUCAUUGUCUGGAGACCCUGUUCUAGACAUGCCGGUGACGCAAAAUUUCCAUCUGGGUGGGUGCGGAAUUUAUCAAAAUUUGGAGCUAUGUAGGAAGUGUUUAUUGUGAUAUCAGAUUUGUUUGGUUGUGCUUGCAACCUGUCAUUUUUCUGUCAGAAUUGGUUAGCUGCUUUCUUAUUUUCUUGGCGUGUGCUAGUAGUCUGCCCGGCUGUGGCUGGGGGCUUGGGAUUUGACUUGAGUCAUCCUCUGUUUGUUUGUGCUUUCAAUUGCAAUCUUGUCUGUAAUAUCCUUUUCAGACCGCAUAGUUUCAACGUGAUGUGUAGCGUAACCAGUUCCCCUGAAGAGGGCACCCUUCAAGACGACUAAUAGGAAUUAUCCUAUUAAUGCCGAUUUGAUAAAUCUGGAAGGCUAUGAAACUUUGUUCCAGUUGAUCAUUAUAAGCACCAGGCGACUGAUACCUGCCAUAACAAAGGUCUAAUUGCAGGUUGAAGGCAAAGCAAACCUGACAUAUCCAACUGAGUUUAGAUAAUGUAUAGCCUUUUUGUGAAACUUGAUCUGCUUUGAUUAAUACUCCAUCUGAAUUGACUAGAUGACCUAAGUUUCCAUGAUUUGUACCAGAAUUCUGCCCAUAGAUCACCAUGAAUGGGGUCUUACCCAAAGCAAAAUGAAACGUUGUAUCAUGCUAGAAUUCCGCUAGUGCCAGCCAUUUGCGCUUUGAACAAUACAACGUAAAUAGGUCUUGAGACACCGAUUGAUGCGUUGUUUGGUCGUCCUGUCUGCGGAUCAUGCAUUGAGUUCAUCUUCAAUUCCUCUCCUUGCAAUCUGAAAUUGGCCUGCCACACUUUGCUUGUAAACACUGCGUCCUUGUCUGAAACCAUAGUUUCCGGCAUGCCGUGCAGUUUGUAUACGUGAUCUAUGUAUUGUUGAGCAAUGUGAUGUGCUGUGUAGGGAUGUGUAACGAAAGGAGCAUACUUGGAGAAAGUGUCGACUACUACCAGGAUGCAGUUAGCUUUUCCAGAUGUUGGCAAACCCUCGAUGAAAUCGAGCGACAUGUUUGUUAGGAAUGAGCAACAAGCUUUACUGAGGGCCAAGGACCAGUACAUAUACAGGUGUGGUAAUAGGAAAAAAAAACCUUAUACACUGGGGAUGUACACAAGUAACUAUACACAUCUAACAACGUUAUCCCUGCAACGCUUGGCAACUGCUAAGGGUGGAGCAGACCUGGGUAUGGAAAACGUUUGGUUUUGCUUUUUGACAGACUUGAGAAGUUUGGACAUGUGUCUUGAUGUGAGCUUUCAUCCCUCUCCAAGCAAAUAGCUGCUUAUUUUGGCUAGAGGUAGCUGGAAAUCCUGAAUGAGCUCCCACCGCACUAUCGUGCAUGCUCGACGACAUUUUGCACUACAAAUAGUACAAGAUUUCCUUCAUCCAAAAUUAGAAAGAAAAAGUUGUCUCGUGAUAACUUGCACCUUUUUUUUUUGCAAUGUAUACAUGGAGCAUGGAGUGCCCAUAUACAUACUUGAGUUUUCAGGUCAUACAUGUGCACAUACGUGUGAACUACUCGCAGGUAAACCUGAUCAGAAAGUGGAGCCCCGAGCCCAGCCACUAGUAGAAAAAGGGCCUAACACUACUAGGGAAAAGCCUAGUAGCAGCGCGGGUUUUGGAUGUAUCAGUAGCGCGGGUGCCCGUGCUACUAAUACGACGCCCACAGCUAACUUGUAGCAGUAGCGCGUGUAUAACCCUCGCUACUGCUACUUCUGAUAGUAGUAGCGUGGUUGAUGCCCGCGCUACUACUACUUAGCUGUAGGAGGAGGAACUCAUUGGUGGCCGCCGAAGUUGGAGCCGACGCUCGACGCUCGAAACCUAGAUGAAGCUGCUCGUGCUCGUCCUGCUGCUGCUUCUGCUGUCGCUCCUCCUCCUCCUCGUCCUCCCUCGCAUCGGAAUCUACAAAGCCCGUCAAAGACGCAAGCCAGUCAGCGACCCGGGCGCCGAAACAGAGGACGCGAUGCACGCAUCGCGUGGUGGGAGAUGAGUCGGCGGCGCGCCUCGCUGGAAGCAGAGCUCUCAAGGCCACCGUCCUUGGCCAGCUCCGCGGAGCCCCCGUUGGCUUCCCUCUAGACGUCGCCGCCGCCCUCCGUGCCGGACCCGGCGGCCCCAGCCUCCUCCUCCUGGACAUGGCCGCCGUCCGCGUCGGGAGAUGCCGAGGGAGAGGAGGUCACCGAAUUUGGGGACGGCGCCGAGGUGUGAGAUCGGCGGCGGCGGUGGGUGAGGAUGGGAAUCACGGGUGGGAGGAGAAGGGGAAUGGGAGAGAGGGGGAGUGUAAGGGAGAGAGGAGGGAUUCGGCCGAGGAUAUGGGGACUUCACCUACCUCGUACUUAGUAGUAGCGAGGGGUAUAAAACCGCGCUACUACUAUCAACUUAGUAGUAGCGCGUGUUUACACCCCUCGCUACUACUAUGGCAUGUCCCGGGGGGCACGGUAGAGACCGCUUAGUAGUAGCGAGGGUUAAAAACCCGCGCUACUACUAUCAACUUAGUAGUAGCGAGGUGUAAAAACACGCGCUACUAGUAAGUAGCAGUAGCGAGCGGUAUAAACCCUCGCUACUAGUAAGCAUCUGCCUAUAAGCUUUUUCCUAGUAGUGUAAUGUGAAGCUCAUUAGUCCCGGUUUAUAAUUGAAUCGACACUAAUGUGACCAUUAGUGCCGGUUCCAACGGCUAGGCGGGCGGCACUCAUUAGUACCGGUUCGUGACGAACCUUUAGUACCGGUUCGUGCCACAAACCGGUACUAAAGAGGUGGUGGCAGACUGUUGUCAGGCUGGGGCCCCACCAGCACCUUUAGUACCGGUUCAUGCCACGAACCGGGAAUAGAGAUGCACCUUUAGAACUGGUUGGUUAGACGAACCGGUAGUAAAGUUCAUCCUAUAUAAACCCCUUCGUCGAGCCCGAGCGCUCUGUUCUUCCCCUUUCCUCUCCUCUGUUUUCUUCCUCUUCCUCUCGAGCUCACCUCCAUUUUUGCCAAAAUUUGUGAAGAUUUGAAGGCACCCCAUCCAUCCAAGUGAUCACAAAGGUUAGCAAUUUUGUCCUUUAAUCUCUCAUUGCUAGAUUAGCUCUUGCAAUGCUCUAUAAGUAUAGUGAUUUGUGCAUUUUAUUUUGGGAGGAAUUAUGUGUGGUAGUAUUUGAUUUAUAUGCAAUUUGAGGUCAAAAUAACUCUUAGUUUGCAUAUGUAGGUGUGGUUUACUUAGUGCCUUCCCGUCUCCGUCCUAACCAUCCUCGAUCGCCCGCACCAUCCCGUCGCCGGCACCACCUUGUGGUGAGCCUCUUGUUCUUAUCUUUUUUAUAUAAAAAAAUCAUGUUUGUGUGAUUUAGAUAUAUAGUUACUUGUAUAAUUAUCUUACCCGUACGUUGUUUGUUAUACAUAGUGCCAUGGUUUUGGUAUCCGUCCCCGUCGGCCCGCGUCCGGGUUAUGAUUCGGAUGUGGUAUAUUAUCUUUUAUAACUAUUUGUUGCAUUUCAUGUUUAUGACAAAUUAUGCCCAUCAAGUUGACAUAGAUAUUUUUAUCUAGGAGGUAUGUGAACCGGAAAUUCCAACCGACCCUAUUGUCAAGAGGUUAAAUUUAGUUGAAAAUGAAAACGAGUAUUUGAAAGAAAAAUUGAAAAGAAUUGAGCAGGAGAAGAUGGAAUUGGAGUUGCAUGUUGCCGAUGUCGUCGUUGAUCACAAGAUCAAGAUAGAGAAAAUGCGCUUGAAGAUUAGAAAGAUUAGAAAAUAUGCCAUCGAUAUUGAGGCUUGGUAUCAUUAUGCUGUUGGAUCAAUUGUUACCUUAGUUGCGAUCUUGAUCGCAUUUGUUGUUGCCUUUAAAUGCUUUAGCUAGAGAGUUAUUUGUAUGUUAUUUUAUGAGAAUAAGUGUUGUAUGAACUUUAUGUAUGAACUUAUAUUAAUUUGGUCUAUUUGGUGCUGUGUAAUGAAGAUGAGUCGGCAAUGGAUGUACGAUGACCGAUGCUCUCCCCAGUUCGUUAAUGGCAUGCAUACUUUUCUGUUUGCGGCUGAGGCAAACAAGCGGGCGGAUGAUUGGAAUUACUCUAAGUCAAAAACCAUUCGCUGGCACCUGUUUGAGUCCGGUUUCAUGCCCCACUAUAACGUUUGGACCAAGCACCGAGAAAGAGGGGUUAUGAUGGAGGACAAUGAAGAAGAAGAGGACGGCGACAACUAUCCUGGCCAUGGGUUCCCUGAAUACGAUGGUACAACAAUGGGAGAAGAAGCUGAGCCGGCAAUGCGGAAAGAAGCUGAAGAAGAGGCAUCAGAUGAUCCCGCUGAUGAUCUAGGUCGGGCCAUUGCCGAUGCAAAGAGAAACUGCGCAAGGGAAAAGGAGAAGAAGAAGUUACAGCGCAUGUUAGAGGAUCACAAGAAAUUGUUGUACCCGAAUUGCGAAGCUGACAAGAAAAAGCUGGACACCACACUGGAAUUGCUACAAUGGAAGGCAGAGAAUGGUGUAUCUGACAAGGGAUUUGGAAAUUGUGGGGUAACGGAAGACCCGCAGUACGGAAUGACAACAGUGGAUCUCAACAAUCUUGCGUACACAGAUGAACCAUUCGUCCUAGCCAAUGAUGUGGCACAUGUUUUCUAUGUGAAGGACAUGUCUACCAAGGCGAGGAAAAGAAAAGAUAAGGAAGCGAAUACAUCAUACGAUGAGCCAAAGCACCACAUAGUUCUUUCAGGGAAAAGAAACAUCGUGGGAGUGGAUGACGAGACAGACAUGUUAGAAGAUUAUGAAAAGUUUCAUGAAAUUGCUCCCUUCACAGUGAAUAUUGAUCCGAGCAUCCAGUUAAAUGAUGAAGAUUGUCCAUGGUUACGGCGCAAAGGAACACACAUGAAGAAAAAGUUUCACACCCAAAGAUCCCACUAUGGGAUGUGACCGGCUUCACUGUCAUCACUUUCUUCUCUAGUGAGUUUCCGGACAUAUAUAUCUGAAAAGUCCCACUUUGGACAAACCGCAGGGAAUCUUUGUAAUAGUUAGGUUGCUUAUGUGUUUUGACAUUUGAAACAUGUACUGUUGUGCUUCGGACAAACGUGUACCUUUCUGACUUCAUUUGCUAUUUUUCAGCUCAUUUACUGAUUUUUUGAGGUAAAUGACCCUGAAAUUGAAAAGCACUACAAAAUGAACUCUGAAAAGGUUGAAAGUUGGCAUGGUAUCACCAUUUCACCCACAUAACUGUUGGGGAACGUAGAAUAAAUUCAAAAUUUUCUACGCAUCACCAAGAUCAAUCUAUGGAGAUUCUAGCAACAAGAGAGAGAGGGAGUGCAUCUUCAUACCCUUGAAGAUCGCUAAGCUGAAGCGUUACAAGAACGCGGUUGAUGGAGUCGUACUCGCGGCGAUUCAAAUCGCAGAAGAUCCGAUCUAGCGCCAAACGGACGGCGCCUCCGCGUUCAACACACGUACAGCCCGGGGACGUCUCCUCCUUCUUGAUCCGGCAAGGGGAGAGGAUAAGUUGAGGGAGAACUCCGACAGCAUGACGGCAUGGUGGUGGUGGAGCUUGUGGUAUUCCUGCAGGGCUUCGCCAAGCACUACGGAGGAGGAGGAGAUGUACGAGGAGGGAGGGGCUGCGCCAGGGGAAGGGUGUGGCUGCCCUCCCACCCCCUCACUAUAUAUAGGAGGAAGGGGAGAGGGGGUCGGCCCCUCUAGAUCCCAUCUAGAGGAGGGGGCGGUGGCCAGGGGAAACCCUAGAUGGGUUUGGGCGCCCCCACCCCUUAGGAAACUUCCCCCCAAGUCGGGAGGGGUAGCUGCCCUAGGGGAGGCGCCCCAACCUCUCCAGGUUACGUGAGAUGGGGUGGGAGGGGCGCUCAGCCCCUUAGUGGGCUGAUGUGCCCCCUCCCCUUGGCCCAUAAGGCCCCCCCAGCGCUUGCCGGGGCCUCUGAAACCCCUUUCAGACACGCUGGUCGUCACCCGGUACCCCCGGAACAAUUCCAGACUCUAAUACCCUUCGUCCAAUAUACCGAUCUUCACCUCCGGACCAUUCCGGAGUUCCUCAUCACGUCCGGGAUCUCAUCCGGGACUAAGAACAACCUUCGGUAACCAUAUACUAUUUCCCAUAAGAACUCUAGCGUCAUUGAACCUUAAGUGUGUAGACCCUAUGGGUUCGGGUAUCAUGCAGACAUGACCGAGACGUUCUCUAGCCAAUAACCAACAGUGGGAUCUGGAUACCCAUGUUGGCUCCCACAUGUUCCACGAUGAUCUCAUCGGAUGAAGCACGAUGUAGGGGAUUCAAUCAAUCCCAUAUACAAUCCCCUUUGUCAAUCGGUAUGUUACUUGCCCGAGAUUCGAUCGUCGGUAUCCCAAUACAUCGUUCAAUCUCGUUACCGGCAAGUCACUUUACUCGUUGCGUAAUGCAUGAUCCCAUGACUAACUACUUAGUCACAUUGAGCUCAUUAUGAUGAUGCAUUACCGAGUGGGCCCAGAGAUACCUCUCCGUCAUACGGAGUGACAAAUUCCAGUCUCGAUUCGUGCCAACCCAACAAACACUUUCGGAGAUACCUGUAGUGCACCUUUUGUUGGGGAACAUAGCAAUUUCAAAAAAAUUCCUACGCACACGCAAGAUCAUGGUGAUGCACAACAACGAGAGGGGAGAGUGUGUCCACGAAGAUCUUUAUCGGUCAAACCGCAAAACAACAUACGUUGUUCCCUUUGUCAUCGGUAUGUUACUUGCCUGAGAUUCGAUCGUCGGUAUCUCAAUACCUAGUUCAAUCUCGUUACCAGCAAGUCUCUUUACUCGUUCCGUAAUACAUCAUCCCGCAACUAACUAAUUAGUUGCAAUGCUUGCAAGGCUUAUAGUGAUGUGCAUUACCGAGUGGGCCCAGAGAUACCUCUCCGACAAUCAGAGUGACAAAUCCUGAUCUCGAAAUACGCCAACCCAACAUGUACCUUCGGAGACACCUGUAGAGCUCCUUUAUAAUCACCCAGUUACGUUGUGACGUUUGGUAGCACACAAAGUGUUCCUCCGGUAAACGGGAGUUGCAUAAUCUCAUAGUCAUAGGAACAUGUAUAAGUCAUGAAGAAAGCAAUAGCAACAUACUAAACGAUCAAGUGCUAAGCUAACGGAAUGGGUCAAGUCAAUCACAUCAUUCUCCUAAUGAUGUGAUCCCGUUAAUCAAAUGACAACUCUUUUGUCCAUGGCUAGGAAACAUAACCAUCUUUGAUAAACGAGCUAGUCAAGUAGAGGCAUACUAGUGACACUAUGUUUGUCUGUGUAUUCACACAUGUAUUAUGUUUCCGGUUAAUACAAUUCUAGCAUGAAUAAUAAACAUUUAUCAUGAUAUAAGGAAAUAAAUAAUAACUUUAUUAUUGCCUCUAGGGCAUAUUUACUUCAGUCUCCCACUUGCACUAGAGUCAAUAAUCUUGUUCACAUGAGCAUGUGAUUCAACACCAAUAUUCACAUCUGUAUGUCAUUAAUACCCAUGGUUCACAUCGUCAUGUGAUCAACACCCAAAGGGUUUACUAGAGUCAAUAAUCUAGUUCACAUUGCUAUGUGAUUAACACCCAAAAGAGUACUAAGGUAUGAUCAUGUUUUGCUCGUGAGAGAAGUUUAGUCAACGGGUCUGUCACAUUCAGAGCCGUAUGUAUUUUGCAAAUAUUCUAUGUCUACAAUGCUCUGCACGGAGCUACUCUAGCUCAUUUCUCCCACUUUCAAUAUGUAUCCAGAUUGAGACUUAGAGUCAUCUGGAUCAGUGUUAAAGUUUGCACCGAUGUAACUUUUACGACGAACUCUUUUAUCACCUCCAUGAUCGAGAAACAUCUCCUUAGUCCUCACUAAGGAUAUUCUUGACCGCUGUCCAAUGAUCUACUAUUAGAUCAAAAUUGUAUUCCUUUGCCAAACUCAGAGCAAGGUAUACAAUAGGUCUGGUACACAGCAUAGCAUACUUUAUAGAACCUAUGACUGAGGCAUAGGGAAUGACUUUUCAUUCUCUUUCUAUUUUCUGCCGUGGUCGGGAUUUGAGUCUUACUCAAUUUCACACCUUGCAACACAGGCAAGAACUCCUUCUUUGACUGUUCCAUUUUGAACUACUUCAAAAUCUUAUCAAGGUAUGUACUCAUUGAAAAAACUUAUCAAGCGUCUUGAUCUAUCUAUAUAGAUCUUGAUGCUCAAUGUGUAAGCAGCUUCACCGAGGUCUUUCUUUGAAAGACUCCUUUCAAACACUCCUUUAUUCUUUCCAGAAAAUUCUACAUCAUUUCCAAUUAAUUAUAUGUCAUUCACAUAUACUUAUCAGAAAGGGUGUAGUGCUCCCACUCACUUUCUUGUAAAUACAGGCCUUUCCAAAAGUCUGUAUAAAACCAUAUGCUUUGAUCAACUCAUCAAAGCGUAUAUUCCAACUCCGAGAUGUUUGCACCAGUCCAUUGAUGGAUCGCUGGAGCUUGCACAUUCUGUUAGCACCUUUAGGAUUAACAAAACCUUCUGGUUGCAUCAUAUACAACUCUUCUUUAGAAGAUCCAUUAAGGAAUGCAGUUUUGACAUCCACUUGCCAGAUUUCAUAAAAUGUGGCAAUUGCUAACAUGAUUCGGACAGACUUAAGCAUCGAUACGAGUGAGAAAAUCUCAUCGUAUUCAACACCUUGAACUUGUCGAAAACCUUUCGCAACAAGUCGAGCUUAGUAGAUAUUAACACUACUAUCAGUGUCCGUCUUCCUCUUGAAGAUCCGUUUAUGUAACAUGGCUUGCUGAUCAUCGAGCAAGUCAAUCAAAGUCCAUACUUUGUUCUCAUACAUGGAUCAUAUCUCAGAUUUUAUGGCCUCAAGCCAUUUCGCGGAAUCUGGAUUCAUCAUCGCUUCCUCAUAGUUCGUAGGUUCAUCAUGGUCUAGUAACAUGACUUCCAAAACAUGAUUACCGUACCACUCUGGUGCGGAUCUUACUCUGGAAGAUCUACAAAUUUUUGGUAGUAACUUGAUCUGAAGUUUCAUGAUCAUCAUCAUUAGCUUCCUCACUAAUUGGUGUAGGAAUCACUAGAACUAAUUUCAGUGAUGAACUACUUUCCAAUUCGGGAGAAGGUACAAUUACCUUAUCAAGCUCUACUUUCCUCCCACCCAUUUCUUUCGAGAGAAACUUCUUCUCUAGAAAGGAUCCAUCUUAGCAACGAAUAACUUGCCUUCGGAUCUGUGAUAGAAGGUGUACCCAAUAGUUACCUUUGGGUAUUCUAUGAAGAUGCACUGCUCUGAUUUGGGUUCGAGCUUAUCAGGUUGAAACUUUUUCACAUAAGCAUCACAACCCCAAAAUUUAAGAAACGACAACUUUGGUUUCUUGCCAAACCACAGUUAAUAAGGCGUCGUCUCAAUGGAUUUUUGAUGGUGUUCUAUUUAAAGUGAAUGCAGCUGUCUCUAAUGCAUAACCCCAUAAUGAUAGUGGUAAAUAGAUAAGAGACAUCAUAGAUCGCACCAUAUCCAAUAAAGUGCGGUUACGAUGUUCGGACACACCAUAACGCUGUGGUGUUCCAUGUGGCGUGAGCUGUGAAACUAUUCCACAUUGUUUUAUAUAAAGGCCAAACUCAUAACUCAAAUAUUCUUCUCCACGAUCAGAUCGUAGGAACUUUAUUUUCUUGUUACGAUGAUUCUUCACUUCACUCUGAAUUUCUUUGAACAUUUCAAAUGUUUCAGACUUGUGUUUUAUUAAGUAGAUAUACCCAUAUCUGCUCAAAUCAUCUGUGAAGGUCAGAAAAUAACGAUAUUCGCCACGAGCAUCAACACUCAUUGGAUCGCAUACAUCGGUAUGUAUUAUUUCCAAUAAAUCAGUAGCUCGUUCCAUUGUUCCGUAGAACGGAGUUUUAGUCAUCUUGCCCAAAAGGCACGGUUCGCAAGUACCAAAUGAACCAUAAUCAACUGAUUCCAGAAGUCCAUCAGUAUAGAGUUUCUUCAUGCGCUUUACACCAAUAUGACCCAAACGGCAGUGCCACAAAUAAGUUGCACUAUCAUUAUCAACUUUGCAUCUUUUGGCAUCAAUAUUAUGAAUAUGUGUAUCACUAUGAUCGAGAUCCAACAAACUAUUUUCAUUGGGUGUAUGACCAUUGAAGGCUUUAUUCAUGUAAACAGAACAACAAUUAUUCUCUGACUUUAAAUUAAUAACCGUAUUGCAAUAAACAUGAUCAAAUCAUAUUCAUGCUCAACGCAAACGCCAAAUAACAUUUAUUUAUGUUCUACACUAAUCUCGAAAGUGUAGGGAGAGUGUGAUGAUGAUCAUAUCAAUCUUGGAACUACUUCUAACACACAUUGUCACUUCACCCUCAACUAGUCUCUGUUUAUUCUGUAACUCAUGUUUCGAGUUACUAAUAUUUAGCAACAGAACAAGUAUCAAAUACUCAGGGGCUACUAUAAACACUAGUAAAGUACACAUCAAUAACAUGUAUAUCAAAUAUACUCUUGUUCACUUUGCCAUCCUUCUUAUCCACCAAAUAUUCAGGGCAUUUCCGCUUCUAGUGACCAUUUCCUUUGCAGUAUAAUCACUCAGUUUCAGGCUUUGGUCCAGCUUUGGGCUUCUUCGUGGGAGUGACAACUUGCUUGCCAUUCUACUUGAAGUUCCCUUUCUUUUCCUUUGCCCUUUUCUUGAAACUAGUGGUCUUGUCAAUCAUCAACACUUGAUGCUCUUUUCUUGAUUUCUACCUUCGUCGAUUUCAGCAUCACGAAGAGCUCGGGAAUCGUUUACGUCAUCCCUUGCAUUAUAGUUCAUCAUGAAGUUCCAGUAAUUUGGUGAUGGUGACCAGAGAACUCUGCCAAUCACUAUCUUAUCUGGAAGAUUAACUCCCACUUGAUUCAAGCGAUUGUAGUACUGAGACAAUCUAAGUACUUGCUCACUAGUUGAGCAAUUCUCCUCCAUCUUUUAGGCGAAGUAUUUGUCAGAGUCUCAUACCUCUUGACACGGGCAUGAGUCCGAAAUACCAAUUUCAUCUCUUGAAACAUCUUAUAUGUUCCAUGACGUUUCAAAAACGUUUUUGUAGUCCCGGUUCUAAGCCAUAAAGCAUGGUGCACAAAACUAUCAAGUAGUCAUCAUAUUGAGCUAGCCAAACGUUCAUAACGUCUGCAUCUGCUCCUGCAAUAGGUCUGUCACCUAGCGGUGCAUCAAGGACAUAAUUCUUCUGUGCAGCAAUGAGGAUAAACCUCAAAUCACGGACCAAGUCCGCAUCAUUGCUACUAAUAUUUUUCAACUUAGUUUUUCUCUAGGAACACAUAUAAAAACAUAGGGAAGCAACAACGCGAGCUAUUGAUCUACAAAAAAAUUUGCAAAAUACUACCAGGACUAAGUUCAUGAUAAAUUAAAGUUCAAUUAAUCAUAUUACUUAAGAACUCCCACUUAGACAGACAUCUCUCUAGUCAUCUAAGUGAUCACGUGAUCCAAAUCAACUAAACCAUGUCCGAUCAUCACGUGAGAUGGAGUAGUUUUAAAUGGUGAACAUCACUAUGUUGAUCAUAUCUACUAUAUGAUUCACGUUCGACCUUUCGGUCUCCGUGUUCCGAGGCCAUAUCUGUAUAUGCUAGGCUCGUCAAGUUUAACCUGAGUAUUCCGUGCGCAACUGUUUUGCACCCUGUAUGUGUAUCUAGUGCCCCUUAGUGAUUUUGGUGUAUUGAAGACUUAUAGGUUAAGGGACUGAUGCGUUUGUGAGUGUACACAGGUCUAUAAUUCUAUGAGGAGUUUGAUAUUUACAGAUAAAGUCGACCCCUAAAAAUUAAGUUCUUUGACUGAAGACUUUGGAAUUCUGAAGACUUUAUGAAGACUUUCAAAGAGAAGAAAUUGGUGUGACCUUGAAGACUUGGUUUUCAUUCGAGGAACAUGAAGCGCGAAGACUUUUGUUUUCAUAGUUUCAUUUUCUCUUUCUUGAGUCAUAGGAAACACUGUACUGUUAAAGGGGGCCGAGGAAAUACUAAGGAAAAAUUUCCAUGUGAUGCUCAACUCAAAAUCCUACACCUACCAAUCCCUUCGAGUGAAGCCAUUGGAAAUCUCGCACAGUUUAGUCAUAUUCUUCAGUGACAGAGAUGAAGUUCUUCUGGUCUCUGAGGAAUUUGUUCUAACUGAAGAGUUAGGAAUUCGCCAGUGCGGAUUGCCUACCAACUGAGGAACAUGAUAGCCCUGAGGAAUUCGAACCUCAAAUAUUCCGACCGUUGCUGUGCUACGCGUCAGCUGUCCCAAAAUAUCUACCCACCUAACGGUCAUAUCAGACAAGGGCAUUUAUGUCUUAUCAUGUCGGGCUGCUCCCUAGGCUAUAAAUAGCCGCCCCCUACAAUCACUAGUUGGUUGGCUGCUCCGAGAGAAACUGACAGUUGUCAUUUGAGAGCAACCCAUCCUCCGAGGACUUUGAGUGAAAAUCAUCAAGUGAGGAGAUCCCAAACCCAAACCUACAAAACCCCAAGUGAUUGAGCAUCACUGAAGAGGUUGAUCCUGCGUGGAUCCGACGCUUGUUUCCUUUGAAGACUGUGCUUCUUCCAGAUGGUUAGGCGUCAAGGUCUAGAGCAUCCAAGAGGAAUUGUGGAUCGCCGAGUGACCGAGUUUGUGAAGGUUCGGAUGUCACCUGAAGACAUACCACAAGUGAUUGGGCGAGGUCUGUGUGACUUUAGCUCAAGGAGAAUACGGUGAGGACUGUGUGUCCGGGACUGGGUGUCCUCGAGUUUAAAUACUCAGCCACUCCAACCAGAUGUACAACCGAGACAUCAGUUGGAACGGGUCUACAAAAUCAUUGUCUUCACCAAGCUAACUGGUUCUAUUUCCUCAACUCUUUCAUUUCCUCAUGUUGUUGUUGUGUGCUUGUUCAUAUCUGUUUGAAGACAUUGACUGAAGACUUUCUCAAUUUCCUCAGCUCUAUUUCUUCAGUCUGUCCGUCUUCUUCUCUUGUUAUCAUGUGUUUACGCUUUCUGUACUCUUUGCUUGUCUUCAUUUCAUCAUGAUGACUAUGCUUGUGUUCUGUUAUGUUCCUUUCUGAGUACUUAUUCCGCUGCAAGUAGUUCUUCAUUUAGGAAUUUCCUCACCAGCAAAUUCCUCAGUGAAGAAUUCAUAAAAAUCGCAUAUUCACCCCCUCUAGUCUAUAUAACGCACUUUCAAUUGGUAUCAGAGCAAGGUACUCCAUUGUUCUGUGUGAUUUUGGUUUAACCACCUGGAGUUCUAAUUAUGUUGACUGCAGGACCAAGGAACGUUUCCUGCCCCAUCUUUGACGGUCAUGAGUAUCCUCGGUGGAAGGCCAUGAUGAAAAAGCGACUUAUGGCUAUGGACAUCGAACUGUGGAUCGUCACCGCGAUCGGUCUUACCGAUAUAUGCAAGAUGGCUGAGGCUGAUGACAUUCGCAAGUACACACUACUUAACCUGAUAGCGAAGGAUGUCAUUUGCUCCAGUCUGUCCCGAAAUCAGUUCAGGAACGUCAUGCAUCUCAAUCACGCGAAGCUAAUCUGGGACCGUCUCUCUGAGGUCUAUGAAGGUCAUUGAACUCGUCAUGAUCCUUGGUUUGAGGAUUACAAGGAAUCUCUCAAUGCGAUGACAUUCCAACCAGAAUCAUUAUCAUCUACCCCCUGCCUUAUGGCAAACAGUGCUAAGGUAACCGAAUGCUACCUAUCCAAGUCUAGUGAUGAUGAAUCUGGCGAUGAAUUUGGACCUAGCUAUGUUAAACUUGCUUCCCUUGCCACUAAACAACAAAGAGCUUUGGAAAAAGUUCAAUACAUGCUAAAUAAGAGCGAUGAUAUGUUGGGUGAAGAAAUGGAUCAGUCAAAAGCAUUGGCUGAAAGUCUUCAGGGACUCCAUUCGAAGUUUGACGACCUUCAAAGUUAUCAUAAAACUCUCUUAUCUAAUCACGAGAAGCUUUCUUAUGAUUUUCUUCAAAGAAAGCAAGAUCUUGAGAAGCUAAGAGUGAGUUAUGAAGAUCUUUAGAAGGAGCGCGAUUCAUUACUUGCUCAACAAAUCAGCGCUACUCAGGAAGAAUUUGUUCCUCCAUGUCUAAAGUGCAUUGAACGUGAAUCUGCUAAUUCUUCACCUGAAUGUUCAAAUGCUUCAAAUUUUACAAAUUCUUCACCUGUCUCUGCUAUCACUAAUUCCUCAUCUGAGGACAUUGCUAGUACUGCUAAUGAUGCAGGGCUGAAGGAAUUGUACAAGACAUGCAUGUACAAAAGCCUCAAAGGGCAUCAGAUUCUUUGUGAUGUGCUCAAAAAGCAGAUCCUCAACAGAAACCCUAGGAAAGAGGGUAUUGCCUUUGAGAGGAAACUCAAUGCUGAUGGAACAUAUUGGAAACCUAAGCAGUACCCCAAAACCUCAUGGGUUGCUGCAAAGGGACCUCCAGUUGAUCCAUCUAACUUAUCUGGCUUUACAUGUGAAUCUUCUCAUUCUUCUGAUGAGUCAUUUGACUCCAACUAUAAACUGUUCAAAAAUGAGAAUGGUGAAGUAUUUGCUAGAUAUGUUGGCACUAACUGCAGGAAUGGUUCACCUAUGAAGAAAAUCUGGGUUCCCAAAAGUUAUCUUGAAAGUCUUCAGGUAAAUGUCCUCAUGACACCACCAAUGAAGAACAGGAACCCCAGAUCUAAUUCUUCAUAUGGACCUAAUUCUUCACGUGGAUCAAAUACCUCAAAUGGAUCAAAGUCCUCAUAUGAUCAUCAUCGCGCUAACCCUUAUGUUUCGCAGGGUAGAGCUAAGGGCUAUGAAUAUGCGCAUUAUUCUUCAAAUCAUUAUGUUCAUAAGUCCUCGAAGAAUUUCUCUGCUUACUCAUAUGCUUACCCUAACCCCUCUUAUAUGAAACGAAGCGGACUAGCUUCUAUCCCACCAUUCUCAUAUGGUGCUCGCUAAGUGAUGAAUUCUUUGCCACCCCUUCAGAUGUGGGUGGUGAAGAAAAAGAACUAAUCUCUUAUGCAGGCUCAGGUCUCCAGACGUGCUUAAAUCGUCUGAAGAAUUUGCUGGAGACCUGAACAUUGCCUGAAAGGACGCAGGCUAAUCAUGAAGAAAUGAAUUUUUUCCAUUUCUCACGUCCUCAUACUGAUUUACAUGUGCUAUUGCUUGAUGAAAUUGAACUGAUGAAAUUGAUGUCAUAUUCUUCACUGAUGAAGUAUAUGAGUUAGUAAGAUGCACUAAUUCAUCUGCAGGAUGAUCAGCCCAAAGCAAACGAGUGGGUCCUCGAUAGUGGUUGUACAAAUCACAUGACGGGUGACAAGAAUCUAUUGAUGGAUGCUCCUUUAUCACCGUCACAUCUGAAGCAUAUCAUCUUCGCUGACAAAGGCAAAAGUCAGGUAUUGGGUCUAGGUAAGGUUGCGAUCUCAAAGGAUCGACGCAUGGACAAAGUCAUGCUUGUCGAGUCCUUAGGAUAUAACCUCAUGUCUGUCUCAAUGCUUUGUGAUCUCGAUAUGGUUGUUGUCUUUGGAAGAUAUUGUUCUGUUGUGAUCAUGGAAGCUGACCACUCCAAAGUCUUCGAAGGCUUUAGGAGAGGAGAUCUGUAUAUUGUUGAUUUCUCUACAGGACCACAACCAGCCGUGUGCUUACUUGCAAAAGCUUCAGAAGGCUGGCUAUGGCAUCGACGACUUGGUCAUGCUGGCAUGAGGAACUUGAACACACUUCAGAAGAAGAAGCAUGUCAUUGGCAUUGAGAAUGUCAAAUUCCUCAAGGAUCACUUAUGCGGAGCUUGUGAAGCUGGAAAGAUGACAAAGGCCAAGCAUCCAGCGAAGAUUAUCAUGACCACCACUCGACCAUUUGAAUUGCUUCACAUGGAUCUCUUUGGUCCUAAUCAUUAUUCUGCUGUUUCAAAUGAUGCAUCUCUAUAUGGCUUUGUUAUUGUUGAUGACUAUUCUCGUUAUACAUGGGUACACAUUGUCACUUACAAACAUGAAGUACAGGAAAUCUUCAAACGAUUUUCCUCGAGGGCUUCAACCAACUUUGGUGUGAAGAUCAAGCACAUCAGAACUGACAAUGGAACUGAGUUCAAGAAUUCCGGUCUUGAUGGCUAUCUUGAUGAACUUGGUAUUACUCAUGAGUUAUCUGCUCCUUAUACUCCUCAGCAGAAUGGCGUCGUGGAGUGCAAGAACAGAACCCUCGCUGAAAUUGCUCGCACUAUGCUUGAUGAAUACAAGACGCCUCGUCGCUUCUGGAUUGAGGCAAUUGAUACUGUGUGCCACGUCAUCAACAUGGUAUAUCUUCACAAAUUCUUCAAGAAAACUGCUUAUGAACUCCUCACUAACAAAAAGCCAAAUGUGAGUUAUUUCAAAGUCUUUGGUGCUAAAUUGUUGGAUUAGAGAUCCUCAUCACACAUCCAAAUUCUCACCGAAAGCACAUGAAGGUUUUAUGCUUGGUUAUGGAAAGGACUCGCACACCUACAGAGUCUUCAACAACGUUCUUCACAAAGUUCUUGAAACUGUAGAUGUGCGGUUCAAUGAAACUAAUGGCUCGCAAAGGGAGCACCUACCUUCUGUGAUAGAUGAACCAGCACCUGAAGAUUCUAUCAAGUUCAAGGCUACUGAGGAUGUCAUUCCUACCAAAGAAUCUGCUGAAGAAUUCAUUCCUGAUCGUGAUGAUUACCGAGAUGGCGCACCUGAAGAAAAUGGUGCUGAAGAAAAAUGCUUCUGAAGGGAAUGCUGAUCAAAUUCCUUGAAGACAACCCACUCAUCCUCGCAUCGCUAAUGAAGUGCAAAUUAAGAAGAUCAUUGAUGACAUUGAAGCACUAGGUCCUCUCACUCGCUCAAAAUCUUCAAAUUUAUCUAACUUUUGUGGGCACUUUGCUUUUGUCUCUAUCGUAGAGCCCACUAAGGUAGAUGAAGCAUUUCUGGAGCCUGAGUGGAUUCAGGCUAUGCAAGAAGAAUUACAUCAGUUCGAGCUCAACAAUGUCUGGGAACUGGUCAAACGUCCAGAUCCUCGCGAGCACAACAUCAUUGGCACAAAGUGGAUCUACCGCAACAAGCAAGACAAAAAUGGCCUUGUGGUGAGGAAUAAGGCACGGCUUGUAGCUCAAGGCUACACACAGGUUGAAGGAAUUGAUUUCGAUGAAACUUUUGCACCUGUUGCUAGACUUGAGGCUAUUCGCAUCUUACUUGCUUACGCUAACCAUCAUAAUAUUAUCUUACAACAAAUGGAUGUGAAAAGUGCAUUCCUCAAUGGUAAGAUUGAGGAAGAAGUAUAUGUCGCUCAGCCCCCAGGAUUUGAAGAUCCAAAGAAUCCCGACAAAGUCUUCAGACUCAACGAGGCCCUGUAUGGCCUCAAGCAAGCCCCUCGGGCGUGGUAUGACAUGUUGAAGGAAUUCUUCGUGAAGAAUGGCUUCAAACCCGGUUCACUUGAUCCAACUCUUUUCACAAAAUCCUAUGAUGGUGAAUUGUUUGUGUGCCAAAUAUAUGUUGAUGAUAUUGUCUUUGGCUGUACUGAGCAACGUUAUAGUGAUGAAUUUGCCUAUGUGAUGAGUGAAGAAUAUCAAAUGUCUAUGAUGGGAGAGUUGAAAUUCUUUUUAGGUCUUCAAAUUCGUCAACAGCGCAAUGGUAUAUUCAUAUCGCAGGAGAAAUACCUCAAAGAAGUAUUGAGGAAAUUCGUCAUGCAAGAUUGCAAAGAGGUCAAAAUUCCAAUGCCCACAAAUGGCCAUCUAUGCACUGAUGAAAAUGGUCAAGACUUCAUCAAAAGGUAUACCGCUCCAUGAUUGGAUCUUUAUUGUACCUAUGUGCAUCUAGGCCAGAUAUUAUGCUUAGUGUUUGCAUGUGUGCCCGAUUUCAAGCUACUCCGAAGGAAUCACACCAUAAGGCUGUGAAGCAUAUUCUUCGAUAUCUAGCUCACACACCAACACUUGGAUUAUGGUAUCCCAAGGGCUCUUCAUUUGAUCUCGUUGGAUAUUCAGAUUCUGACUAUGCUGGCGAUCGCAUGGACCGCAAGUCAAUGUCAAGCACAUGCCAUUUCCUCGGACGAUCUUUGAUCUGUUGGUCCUCGAAGAAACAGAACUACGUAUCUCUCUCCACUGCAGAAGCUGAGUACAUUGCUGUUGGAUCGUGCUGUGCUCAAUUACUAUGGAUGAAGCAAACACUCAAGGACUACGGCAUCAACGUGAAGAAUGUGCCUCUCUACUGUGACAAUGAGAGCGCAAUCAAGAUUUCUCGCAACCCAGUUCAGCACUCGAAGACAAAGCACAUUUAGAUUCGUCAUCAUUUUCGUCGCGAUCAUGUGUUGAAGGGCGAUAUCUCCAUCUGCCAUGCAAGAACUGAAGAUCAGCUGGCCGAUAUUUUCACUAAGCCCUUGGAUGAGAAGAGAUUUAGCAAGUUGCAGUGUGAGCUAAAUAUCGUAGAAUCGUCGAAUGUUCUCUGAAAUGGACACUCAUCCUAACACUUAUGCUGACUUGAUGACUUAGAUGUGCAACACACGAAGUAACGUUUUACUUCAAUCAAUGAAGACUAACCCUCUAAGUGUGAAGAAAUUAAUGGAGAAAUUGACUCUCAGAGCCCUACGACAAUUGUACGUGGUGUCUGAAGCCAACUUUCUUAUACGGUGGGUUACGUCACCACAAAAGUUGAAAAUCUUCAAUUUGAGUUUUUCUUCAGUUUUUGAAAUUCCUCAGUUUCUUUCAAAUUCUUCAACUUGCAUUGACUUCACUAUUUCCGUCGUUUGUCUUCAGUUGAAUAUAUAUAUAUAUAUAUAUAUAUAUAUAUAUAUAUAUAUGAGUUUAUGUCCUCUACAACAUUCACUUAUUGCUAAUUCUUCAAAUUGACUUUUUCGCUAAGUGAAUGUGAUCGGACCCUUCCCCCUCUAUGCUAAACUCAACCCAAUCUAUUCACAAAUUCUUCAGGUGCGUUCUGAUUUGAAACUCGUUCAACAUCUUCACUGUGUCCUUGACAGCUGAAGAAAUUGUGAACGGUAAAAUUAAAACUGAUCUUAUCUAAAUUUUCAGCUUUGCCGCUCAAACCAUUCCGCUUCUCAUGACAAAUACUUAUCUAUUCACCCACGAUCCUACACGAUCGCCACCUCACAGUACGUGGGUGACACAUGUCACGCGAAUGAGAAGAGCCAGGGGCAGGUUCGUCCGAAAUCCUCGGGCGCACAGUUUUCACUGCCGCUAUAAAUACCCCCGCCUCUUCCUCACUUCGCUUUUACUCCGCUCGACCUCUCUCCCGCUCGAUCUUCCCAAACCCUAGCGCCGCCGCUACUUCAUCGUCUCCGGUGAGGAAGAGCUUCACUGCCUCGACCUUGUCGCCGUCGUACUCGUGCCAGUUGCGGAUUUCUUCACUCCGCAGCCGCCGUAGUUGUCUUCCUCCGCAAAGUUAGGGCGUGGAAGAUCUGAACGGACGAACUUCACUUCAACACUUCCCAAUACGUCGUGUUCUUCACUUCGGGUAAUUAAAAGUUACUUUUAUUGCCCGCCUUGAUUCAUGUGUUAUCCUUAAAAAUCUUCAAAGGUGUUUAUUCUUCAAAUCUUCACACACUAAAACACCUCACAUGUUAUCUGUUCUUGAUUCAUUUCUCUAAGCAAUGUUUUUCUUCAAGAUUCCUCAAUUGAGUGGAUUUUCAAAUCCGUACAACUCUGGAACCUGAGAUAAAGAACGCUUAGCGAAAUUCUUCAAGACUCAUCAGUCAAAUUCCUCGAACCUUCUCUUUUUGAAAAUCAUCUGAGAACGCGUAUGACCUCUCCAAAUUCCUCGCAACUAUACUCUGUUCACAGGUACAAAUGUCUGCUACUGAAUCACUAGGUUCUCAUCAACUUAACUCAUUUGCAGUGUUCCUCAAAGAAAAGUUGCAUACAUCUUCAGAAACUUCAAUUGUCAAUCCUCAGCCGAAGAAAAUGGCUGACGGCAAGAAGCCACAAAAGGGAGGAAAAAGGCCUGAGGUCAACACAGCGUUUGAAAUCCCUGAGGAUAUAUAUGCUGGAUACUGCACUCCAGAUGAGGCAAAGUUUGGCAAGGAGAACAAGAAUCAGCGCAAAGUGCGCAUACAGCGUAUUGAAAGGAGAUGGGCACGAGAAUGGAGGGAGUACAGGUAUGUUACUCGCAAGUACAUGAAGAAAUUCACGCUCAACCCUCCAUGCUCAAGACCUCCAUUGAGGCCUGGCCAACUGGCAGAUCUCACCAGCCUCAAGCGCGGUGAGGACUAUGCUGCUGAAUGGGCUAGGCGCCAGGCCAAACUAGCCAAGCAAGCAAAAGAAGCAGUGAGAAAAUUCAAUGAAGAUUCUGCUGCUGCUGCUAACACUGAUGAGGACUCUGGUAGUAAGCCCAGGAAGGCUAUGCCAAAGAAGCCUGCCCACAAGUCCAGUGCUUCUCCUUCAAUGCCCUCACGGCCAGAUUCUUCAAAGCCCUCACGGCCAAUUCCUCAGUCUGCUCCUCCUCCUCCAAAGUCCUCAGUACCUCCGACAAAGUCUUCGGCUGCUCCUACAAAAUCUUCGGCGCCUGUGCAUCUUGCCACGUGCCAAAGGACUCAAGGCAUCUCUAUUGCCUCAGGAGCAUCUGCUAGCUCCACUGCUGCACCAAGUUCCUCAGCAGGACUAUCUCUGCUGAAGAAAAAGGCCACUGCUGGACGAGGCCUUCGCCCAAGUCCUCACAAGAAGAAGGUUGCCUUCCAAAUCCCCUCUGAUGAAGAUGAGGCUGAUGAUGAUGAACUUGCUGAAAUCAUCAGGGCUAGGCAAGCCAAGGCCGGUAGAGCCAAAGGCAACAAUGUGCCACUACUUUUGGAUCCCAAGUUGAUCCUUGACUUCAUUGACCUAUAGCACAAGGACCCCACUACACCUUUGCCGGAGAUGAAUCUCAGUCCUGGUCAAAGUCAUGUUCUGACCCACUUCCUCGAGGAAGAGAAGUGGAAGUAUCAAGAAGGAAGAAGGCUGAAGAAAGCGCAAUACAAGAAACAACGCUUCCUCAAGGACAAUGUCCUCACUCUCACUCCAGAACAACUCAUUGCUGUGCAAGCUGAGAUCAAGAAACUGAGUGAUGAUUUCGAUCGGUACCAUGCUGAUUGGAAGGGAGCAAAGGUUCGUUUCGUCAAUCUGACGAAGACUUUCUCUUCAACUGCCACUGCUCCGGUGCAGGCUGAAAUUCCUCAAGCUGAAGAAUCUGCCUAGCCAACUGAGGAACAUGCCAGCACUGCUGAUGUCAGUAUGGCUGCUAAAGAAAGUGAGAAUACCAGGGCUGAUGACUCCAUUCCAGCCGCUGAUGAUAUUGCCAGGGCAUCCACUAGUGAUGUGCCAGGAAAAUGAACAAGCCAGGGCAACUGAAACAGUUGAGCCUGAAGAAAAUGCACCUCCUGCACCUACUCCUACUCCGAUCCUUCCAUCUGCAUUAGAUGUGAAGAAGACAAAGGCUGCAGAACGUGCAGCGAUGAAGAAAAGGAAGGCAUCAACCUCUUCAAAUUCUUCAGCUCCGAAGAAGAUGAAGACACUGAUCAGUUCAAUUGACAAUCCAAUUGAUGUCGUUCCUGUCUCAUCAAUGCCAUCAAAGGACCUUGUUCCUUAUGGUGAAGAAUAUGAGAUUCCCGAGGAAUCUGAUGAAGAAACUCCAUCUGCUGCUUCGACAGAGCAGUUGGACGAAGAAAUUGAAGUGGAUGAGAUCCCUUCAACCCCAGUCAUUUCCUCACCUAUGCCUCAGUUCACUGCUGAAGAGGAAGGUGUUGAAGAACUUGAAGAUGAGGAUGUGGACAUCGGAUGUACCACACCAGUGCUAAAUGAUGACUUUUGGGAAAGUCAGCACCCCAAUUCUCCAUUGUUCACUCCUCUCCAAGCUGUUCCUCAGUCCCCCGUCGCUAUAGAAGUACGUGUGGAAUCUGAUGAACAUCAUGCAACCUCGUCCGUCCAUGAAGAAAUUCCAGCCACUAGCACUGAUAAAAAUGUGGAUGAAGAAGAGAUGCCUCAGGCUGCCACUGCAGAAGAAACUGGAAUUCCUCAGCAUGAGGAACCUGAGAUUGCGAUUCCUGAGGUGAUACUGCAAAUCACUGACACUCCUCAGCCCAAGCCAAAGAAUCCCUUCUCCAAGAAGCCAAAAUUCAAGGAUGAUGAUUUCUUCAGCGAGCACGUAUUCUUCACUGAUUUCAACCCUUAUGACAAUGCUCGUAUAAGAAGGAAGUGUUUCUGGACUGCUAGCCAGGCAAACUUCUAUUCCUCAGUUCUCUUUGACAAGGACAAAAUCUUUGAUCAUGAGCACAUUCCUUACAUGGACAUGGAAUCUAUGCCUUGCUUCACGCCGGUUCUCAGUAUGCUUCACGAUGCAGGCUUGCUGAAUUUCUGCACUGACAUCGUUGAUUGGAAUGAAGAGCUUAUUCUUCAGUUCUACGCCACUUUGCACAUCACAGGCAACGCUGCUGAUGUCAACUCUUGGGUGUUGGACUGGAUGACUGAAAACACUCACUACAAGGCACCUGCCUCUGAAUUGCUUCGUGCCUUGCCUAUCAGUCCCCCACCAGAAGGCGCAUGCUGUCUGUAUGAUGAACCUGAACUUACAGAUCACUAUAUGCAAGUGAUCAUGAAGCCGCUGAAGCCUGGACAAGCUCAAAGGACCAAAUUCCUUGUGAAGGAUUUGCUGUAUGUGCCCAGAACCAUUUACCGCAUUCUGACGAAGACUAUCAGCCCAAUCAAAUGACAUUAUUCUUCAGAUGAAGAAAUUGUGGGGAUGAUAAAGAAUAUGCUAUUCAACAUCAUGCAUGGUAUUCCUAUCAAUUACCAUGAUUUCUUCAUGAGGACUCUUGCGAAUGUUUCACUUUCACCAUUUGAGCUGAAGCCUUACGCACCAUGGAUCAUGAGAUUCCUCAGAUCAAGGACUUCACUCAACUAUAAGGCUGAUACUCUUGACCAUGGCAGCUACUUGCCCCCAAUUGAAGUCCUCAAGCGGACUAUUUCCUCAUCUGAUGAGAAGGGCAAGUCACCUGCUGUGAUCGAUGAAGGCACUCGUCCAUUGGAUGGUCAGUUCCGCAAAGCUGCAUCCUAUUCCACCAAUGAUGACUCUGCCACACAUGAUUCUGCUGCCAAUGCUCCAAAGUCAAGUCCUCAAGCUACUUCUCAUCGUGUGAUGACUGACCGAGAACUGCUUAUAAGUCUUCACCAUAAGGUCGAUCAGAAUCACAAAUGGGUUAAGCAUCAGUUUGGCUCUAUUCUUCACAACAUGACCUCUACACAUAAUGCAGUGAAGAAAAACCACUACUACCUCCAUGAAGUGCUUGAUCGCACCUGGGCUAUUCUAUCACAUCUCUAUGGUGAAGAAGAUCUGAAGCAAAUGGGCUUCAAGGAAGACUUUGACUGGUCGGCACCUCCACCGAAGAAAUUCAAGAAGGUCAAGGUUCCUUCCUUGGUGGCCAGCUCAUAUUCUUCAUCACGCGCCAUGGACGAGCAUGAAGAUUUGGAUGACACUGCAGCAGGCCCUACAAUGACUCAAGACCCUGACAACGCUGGCGCUCCUCCAUCAUCAUCAUGAAAUUCUUCAGGGGCGUUAGUCCUCAGUUUCAACCCUUUUGGUCAUUCGAUGACAAAGGGGGAGAAAAUUGAGUUAGUCUUCAAGCGGAUCUAUAUAUGGGCGUUUUUUUGCUAAGAUACAACUCUCGUUCUUCUGAUGACUUUGCUGGAUCGAGUUGUAGUCUUAAAACUCUAUGGUGGCUUGAUACUUUUGUUGUGUUCUUCUGCAUACUUAUUCCUCAUUAAUGUUAAUGCACGCAUGCUGAAUUACAUCAGUCACCAUAUUUCAUCAUGCAUUUCAAAUUCCUCAUAUUAUAUAUCAAAUGCGUGCAUGAAUUACAAGAUAUAGGGGGAGAUCUCCAUGAUUAUACUCUUCAAGUGUGCAUUGCUUCAAAAGAAAAUUCCUCACGGUGCACAUCUUCAGGGGGAGUUCUUCUAUAUCUUGCAAUCAAAUUCCUCAAUAUCAGUAUUUACACUUCACAUGUUUAUCCCCGUUGAAAACUUAACCUAUAUUGUCAUCAAUCACCAAAAAGGGGGAGAUUGUAAGUGCAUCUAGUGCCCCUUAGUGAUUUUGGUGUAUUGAAGACUUAUAGGUUAAGGGACUGAUGCGUUUGUGAGUGUACACAGGUCUAUAAGUCUAUGAGGAGUUUGAUAUUUACAAAGAAAGUCGACCCCUAAAAAUGAAGUUCUUCGACUGAAGACUUUGGAAUUCUGAAGACUUUCUGAAGACUUUGAAAGUGAAGAAAUUGGUGUGACCUUGAAGACUUGGUUUUCAUUCGAGGAACAUGAAGCGUGAAGACUUUUGUUUUCAUAGUUUCAUUUUCUCUUUCUUGAGUCAUAGGAAACACUGUACUGUUAAAGGGGGCCGAGGAAAUACUAAGGAAAAAUUUCCAUGUGAUGCUCAACUCAAAAUCCUACACCUACCAAUCCCUUCGAGUGAAGCCAUUGGAAAUCUCGCACAAUUUAGUCAUAUUUUUCAGUGACAGAGACGAAGUUCUUCUGGUCUCUGAGAAAUUUGUUCUAACUGAAGAGUUAGGAAUUCGCCAGUGCGGAUUGCCUACCAAGUGAGGAACAUGAUAGCCCUGAGGAAUUCGAACCUCAAAUAUUCCGACCGUUGCUGUGCUACGCGCCAGCUGUCCCAAAAUAUCUACCCACCUAACGGUCAUAUGAGACAAGGGCAUUUAUGUCUUAUCAUGUCGGGCUGCUCCCUAGGCUAUAAAUAGCCGCCCCCUACAACCACUAGUUGGUUGGCUGCUCCGAGAGAAACUGACACUUGUCAUUUGAGAGCAACCCAUCCUCCGAGGACUUUGAGUGAAAAUCAUCAAGUGAGGAAAUCCCAAACCCAAACCUACAAAACCCCAAGUGAUUGAGCAUCACUGAAGAGAUUGAUCCUGCGUGGAUCCGACGCUUGUUUCCUUUGAAGACUGUGCUUCUUCCAGACGGUUAGGCGUCAAGGUCUAGAGCAUCGAAGAGGAAUUGUGGAUCGCCGAGUGACCGAGUUUGUGAAGGUUCGGAAGUCACCUGAAGACUUACCACGAGUGAUUGGGCGAGGUCCGUGUGACUUUAGCUCAAGGAGAAUAUGGUGAGGACUGUGUGUCCGGGACUGGGUGUCCUCGAGUUUAAAUACUCAGCCGCUCCAACCAGAUGUACAACUGAGACAACAGUUGGAAUUGGUAUACCAAAUCAUUGUCUUCACCAAGCUAACUGGUUCUAUUUCCUCAACUCUUUCAUUUCCUCAUGUUGUUGUUGUGUGCUUGUUCAUAUCUGUUUGAAGACAUUGACUGAAGACUUUCUCAAUUUCCUCAGCUCUAUUUCUUCAGUCUGUCCGUCUUCUUCUCUUGUUAUCCUGUGUUUACGCUUUCUGUACUCUUCGCUUGUCUUCAUUUCAUCAUGAUGACUAUGCUUGUGUUCUGUUAUGUUCCUUUCUGAGUACUUAUUCCACUGCAAGUAGUUCUUCAUUUAGGAGUUUCCUCACCAGCAAAUUCCUCAGUGAGGAAUUCAUAAAAAUCACCUAUUCACCCCCCUCUAGUCGAUAUAACGCACUUUCACACCCGUUGUAUUUGAACGUAGAGCCUAUCACACCCGAUCAUCACGUGGUGUCUCAGCACGAAGAACUUUCGCAAUGGUGCAUACUCAGGGAGAACACUUCUUGAUAAUUAGUGAGAGAUCAUCUUAAAAUGCUACCGUCAAUCAAAGCAAGAUAAGAUGCAUAAAGGAUAAACAUCACAUGCAAUCAAUAUAAGUGAUAUGAUAUGGCCAUCAUCAUCUUGUGCUUGUGAUCUCCAUCUCCGAAGCACCAUCGUGAUCACCAUCGUCACCGGCGUGACACCUUGAUCUCCAUCGUAGCAUCGUUGUCGUUUCACCAUCUAUUGCUUCGACGACUAUCGCUACCGCUUAGUGAUAAAAUAAAGCAAUUACAGGGCACUUGCAUUUCAUACAAUAAAGCGACAACCACAUGGCUCCUGCCAGUUGCCGAUAACUUGGUUACAAAACAUGAUCAUAUCAUACAAUAAAAUAUAGCAUCACGUCUUGACCAUAUCACAUCACAACAUGCCCUGCAAAAACAAGUUAGACGUCAUCUACUUUGUUGUUGCAAAAUUUACGUGGCUGCUACGGGCUGAGCAAGAACCGUUCUUACCUACGCAUCAAAACCACAACGAUAGUUCGUCAAGUUAGUGUUGUUUUAACCUUCUCAAGGACCGGGCGUAGCCACACUUGGUUCAACUAAAGUUGGAGAAACUGACACCCACCAGCCACCUGUGUGCAAAGCACGUCGGUAGAACCAGUCUCGCGUAAGCGUACGCGUAAUGUUGGUCUGGGCCGCUUCAUCCAACAAUACCGUCGAACCAAAGUAUGACAUGCUGGUAAGCAGUAUGACUUGUAUCGCCCACAACUCACUUGUGUUCUACUCGUGCAUAUAACAUCUACGCAUAAAAUCAGGCUCUGAUACCACUGUUGGGGAACGUAGUAAUUUCAAAAAAAUUCCUACGCACACGCAAGAUCAUGCUGAUGCACAGCAACAAGAGGGGAGAGUGUGUCCACGUACCCUCGUAGACCGAAAGCGGAAGCGUUAGCACAACACGGUUGAUGUAGUCGUACGUCUUCAUGGCCCGACCGAUCAAGCACCGAAACUACGGCACCUCCGAGUUCGAGCACACGUUCAGCUCGAUGACGUCCCUCGAACUCCGAUCUAGCCGAGUGUCGAGGGAGAGUUCCAUCAGCACGACGGCGUGGUGACGAUCUUGAUGUUCUACCGUCGCAGGGCUUCGCCUAAGCACCGCUACAAUAUUAUCGGGGAGGACUAUGGUGGAGGGGGGCACCGCACACGGCUAAGAGAUCCAAGGGAUCAAUUGUUGUUGUGCCUAGAGGUGCCCCCUGCCCCCGUAUAUAAAGGAGCCAGGGGAGGGGGUCGGCCGGCCAGGAGGGGCACGCCAGGAGGAGUCCUCGUCCCACCGGGAGUAGGACUCCCCCCUUCCUUGUUGGAGUAGGAGAGAAGAAAAGAGGGGGAGAGGAGGAAGGAAAAGGGGGCUGCACCCCUUGUCCAAUUCGGACCAGAGGGGGGCUGCGCGCGUCCUUCCUUUCGGCCUCUCUCCUCUAUUCCCGUAUGGCCCAAUAAGGCCCAUAUACUCCCCGGCGAAUUCCCGUAACUCUCCGGUACUCCGAAAAAUACCCGAAUCACUCGGAACCUUUUCGAAGUCCGAAUAUAGUCAUCCAAUAUAUCGAUCUUUACAUCUCGACCAUUUCGAGACUCCAGCUCGUCAUAUCCCCGAUCUCAUCCGGGACUCCGAACUCCUUCGGUACAUCAAAACACAUAGACUCAUAAUAUAACUAUCAUCAAAACCUUAAGCGUGCGGACCCUACGGGUUCGAGAACAAUGUAGACAUGACCGAAACACAUUUACGGUCAAUAACCAAUAGCGGAACCUGGAUGCUCAUACGUUGUUCCCUUUUUCAUCGGUAUGUUACUUGCCCGAGAUUCGAUCAUCGGUAUCUCAAUACCUAGUUCAAUCUCGUUACCUGCAAGUCUCUUUACUCGUUCCGUAAUACAUCAUCCCGCAACUACCUAAUUAGUUGCAAUGCUUGCAAGGCUUAUAUUGAUGUGCAUUACCGAGUGGGCCCAGAGAUACCUCUUCGACAAUCGGAGUGCCAAAUCCUAAUCUCGAAAUACGCCAACCCAACAUGUACCUUCAGAGACACCUGUAGAGCUCCUUUAUAAUCACCCAGUUACGUUGUGACGUUUGGUAGCACACAAAGUGUUCCUCCGGUAAACGGGAGUUGCAUAAUCUCGUAGUCAUAGGAACAUGUAUAAGUCAUGAAGAAAGCAAUAGCAACAUACUAAACGAUUAAGUGCUAAGCUAACGGAAUGGGUCAAGUCAAUCACAUCAUUCUCCUAAUGAUGUGAUCCCGUUAAUCAAAUGACAACUCUUUUGUCCAUGGCUAGGAAACAUAACCAUCUUUGAUAAACGAGCUAGUCAAGUAGAGGCAUACUAGUGACACUAUGUUUGUCUAUGUAUUCACACAUGUAUUAUGUUUCCGGUUAAUACAAUUCUAGCAUGAAUAAUAAACAUUUAUGAUGAUAUAAGGAAAUAAAUAAUAACUUUAUUAUUGCCUCUAGGGCAUAUUUCCUUCACCUUUAUAGUCACCCAGUGACGUUGUGACGUUUGGUACACCCAAAGCACUCCUACGGUAUCCGGGAGUUACACAAUCUCAUGGUCUAAGGAAAUGAUACUUGACAUUAGAAAAGCUUUAGCAAACGAACUACACGAUCUUGUGCUAUGCUUAGGAUUGGGUCUUGUCCAUCACAUCAUUCUCCUAAUGAUGUGAUCUCGUUAUCAAUGACAUCCAAUGUCCGUGGUCAGGAAACCAUAACCAUCUAUUGAUCAACGAGCUAGUCAACUAGAGGCUCACUAGGGACAUGUUGUGGUCUAUGCAUGAAUAAUAGACAAUUAUCAUGAACAAGGAAAUACAAUAACAACCAUUUUAUUAUUGCCUCUAGGGCAUAUUUCCAACAGUCUCCCACUUGCACUAGAGUCAAUAAUCUAGUUCACAUCACUAUGUGAUUGUAAUGAAUUAACACCCAUGGGGUUUGAUCAUAUCUCGCUUGUGAGAGAGGUUAUUAGUCAACGCAUCUGAACCUUUCAGAUCCAUGUGUGCUUUGCAAAUCUCUAUGUCAUCUUGUAGAUGCAGCUACCACGCGCUAUUUGGAGCUAUUCCAAAUAACUGUUCUACUAUAUGAAUCCGAUUUACUACUCAUAGUCAUCCAGAUUAGUAUCGAAGUUUGCAUCGACGUAACCCUUUACGACGAACUCUUUUACCACCUCCAUAAUCGAGAAAAUUCCUUUGUCCACUAGUUACUAAGGAUAAGUUUGACCGUUGUCCUGUGAUCCAUUCCUGGAUCACUCUUGUACCCCUUGACUAACUCAUGGCAAGGCUCACUUCAGGUGCGGUACACAACUUAGCAUACUGUAGAGCCUACGUCUGAAGCAUAGGGACGACCUUCGUCCUUUCUCUCUCUUCUGCCGUGGUCAUGUCUUGAGUCUUACUCAAUAUUCACACCUUAUAACACAGCCAAGAACUCCUUCUUUGCCGAUCUGUUUUGAACUCCUUCAAAAUCUUGUCACGGUAUGUAUUCAUUUGAAAGUACUAUUAAGCGUUUUUUAUCUAUCCUUAUAGAUCUUGACGCUCAAUGUUCAAGUAACCCUUUUCAAAUAACCCUAUAUGCUUUCCAAAAAUUCUACAUCAUUUCCGAUCAACAAUAUGUCAACAACAUAUACUCAUCAGAAAUUCUAUAGUGCUCCCACUCACUUCUUUGGAAAUACAAGUUUCUCAUAAACUUUGUAUAAACCCAAAAUCUUUGAUUAUCUCAUCAAAGCGUAUAUUCCAACUCCGAGAUGCUUACUGCAGUCCUUAGAAGGAUUGUUGGAGCUUUGCAUACUUGUUAGCAUCUUUUAGGAUUGACAAAACAUUCUGGUUGUAUCACAUACAACCUUUCCUCAAGCAACUCGUCGAGGAAACAAUGGUUUUUUGACAUCCUAUCUGCAAGAUUUCAUAAAUAAUGCAGUAACUGCUAAUACAAUUCCAACAUACUCUUGGCAUCGCUAUGAGUGAGAAAGUCUCAUCGUAGUCAACUCCUUGAACUUGUCGAAAAAUAUCUUAGCGACAAGUCGAGCUUUCUUAAUGGUGACACUAACCAUCAUUGUCCGUCUUCCUUUUGAAAUCCAUCUAUACCCAACAGCCUUACAACCAUCAAGUAGUUCUUCCAAAGUCUACACUUUGUUUUCAUACAUGGAUCCUCUCUCAGAUUUUAUGGCCUCGAGCCAUUCGUCGGAAUCCGGGCCCACCAUCGCUUCUCCAUAGCUCGUAGGUUCAUUGUUGUCUAGCAACAUGACCUCGAAGACAGGAUUACGUACCACUCUGAAGUAGUACGUGUCCUUGUCGACCUGCGAGGUUUGGUAGUGACAUGAUCCGAAGUUUCAUGAUCACUAUCAUCAGUUUCCACUUCAAUUUGUGUAGGCGCCACAGGAACAACUUCCUGUGCCCUACUACACACUGGUUGAAGUGAUGGUUCAAUAACCUUAUCAAGUCUCCACCAUCCUUCCACUCAAUUCUUUCGAGAGAAACUUUCCUCAAGAAAGGACCCUUUUCUAGAAACAAUCACUUUUGCUUCCGGGUCUGAGAUAGGAGGUAUACCCAACUAUUUUGGGUGUCCUAUGAAGAUGCAUUUAUCCAUUUUGGGUUCCAUCUUAUUAGGAUGAAACCUUUUUUUCACAUAAGCGUCGCAGCCACAAAUUUUCAAGAAACGACAACUUAGGUUUCUCUAAACCAUAGUUCAUACGGUGUCAUCUCAACGGAAUUACGUGGUGCCCUAUUUAAAGUGAAUGUGGUUGUCUCUAAUGCCUAACCCAUAAACGAUAGUGGUAAUUCGAUAAGAGACAUCAUGGUAUGCCCCAUAUCCAAUAGGGUGCAUCUAUGAUGUUUGGACACACCAUCAAACUAUGGUGUUCCAGGCGGUAUUAGUUGUGAAACAAUUUCCACAAUGUCUUAAUUGUGUACCAAACACGUAACUCAGAUAUUCAUCUCUAUGAUCAUAUCAUAGACAUUUUAUCCUCUUGUCACGACGAUCUUCAACUUCACUCUGAAAUUACUUGAACCUUUCAAUAAUUUAGACUUGUGUUUCAUCAAGUAAAUAUACUUAGCAUCUACUCAAAUCAUCUGUGAAGUAAGAACAUAACGAUAUCCACUGCGUGCCUCAGCACUCAUUGGACUGCACACAUCAAAAUGUAUUACUUCCAACAAGUUUCUUUCUUAUUCCAUUUCACUGAAAACGAGGCCUUUCAGUCAUCUUGCCCAUGUGGUAUGAUUUGCAUGUCUCAAGUGAUUCAAAAUCAAGUGAGUCCAAAUGAUCCAUCUGCAUGGAGUUUCUUCAUGCGUACAUACCAAUGGACAUGGUUCACAUGUCUCAAACUUUUCAAAAAACGAGUGAGUCCAAAGAUCCAUCAACAUGGAGCUUCUUCAUGCGUUCUUUACCAAUAUGACUUACAUGGAAGUGCCACAAGUAGGUGGUACUAUCAUUACUAUCUUAUAUCUUUUGGCAUGAACAUGUGUAUCACUAUGAUCGAGAUUCAAUAAACCAUUCAUUUUAGGUGCAAGACCAUUGAAGGUAUUAUUCAAAUAAACAGAGUAACCAUUAUUCUCCUUAAAUGAAUAACCGUAUUGUGAUAGACAUAAUCCAAUCAUGUCUAUGCUCAACGCAAACACCAAAUAACAAUUAUUUAGGUUUAACUCCGAUCCCGAUGGUAGAGGGAGCGUGCGAUGUUUGAUCACAUCAACCUUGGAAAUACUUCUAACACAUAUCGUCACCUUGCCUUUAGCUAGUCUCUGUUUAUUCCGUAGCCUUUUAUUUCGAGUUACUAACACUUAGCAACUGAACCGAUAUCUAUUACCAUGGUGCUACUAGGAGUACUAGUAAAGUACAUAUUAAUAUAAUGUAUAUCUAAUAUACUUUUUUCGACCUUGCCUGCCUUCUUAUCUACCAAGUAUCUAAGGUAAUUCUGCUCCAGUGACCGUUCCCCUUAUUACAGAAGCACUUAGUGUCGGGUUUGGGUUCAACCUUGGGUUUCUUCACUAGAGCAGCAACUGAUUUGCCGUUUCAUGAAGUAUCCCUUCUUGCCCUUGCCCUCUUUGAAACUAGUGGUUUCACUAACCAUCAACAAUUGAUGCUCCUUCUUGAUUUCUACUUUCGCGGUGUCAAACAUCGCGAAUAGCUCAAGGAUCAUCAUAUCUAUCCCUGAUAUGUUAUAGUUCAUCACGAAGCUCUAGUAGCUUGGUGGCAAUGACUUUGGAGAAACAUCACUAUCUCAUCUGGAAGAUUAACUCCCACUCGAUUCAAGUGAUUGUAGUACCCAGACAAUCUGAGCACAUGCUCAAUGAUUGAGCUUUUCUCCCUUAGUUUGUAGUCUAAGAAACUCGUCAGAGGUCUUAUACCUCUUGACGUGGGCAUGAGCCCGAAAUCCCAAUUUCAGCCCUUGGAACAUCUCACAUGUUCUGCGACGUUUCAGAAAACGUCUUCGGCGCCUCAAUUCUAAACCAUUUAACAUUACUGAACUAUCACGUAGUCAUCAAAACGUGUAUGUUAGAUGUUCGCAACAUCCACAGACGACGUUCGAGGUUCAGCACACCGUGCGGUGCAUUAAGGACAUAAGCCUUCUGCGCAGCAAUAAGGACAAUCCUCAGUUUACGGACCCAGUCCGCAUAAUUGCUACUAUCAACUUUCAACUAAAUUUUCUCUAGGAACAUAUCUAAAAUAGUAGAACCAAAGUGCAAGCUACAAUAUAAUUUGCAAAGACCUUUUGACUAUGUUGAUGAUAAUUAGUUCAUCUAAUGAACUCCCACUCAGAUAGACAUCCCUCUAGUCAUCUAAGUGAUACAUGAUCCGAGUCAACUAGGCCGUGUUCGAUCAUCACGUGAGACGGACUAGUCAUCAUCGGUGAACAUCUUCAUGUUGAUCGUAUCUACUAUCCGACUCAUGUUCGACCUUUCGGUCUCUUGUGUUCCGAGGCCAUGUCUGUACAUGCUAGGCUCGUCAAGUCAACCUAAGUAUUUUUCAUGUGUAAAUCUAGCUUACACACGUUGUAUGUGAACUUUAGAAUCUAUCACACCCGAUCAUCACGUAGUGCUUCAAAACAACGAACUUUCGCAAUGGUGCAUAGUUAGGGGGAACACUUUCUUGAAAUUUUAGUGAGGGAUCAUCUUAUUUAUGCUACCCUCGUUCUAAGCAAAUAAGAUGUAAACACAUGAUAAACAUCUCAUGCAAUCAAAUAGUGACAUGAUAUGGCCAAUAUCAUUUUCCUCCUUUUGAUCUCCAUCUUCGGGGCGCCAUGAUCAUCAUCGUCACCGGCAUGACACCAUGAUCUCCAUCAUCAUGAUCUCCAUCACCCGUGUCUCCAUGAAGUUGUCUCGCCAACUAUUACUUCUAUUACUAUGGCUAAUGGUUUAGCAAUAAAGUAAAGUAAUUACAUGGUGUUAUUCAAUGACACGCAGGUCAUAUAAUAAAUUAAGACAACUCCUAUGGCUCCUGCCGGUUGUCAUACUCAACGACAUGCAAGUCGUGAUUCCAUUACAGGAACAUGAUCAAUCUCAUACAUCACAUAUAUUUCAUUCAUCACAUCCUUUUGGCCAUAUCACAUCACGCAACAUAUGCUGCAAAAACAAGUUAGACAUCCUCUAAUUGUUGUUGCAAAUUUUUAUGUGGCUGCUAUAGGUUUCUAGCAAGAACGUUUCUUACCUACGCCAAAACCACAACGUGAUAUGCCAAUUGCUAUUUACCCUUCAUAAGGACCCUUUUCAUCAAAUCCGAUCUGAUUAAAAGGGGAGAGACUCGCACCUGCUAGCCACCUUAUGCAACAAGUGCAUGUCAGUCGGUGGAACUUGUCUCACGUAAGUGUACGUGUAAGGUCGGUCCGGGCCGCUUCAUCCCACAAUACUGUUGAAACAAGAUAGGACUAGUAAUGGUAAGCAUAUUGAACAAAAUUAACGCCCACAACAACUUGUGUUCUACUCGUGCAUAGAAACUACGCAAUAGACCUAGCUCAUGAUGCCACUGUUGGGGAACGUAGCAGAAAUUCAAAAUUUUCUAUGCAUCACCAAGAUCAAUCUAUGGAGAUGCUAGCAGCAAGAGAGAGAGGGAGUGCAUCUUCAUACCCUUCAAGAUCGCUAAGUGAUACGUCUCCGUCGAAUCUACUUUUCCAAACACUUUUGCCCUUGUUUUGGACUCUAACUUGUGUGAUUUGAAUGGAACUAACCCAGACUGACGCUGUUUUCAGCAGAAUUGCCAUGGUGUUGUUUUUGUGCAGAAAAUAAAAGUUCUCGGAACGACCUGAAACUCCACGGAAUGUCUUAGGAUAAUUAAUAAAAAAUCCUCGCCAAAGAUGAAGAUCAGGGGGCCCACACCCUGUCCACGAGAGCGGGGGGCGCGCCCCCUACCUCGUGGGCCCCCUGGUGGCCCUCCGACGCCAACUCCAACUCCAUAUAUUGGCCUUCGGGGAGAAAAAAAUCAGAGAGAAGAAAUCAUCACUGAGGGAGUCCCGGAUUAGGGGGUGUCCGGAUAGCCGAACUAUCACCGUUGGCCGGACUCCUGGACUAUGAAGAUACAAGAUCGAAGACUUCGCCACGUGUCCGGAUGGGACUUUCCGUGGCGUGGAAGGCAAGCUUGGCGAUACGGAUAUGUAGAUCUCCUACCAUUGUAACCGACUCUGUGUAACCCUAACCCUAUCCGGUGUCUAUAUAAACCGGUGGGUUUUAGUCCAUAGGACGAACAACAAUCAUACCAUAGGCUAGCUUCUAGGGUUUAGCCUCUCCGAUCUCGUGGUAGAUCUACUCUUGUACUACCCAUAUCAUCAAUAUUAAUCAAACAGGAGUAGGGUUUUACCUCCACCGAGAGGUCCCGAACCUGGGUAAAAACAUCGUGUCCCUUGUCUCCUGUUACCAUCCGCCUAGGCGCACAGUUCGGGACCCCCUACCCGAGAUCCGCCGGUUUUGACACCGACAUUGGUGCUUUCAUUGAGAGUUCCUCUGUGCCGUCACUGUCAGGAAGGAUGCCUCAUCCCGUCUUUAAAGACGACAUUAUCGCCAAAGGAGCCUUGGCCGCUGGCCAGACUCUGCGGCUAGGUGGUUUCCUUAUGACCACCAGUUCGGCCGUCGCGCCGACGAUGACUUCUCGGGUCAUCGAAACCAAUCUUCGUGUUAACUCGGAACUUGCCAAGCAGCUAGAUCCGAACGAGCUCUCCUCCGUGAACGAGCUCUUGGAUCGCAUCGCCGCCCUGGGAGUCGCCACUGACUACAAUCAGAUCGAGCCUAAAACCGAUCUGAGAGAGAUUAACUCUCCCCAGGCUACCCACCAUGUUGCUGUGGUAGAGGAACAAUGCGGCGACUCUUCUUCUAUCUUAAGGACUAGCUACGUCCGGAUUCUCGACCCCUCCAUGCCGGAUUCCCGCGGAGGGACGGACGACGAUCAAAUCCUGAACUUAAAGUCAGGCGGCGGGUUGGAUUCAGUGGAUAACAUCCAAAAACCCAAACUUCCGAGUUCGGAAACUUCUCGGCCCCUGAGUCUUAGAUUAGAUGGGGUUCCGGAUUUAGUUCCACCCGCGCACCCAAACAUUAGCGAUCUAUCCCGAAUUAGGCAAGAGCCCACUGAAACAGUACAUCGUUACUGGGCCAGAUUCCUCCUGGUUAUGGACAGGAUAAAGGACUACCGAGAGGAGGACGCAAUCUCACUUUUCUGCAAUAAUUGCACGGACGAAGGAAUCCUAAAUGCCAUAAGUCGUCGUGAAAUUACACGCUUUGCCGACUUGGUAACCAUAGUACAAAAGUACUGUGCGAUGGAGAGUGCUUGGAAAACCGAAAGUAAAUUUUGGGAUAAUCCGGCCCCGAACACAGCCCUAGUCCGAAAUAAAAGGGUGCAUUAUCACCAACCACCUGGGUUAAAUACCAAAAAACAAAGACCCCCUAAAGGGCAUGGAACCAUACUGGAGGGAUGGCUCAACGGACCCUGCAAAAUUCAUAAAACAGAGGACGCCACUCCAACUCAUAGCCUUCGAGCAUGUUGGAUACUACGGCAGGUGGCCAAAAGUGGCGAAGAGCUUCUAGAUUCAGCGUCCCACCCCAAUAAUACCAGUACGGUAUUAACAGUCUUCGAGACUUUCGCAUCAAAUAACAUGCGGAAGCGAACACCCCGCAACCUUGCCGAAGUCUACCAAGUAGCGACAAUAAAUCCAUGGAGUGACACGGCUAUUACCUUUAAUGCCAGUGACGAACCCAAAUUCCGAACAGCCCGAGCACCAGCCGCACUGGUCCUGAGUCCAAUUGUGGACGGCUUUCGCCUUACUAAGGUACUCAUGGAUGGCGGCAGCGGAUUAAACCUCAUCUAUGAGGAAACCCUCCGAAAAAUGGAAAUAGACUGGAACCGCAUUGAGCGAAGCAGCACAACCUUCAGAGGAAUAAUCCCUAGCCGGGAAGCAUGGUGCACAGGAAAAAUCACAUUGGAUGUAGUGUUCGGCUCACCGGACAAUUACAGGUCCGAGGAGGUCACAUUUCAAGUGGCCCCUUUCAGCAGCGGAUAUCACGCUAUUUUAGGGCGGGAGGCAUUCACAAUCUUUCAAGCUAUACCCCAUUAUGGGUACAUGAAGCUUAAAAUGCCCGGACCUAACGGAAUCAUCACUCUCGCUAGUGAUCCAAACAUAGCACUCCGCGCCGAAAACAAGACAGCCGCACUAGCCCUCGAGGCACUAUCCGAAGCCCUAGCGGCCGAGGAACUAACUGCGAUGCGCUCCACGAUGAAUAGAGACGAUGUGAUACUUGAUAAAAGAUCCAAGUCCACCUCUUUUAAACCAGCGGAUGAAAUAGUCAAAUUCCAAGUCCACCCAACGGACCCUGCAAAGACGGCCUCCAUUGGGGCACAGUUAAACCCUGAUGUAGACGCCGCACUGCGAGAAUUUCUACGAUAAAACUGGGACAUUUUUCCUGGCACCCUUCAGACAUGCCAGGAAUCCCACGUCGGCUGGCCGAGCACAGCCUAAAUAUCCUAAAAGGAUUUAAGCCAGUCAAGCAAGCUCUUCGGCGUUUUUCCGAACAAAAGAGACAGGCCAUGGGAGAGGAGCUAGCCAAACUUCUGGAAGCCGGAUUCAUCAGAGAUAUAAAACAUCCGGACUGGCUAGCAAAUCUGGUGAUGGUACCAAAGAAGGACAAAUCCUGCCGCCUAUGUGUCGAUUUCAAAGACCUUAAUAAGGCUUGCCCAAAGGAUCCCUUCCCCCUCCCUCGCAUUGAUCAAAUUAUCGACGCCACAGCAGGACACGAUUCAUUGUGUUUCCUCGACGCAUACUCCGGCUACCACCAAAUUAAGAUGGCCGAGCCAGACCAGGCCACAAUGGCAUUCAUCACUCCAUACGGCCCAUUAUGCUUCAACACAAUGCCCUUCGGGCUCAAAAACGCCGGCGCGACAUAUCAGCGCAUGAUUCAGACAUGUCUGGCAAACCAGAUCAGCAAAACAGUGGAGGCAUAUGUAGAUGACGUGGUCGUCAAAUCCAAGCAUGUCGAAACUCUAGUAGACGACUUGAGGCUCACAUUCGACAAUCUCCGAAAGUACGACAUUAAGCUCAAUCCGGAAAAAUGCGUCUUCGGCGUUCCAGCCGGAAAGUUCUUGGGCUUCAUUGUGUCCGGUAGAGGAAUUGAAGCAAACCCAGCCAAGAUCCGAGCUCUGUCGCAAUUGGAUAUUCCAAAAGACCUCAAACAAAUACAAAAAUUGACUGGAUGCAUAGCGGCUCUAAGCUGCUUUAUUUCCCGUUUGGGAGAAAAGGCGUUACCCCUUUACCGCCUCCUCCGGCGCACUGAACACUUCGAGUGGACGGAUGCCGCCAUGGCCGGACUCGAAGAAAUAAAAGCCAUAUUGGCAACAAAUCCGGUCCUGGCCGCGCCCAACAUGGGCGAACCAAUGCUAUUAUAUAUCGCCGCAACACAUCAAGUUGUUAGCGCGGUGCUCGUCGUCGAACGAGAAACGGACGGACAUAGGUUCCCUCUUCAAAAACCAGUUUAUUACGUGUCCACUGUCCUAACUCCAUGCAAGUCCCGGUACCCACAUUAUCAGAAGAUAGCAUACGCGGUGUUCAUGGCAUCCCAGAAGCUGCGACACUACUUUCAAGAGUGUUCGAUUACAGUAGCCUCCGAAGUACCUCUUAACGACAUUAUAAACAACCGUGAUGCGAUAGGCCGGAUUGCCAAAUGGGCCAUCCAGCUCCUCCCAUUCGACAUAACCUAUAAGCCACGACGAGCUAUUAAGUCACAAGUGUUGGCCGAUUUCAUUGCCGAAUGGACCGAAGACGAAUUCCCUAAAGAGUACGGCACAUAUUCCAAUUGGAUCAUGCACUUCGACGGCUCCAAAAUGUUGGCCGGCCUGGGGGCUGGCGUCGUCCUGACGUCCCCAACCGGGGACACAGUCCAAUACGUCCUUCAGAUAAUGUACACGGACUCCAACAACGCAGCCGAAUACGAGGCCCUUCUGCACGGCCUCCGGAUGGCAGUCUCCAUGGGCAUUAAACGCCUAGAGGUGCGCGGGGAUUCAAACCUCGCGAUAUCUCAAAUAAACGGAGACUUUGACGCCAAAGAUCCAAAAAUGGCAGCAUACCGCAACGCGGUUCUAAAAAUGUCAGCAUGGUUCGAAGGGCUCGAAUUUCAUCAUAUAGCCUGGGAUAACAAUCAGGCGGUGGACGUAUUGGCACGCAUCGGCGCAAAACGCGAUACCGUCCCACCCAACAUCUUCCUGGAAUGGCUGUUCAAGCCAUCCGUACUAUGGGAAGGGGAGUCCGGAGAUAACAAUCCGGACCCAACCGCACUGCCUGACACCGAACACUCUGACACAAUCGGAGGCUCUGCCAACGAGAUAACACCCUCCGCCCACGAAAUAAUGGCAGUUAUUGCCCCGUGGACGGAGCCCUACCUAGCCUACCUACCUUGGCAGGAACUCCCCGAAGACCAAAAUGAGGCUCGCUGCAUAGUGCGGCGAUCCAAAGCCUAUAAAGUCCAUGUGGGAGAGCUUUAUAAGAAAAGCACAACAGGAGUCCUUCAAAGGUGUAUCUCCGAAGAUGAAGGGCGAAACCUCCUGGCUGAAAUUCAUGCCGAACUGGGUGGGCACCACGCCGCAGCCCGGGCCCUUGUAGGCAAGGCCUUCCGUAUAGGAUUUUAUUGGCCGACGGCCCGAGCAGAUGCGCAGGAUUUAGUCGAACGAUGCGUCGGAUGCCAGCUUUUUGCUAACCAAAGCCACAUGCCACCCACCGCCCUCAAAACUAUACCCAUCACCUGGCCGUUCGCGGUCUGGGGGCUUGACAUGGUUGGACCCCUUAAGGGAGGAACCCACAAGCAAAAAUACCUAUUGGUCAUGGUGGAUAAAUUCACCAAAUGGAUAGAGGCCAAGCCUGUUAAAACGGCCGAAUCCGGACCGGUGAUAGACUUCAUAUCAGGGGUAGUGCACCGUUAUGGUGUCCCCCAUAGUAUCAUCACUGAUAACGGCACCAACUUCACAGCUAACGAGGUCAAAUUAUGGUGCAAAAACAUGGCCAUUAAGCUCGAUUACGCCUCAGUCUAUCACCCUCAAACUAACGGUCAAGUCGAGCGGGCAAAUGGUCUAAUCAUGAGCGGCAUUAAACCCAGACUAGUGCGGUCCCUUAAGGAAUCUAAUACGCACUGGGUAGAGGAGCUCGACUCCGUACUCUGGGGGCUGCGGACCACGCCAAACCGCACUACCGGAUUCACACCAUUUUUUAUGGUGUACGGCGCAGAGGCAGUUUUGCCCUGCGACAUAAUUCAUGACUCACCUCGCGUGCGCAUGUAUGAAGAAAGAGAAGCCGAACUCGAUCGGCAGGACAGUCUGGACGCCUUGGAGGAGGAGCGCAACGUGGCAAAAGCUCGUUCCGCAUUUUAUCAACAACAGGCUCGAAGAUAUCAAAGCAGAGAAGUACGGGCCAAAGCUUACAACGUUGGUGAACUAGUUCUACGCCUGCCGGAAAAGAAAAAGGACAGACUCAAGCCCAAAUGGGAAGGUCCCUUCAUCAUCAACCAGGUCCUGACCGGCGGGGCAUACCGUCUGCGAAACGCAUCGGAUAACCGACUCAAGCCAAACCCAUGGAACGCAGCCCGUCUACGAAGAUUCUACGCCUAGUGCCGGACUCUGGGUUCGUCUCCUUCCUCCGUCCAAAAUUUAUACAUUAGCUGUCUUUUAUUUCUCUCCUUCCUCCUCCCUUUUUCUUGAAGCCUUUAGAGGCUCACUUGCACUUUGUUCGCACAUACUUGACGCGCCACUCGCGCUCAUUAUACCUGGGGGCUUCUUUAACAGAAGCUUAUUUAUACGGGUUUUAUGCCCAACACAUGUGUCAAACUUCCGCAUGUACCUUUUAUUCACCAUUAUAUGCAUCGAUAUGACUUAAGUUUUGGCCAAGCUGGGUUGCCUGGCUCCUGUGCUUACCCCUACGUUCCCGAUUGUUCGGCUGCGGUAAGGGGAGCACCUCUGCGAUUGUUACUGCCGGGUCAGCCGGAUGUGUACCUCAGACUGGGUGAAGCCGAAAGCUAGCGUUCUUAAGGGAAUAUUCGGUCGGUGAACUGAAAGAUGAUUUUUAAACUAUUUAUCCAUCUGCCCCCAGAUGAUUUUCUGCUUUAUUAGCAGUUCGGACAUGCACUUUAGGGCAUGCCUCCCAGGGAAAGGAACCCUUAACGGAACUAUUCUCCCUGGAAGAUGUUUCUUACUAUCCAUGUAAUAUAACAUAACUAGUUGGGCACUUGUCUGAUACAGCAAUAAUAACCCCUACGCCUUGUCUCCAUGCAUGCCCCGGUUCUUACAUAACCGUGAGGGUAUUCGGACACACUCCGGACUAUUGGGUCCCGAGGUUGAAGCGAAAAGGUCCGCUACGACAAACGAUCUACAAUCCGGCUAGAAGGCAUUUUACAUGUCACUUUAAAUUACAUAGUCAACUCGACUGAUCGUAUUCCUCUUCAAUACCAUCUAAUAGGCUGUCUAGUUUACAGUCCUGCUGGGAAUACUUUGCGGCCAAUUCUACUUGGCCGUACAUUAAGCUUACAGGGAUCUCCUUCCCAUCAGGCCCCACAGGUCUGACCUCGUCCAUGUGGUUUGGGUCAGCCUUCGUGUACCGCGUCUUUACCAUGGCCCAGGCCUCCCUGGCGCCUUGACGGCAUGCCGAUAUCUUCCAUAGCCGGAAGCGCCGCCGUGCUCCUUGAAGCCGCUCUGCCAGCUUCCCAAUGCCUUCGGGUAGGGAGAUAGAUGGCCACAAGGCCUGGGCGACGCCCUUCAUCACCUGCCGAACUCGUUCGUGCAGCUGACGUAGUUCGGGAAGAUGAUCGCCCGAAGAACUGGGCAUCUCCUCCUCAGGACGACCUGUGAGCAAACCUACAUACAUGUUUAUGUUAGUCGCCUUCCUCGCCGAACUCUUUCAAAGUUCGUUUAAGCACUUACUGAAAAUGCCGCGACGAAGACGUCGAUUCUCCUUUAUGGAGUCAGACAACUGGGCACGAACAUCCUUUAGUUCCUCUCCCAGUUGGGUGUUGGCGUCUUGGAGGUUAUUUUUCUCCUGCCGCACCCUUGUAAGCACGCUCUCGCCGGCCUUUAGCUGGCGUAGGAGCUGUUGCUUGUCCGGAUCCAGUCCGACGCCAUCUGCAAUAUCAUUGUCAGACUUAUACACAUGCCGCACUUGACAAACUACUUAUUUUUCAAAGUAUAUAUUACCGGAGGGGGUCUCUGUGGCUCUCCCUGUGGCGGCUAGUGCGGCCUCAAGUUGGGCCUUGCACUCUUCAAGCUCCCGGGACAGUCGGGUAUUCUUUUCCGAAAGAUCAUGCUUAACAAAUGAUCCUUAAAUCAGUUCUCCUAACUAUUUUAAGUCUCGGGGGCUACUGGCAUGUACAACUGUCAAAAUUCCUUACCCGUAUGUCCUUUACAUACUGCUCCGUGGCUCUGGCUAGACCAUCUUGAGCGGCACGGAGGUGCGCAUCUCCCGAAUUGAAGGCAUUCAAUGCCUCCUGGGAGAAACAUGCGUCACGAAGAACUAUCCGGCGGCGCCUGUGAUUCAUGGCACUCUCCACCUCGGAGUUGGUGGCAGACAAUCUGUCGGCUUCCUCUGUCGGAGGAGCAUCCGACGCAUGCCUCGUGUUUACCUCCGCUUCCGGAGCCGGCGUUGGAGCCUGGCUGGUGGAGGCUCGAUUGGCAAUCUCCUCGGACACAGUCCGGCGAGUGCUCUUUUUCCUGAAAAGAGCACUGGUGUUAGUACGCCUUCCAGGAUUCAAUCCUGGGGAUAUGGUGGCACGCCUUACCGUUGCGGCGGCGUUUCGAUCCGAACCGCACUUCUUUUUAGCCUGUGUGGCCGCGCUGCCCCUUGUUGGUUAGCCGCCGCGGGCUCGGCCUCCUGCCUCGAAGGAACCCCCUGCGAAACACCAUCAAGUAUGCGGUGGUUAGAAAUAAAGCACGGGUGGGUCAUGGGAUCCGGACUUCGGUCACGGUUACCUGGGAAGCCGGAAAUAGUCCAGGGUAGUCGGCCGUGAUGGCAACCAAAGCAUUGUCGAUGCUUAGUUGAUGGAACACCCCAUCGAUCAGCUCCACCUUUAUAUCCGGGUCCUCUUCGGAGGUCAGAUCGAGGGACCUUUCCGGAUCCUCGGGUUGUGGAGGCGGGCUGUGUAUCUUCUCCACGGCCCGGCGCAGUUCCUGCGUAGAAACCAUAAAAUGAGAUGUUUAACCACGGGAACAUGGAUCGGACAAGCCACAAAGGUAUUCGCUUACCAAACUUCGAGGAUUAAUCGAAGAAAACCUGCUUAGCGGGCUGACGCGGAGAAAAUCCUCCUCUUCUCCUUUGUACAUAGCGGACAAGGUCUUCACCAGUUCGGUGACCGAUCCCGGCCCUUUGCGGCCGUGGCGGGUGGCAUCAUCCUCCCCGUUGAAAUCCCACAUGGGGUGGCCCCUAUAUUGGAGCGGCUGAACUCCCCGCAUUAUGCAUGUGGCCAUGACACCAAUCAUCGUCAGUCCGGAAUGAGCCAACAAUCUUAUUCGGCUCAUCAGGUAAAGGACGUCCCUGCCGACUUCCCCCUGGGGGCUCCGCGGGCGCCAACUCAGGCGUUUCUACAAGGGAGCAUUGCUGAACUCCGGGAGACCGAUCCGAAUAGGAUCCGGCAGAGGGAAGUCUUCUAUAUAAAACCAUUCCGUAGGCCAGUCUUCGGACGCCUUCUUCGGGGUUCCGGAUAGACAUCCGGUCCCGGCGAUGCGCCACAGUUCGGCUCCGCCCACUUGAUAUAUUGACCCCUCACGAGAACGGGGCACAAGGCAGAACAAUCUCUUCCACAGAUCGAAAUGGGCCUCAACACCCAGGAACAGCUCGCAGAGGGCUACAAAGCCCGCUAUAUGCAAGACGGAGGCAGGCGUAAGGUUGUGCAGCUGGAGGCCGUAGAACUCCAGAAGCCCCCGGAGAAAUGGAUGGACUGGAAAUCCGAGUCCUCUCAUUAGAUGAGAGACGAAGCAUACCCGCUCUCCCUUAGAGGGAUCGGGGACACUCUCCGCCUGCUUCCCGCCCUUAUAAGUGGCGAGUCCGGAACGCACCGGAACCAGGAAGGCCGGGGGAAGGAAUCCCUUGGUUUGGAGCGCCACCAAUUCACUGUGCGGGACUGAGCAUCUCCCCCAAUAUCCGGGCUGAGGGCUGGGAGCGCGAGAGGAGGAGCCGCGACGACUGUCCAUGGUGGAAUGGAUUUUUUGUCGAAGGCGCUCUAGUGACGGCUCGUGAGGGGAGGAUGGUGCGAUCCGGAUCUGGAUCCCCGUCUCUUUUAUAGAUGGCUCAUUUGCACAGCAAGGGGGGUAAAUGUAAAGAUACCCUGACUUUUCACAUUCGUUUGACACGUGGAAGAUGGCCAUUAUUGGGCGUAGAAGCCAAAGGAGCGUAGCACUUAUCAGAAGCCGGACAAUAUUUGACAAGUAUAUGGAAUUUGGAGAAGAACCCGCCUCGCAAUGCCGAAGACAAUCUACGCGCCGGACUCAUCGUCAUUGAAGCCUGGUUCGGGGGCUACUGAGGGAGUCCCGGAUUAGGGUGUGUCCGGAUAGCCGAACUAUCACCGUUGGUCGGACUCCUGGACUAUGAAGAUACAAGAUCGAAGACUUCGUCCCAUGUCCGGAUGGGACUUUCCUUGGCGUGGAAGGCAGGCUUGGCGAUACGGAUAUGUAGAUCUCCUACCAUUGUAACCGACUCUGUGUAACCCUAACCCUAUUCGGUGUCUAUAUAAACCGGUGGGUUUUAGUCCGUAGGACGAACAACAAUCAUACCAUAGGCUAGCUUCUAGGGUUUAGCCUCACCGAUCUCGUGGUAGAUCUACUCUUGUACUACCCAUAUCAUCAAUAUUAAUCAAGCAGGAGUAGGGUUUUACCUCCACCGAGAGGGCCCGAACCUGGGUGAAAACAUCGUGUCCCUUGUCUCCUGUUACCAUCCGCCUAGACGCACAGUUCGGGACCCCCUACCCGAGAUCCGCCGGUUUUGACACCGACAAUCGCGUUUUACGAUACAGAGCCGCCGCCAAGCCCUAAUCUCUCUCGGGAGGGCAGAUUUGGAGUCCGUUCGGGGCUCCGGAGAGGGGGAUUCGUCGCCGUCGUCAUCAUCAACCAUCCUCCAUCACCAAUUUCAUGAUGCUCACCGCCGUGCAUGAGUAAUUCCAAUGUAGGCUUGCUGGACGGUGAUGGGUUGAAUGAGAUUUAUCAUGUAAUCGAGUUAGUUUUGUUAGUGUUUGAUCCCUAGUAUCCAUUAUGUUUUGAGAUUGAUGUUGCUAUGACUUUGCUGUUCUUAAUGCUUGUCACUAGGGCCCGAGUGCCAUGAUUUCAGAUCUGAACCUAUUAUGUUUUCAUGAAUAUAUGAGAGUUGUUGAUCCUAUCUUGCAAGUCUAUAGUCACCUACUAUGUGUUAUGAUCCGGCAACCCCGAAGUGACAAUAAUCAGGACCACUCCCGGUGAUGACCAUAGUUUGAGGAGUUCAUGUAUUCACUAUGUGCUAAUGCUUUGUUCCGGUUCUCUAUUAAAAGGAGGCCUUAAUAUCCCUUAGUUUCCAAUAGGAUCCCGCUGCCAUGGGAGGGUAGGACAAAAGAUGUCAUGCAAGUUCUUUUCCACAAGCACGUAUGACUAUAUUCGGAAUACAUGCCUAUGUUACAUUGAUGAACUGGAGCUAGUUCUGUGUCACCCUAUGUUAUGACUGUUACAUGAUGAACCACAUCCGGCAUAAUUAUCCAUCAUUGAUCCGGUGCCUACGAGUUUUCCAUAUACUGGUUCUCGCUUAUUUACUUUUCCGUUGUUACUGUUACAAUCACUACAAAAUACCAAAAACAUUACUUUCGCUGUCUUUACUUUUGUUACCGUUACCACUACUAUCAUAUUACUUUGCUACUAAACACCUUGCUGCAGAUACUAAGUUUCCAGGUGUGGUUGAAUUGACAACUCAGCUGCUAAUACUUGAGAAUAUUCUUUGGCUCCCCUUGUGUCGAAUCAACAAAUUUGGGUUGAAUACUCUACCCUCGAAAACUGUUGCGAUCCCCUAUACUUGUGGGUUAUCAAGACCUUUUUUUGGCGCCGUUGCCGGUGAGCAUAGCUCUAUUCUUUGAGUCACUUGGGAUUUAUAUCUACUGGACACUAUGAAGAACUUGAAAGACGCUAAGACCAAGAUUUUUCCCUCAACUACGAGGGGAGGUGAGGAACUGCCAUCUACCCUUGCACUAGAUUCUCCUUCUAUUAUAAGUAAGCUUGUGACACCUAAACUUGCUACUACUAUGAAUUCUGAUAUGUCGCAUGUUAUUGAUGAUGCCACUUCUGCUAUGCGUGACACUUAUGACGAAACCACUUCUAUGCUUGAUACUACUGUGCCCCUUGGAGAAUUUCUUGAUGAGAAAAUUGCUAGGUCUAGAGAAAGAGAAAUUACUGCACCUGAAUACGAUGAUGAGAGUGAUGAUGAAAAUAUGCCCCCUAUUCCUGGAGGUUAUCUUUUUGAUGCAGAAUCUUCUGCAGCUAUCCUUGCUUGCCAGGAUAGAUAUGAACUUAAGAGGUUGCUAGUUAAAUGGAGUAAAGAAUCUUUUAGAGAUAGAAUGAGACCCGACCCUGCUUUUGCUACUUCACCUAUUUGUAUUCCCGAUAAGGAUUAUUAUGAUUUUUCUGUUGAUCCAGAUAUAAUUACUUUGGUUGAAUCUGAUCCUUUCUAUGGCCAUGAAUUUGAAACUGUUGUGGCACAUCUUACUAAGUUGAAUGAUAUAGCUGCCCUGUUUACUAAUAAUGAGAGAUCGCGCUACCUUUAUUUACUCAAAAUAUUUCCGUUCUCAUUAAAGGGUGAUGCUAAGAUAUGGUUUAAUUCUCUUGAUCCUGGUUGUGUGCAAAGUCCCCAGGAUAUGAUUUAUUACUUCUCUGCUAAAUAUUUCCCUGCUCAUAAGAAACAAGCAGCCUCGAGGGAAAUAUAUAACUUUGUGCAAAUUGAAGAGGAGAGUCUCCCACAAGCUUGGGGGAGGCUUCUCAAGUUACUUAAUGCUUUGCCUGAUCAUCCUCUUAAAAAACCUUAAAUACUUGAUAUCUUUUAUAAUGGACUAACUGAUGCUUCCAGAGAUUACCUGGAUAAUUGUGCUGGUUUUCUUUUCAGGGAAAGAACACCGGAUGAAGCUGAAAUUCUAUUGAACAAUAUUUUGACAAAUGAAAAUAAUUGGGCACCUCCCAAGCCAGCUCCUGAGCCAAUUUCUGAGCCAAUUAUUGAGCCUAUUCCUAAACCAACUCCGAAGAAGAGAGGUGUUAUAUUUCUCAGUCCCGAAGAUAUGCAAGAGGAAAAGAAAUCUAUGAAAGAAAAAGGUAUUAAAGCUGAAGAUGUUAAGAAUUUACCUCCUAUUGAAGAAAUACACGGUCUUAAUUUACCGCCUGUUGAAGAAGUAUAUGAUCUCAAUCAAUUAUUUAUUGAAGAACCUCCCGAUAUCCCGACAUAGGUAGUAAAGGUAAAUUCUCUCUAUAGAUAUGAUAAAGCUGAAGUCCCUCCUACUAGAGUUGCUAGUCAGUGCUUGGAUGAGUUUGAUAACUUUAUGUUUAAGCAAGAUGACUUUAAUGCUUAUUUUGGUAGACAAUUAAAACAAGAUGCUUAUAUGAUUAAACGCUUGGGUGAUUAUAUGGCUGAUAUUAGAGGUGAACUUAAACUUGUUAGAAAACAUGCUUCUAUGGUCACCACUCAAGUAGAACAAGUACUUAAAGCUCGAAAAGAAGUGCUUGAUGAAAUGAAUAGUAAGAAAAAUGAUUAUGCUGUUAGUGUGGCUACUAGAACUGGUAGAAUGACUCAGGAACCUUUGUAUCCUGAAGGCCACCCUAAGAGAAUCGAGCAAGAUUCUCAGAGAAAUGAUAUUGAUGUACCUAGUUCUUCCAAAAAGAAGAAAAAGAAAAAUGAUAGGACUUUGCAAACUUCUAGUGAGCCUAUUGCUGAACCACCUGAGAAUCCAAAUGAUAUUUCCAUUUCUGAUGCUGAAACACAAUCAGGUGAUGAACAUGAACCUAGUGAUAAUGUUAAUGAUAAUGUUCAUGUUGAUGCUCAACCUAGUAAUGAUAAUGAUGUAGAAGCUGAACCUGCUGUUGAUCUUGAUAACCCACAAUCAAGGAAUCAAUGUUAUGAUAAAAGAGACUUCGUUGCUAGGAAACAUGGUAAAGAAAGGGAACCAUGUGUUCAAAAACCCAUGACUUUUCCUUCGAAACCAUCCAAGAAAAAGGAUGAUGAGGAUUUUGAGCGCUUUGCUGAAAUGAUUAGACCUAUCUUUUUGUGUAUGCGUUUAACUGAUGUGCUAAGAACAAAUCCUUAUUCUAAGUAUAUGAAGGAUAUUAUUACUAAUAAAAGAAAGAUACCUAAAGCUGAAAUUUCCACCAUGCUUGCUAAUUAUACUUUUAAGGGUGGAAUACCAAAGAAACUUGGAGAUCCCGGAGUACCUACUAUACCAUGCUCCAUUAAGAGAAAUUAUGUUAAAAUUGCUUUAUGUGAUCUUGGAGCCGGUGUUAGUGUUAUGCCUCUCUCUCUGUAUCGUAGACUUGACUUGAAUAAGUUGACACCUACUGAAAUAUCUUUGCAAAUGGCUGAUAAAUCAACUGCUAUACCUGUCGGUAUUUUUGAGGAUGUCCCUGUUGUGGUUGCAAACGUUACUAUCUUAACGGACUUUGUUAUUCUUGAUAUUCCUGAGGAUGAUAGUAUGUCUAUUAUUCUUGGAAGACCUUUCCUUAAUACUGCAGGGGCUAUUAUUGAUUGCAACAAAGGCAAUGUCACUUUUCAUGUUAAUGGCAAUGAGCACACGGUACACUUUCUGAGGAAACAACCUCAGGUCCACAGUAUCAACUCUAUUGGAAAAUUUUCGUCGAUUAUAUUUGGAGGUUUUGAAUUUCCUCUCCCUACUGUCAAGAAAAAGUAUGAUAUUGUUAUUGUUGGGGAUUUUCAUAUCCCCUUGGAGGUAACUUAGUGCUAUUCGAAAUUUCUCCAGUUCCGUGUUAAUCGGAAUGAGCUCGUUAACAAGACUUGAUCAACCUUGUUAGUGGAUUCAUUUUUAUGAACAUGAGAUGGAUGAAACUAGAAGCACAACCUUCUGUACUCUCUUUAUAUUUCCUGUUAUUUAGUAGAUAUAAAGUAAAAUAGUAUUUCUCUGUCUGUUUCCUGACUUAUCCGUGCAAUAUAAAAAUAUCCCGAAAAUAAAAGUCCCCAGAAUGCCAUGCCAAUUUAAUAUGAUUUUUUCGGGAAUAUUUAAGAAUUUACUGUGCAAAAAUCACCGCGGGGGGAGCUGCCACCUGGCCACGAGGGUGGAGGGCGCGCCCUACCCCCCUGGGCGCACCCCCUGCCUCGUGGGCCCACGGUGGCCCUCCUCCACUUAUUCCUGCACCCAUCUUCUUCCUCUGCCUCACACAAACACGAAAACCAACUCAAGCACGAGUUCCAGCUCCCGUUGCUGUGAUUUUCGAUCUCCUUGCUCAAAGCACCUCUCGUGAAACUUCUUGGGGAGAUUGUUCCUUGGUAUGUGACUCCUCCAUUGGUCCAAUUAGUUUUUGUUAUAGUGCUUUAUUCAUUGCAAAUUUGUGCUGCAUAGGUGACCAUGUUCUUGAGCUUGCAUGUCAAAUUUAUAUGGUUCCAAGUAGUUCCAAUGCUUUAUAUAGGCUCUAGGGACUAGUAGGAGUUGUUGCUAUCAAUUUUAUUGAAGUUAGUUCACUCUUAUUUGAAGUUACUAAAAAUUUCAGAAUGUUUCAGAAAUAAUGAAGAGACUUUUGAGGGGCUCGUCGAGCCAAAGCUCGAAGGAAAAACAAAAGGAAGGAGAACAGAAGCCCAAAUUUAAUUUGCCUCGCACCGCGGAGGUCCGGCCGUGUGAAUGGCCUUCCGAUGACUUCUUGAGGAGAGCUGGGAUUUAUGAAGAUUUCUAUUUAUUAAUUGAGAAUGCUGGCCUCACCAACUUCCUCCGCGACCAACGUCAUCAGUAUCUCUUACUCACAAAGACUUCUGUGCAAAAUUUCUACUUUUUCCCUAAGAGUUCACCUCCGUCGGUAGAAUUUCAUUUAUAUGACGUUGCUAAGAGGAUGCCAUUAGCUGAAUUCUGCGAGGUUUGCAAAAUACCUUUUGAGGGCACCUUGGAUGAACCACACCGUAACGAGGUAGAAGCCUUUAUUAACACUAUCACGGUGGGAGAAACUAGGAAGGUUUCUGAUGCAAGAAUUACUAGCAUACAUUUUCCUGUUUUACGCUACUUUGCCUUAUUUGCUAGUCGUUGCCUGAUAGGUCGCGGAAACUGUGGAAACCUUAGUAUUCCUGAUGUUAUGAUUUUGUUCCAUGGUUUAUACCGCAAUACUCUGUUAGUAUGGGUGGAAUUGUUGCUAGACGGUUAAGUCUGAACCGUACUAAGGGCCCCAUCUUUGGAGGCAUUUAUGCCUCACGCCUAGCUGAACAUUUUGAAAUACCUAUCAGGCAUGAGGAGAAAGAGGAAACAUCGCUGCCUCGUGCUUAUUUAGAUUAUAGGAGUAUGCUAGCGCAUGAUUUUCUUGUUAAGAGUCGUGAAGGGGAACUCAAAUAUAUUGUACUUUGAUAAACAUCACCCUGAGAUUAUUACUUUGCCUGCUCCCUCUUUGUUUAAUUUGUCUGCAGGUCCUCACAUUGUUCUGUGGGCGGCCAUUCAAGCCUAUCGAAAUGCUGCACCCGCCCCGGAACUGGAGCCACAAGAUGAGACUCCACGACUAUCUGUUUAUUCUUGGGAUCCAGAGGAGGCUGCCAGCCAGUGGCAGUCGGAGCCUUCUUCGUCACAGUAUGACCCCAGCUUCACUUACGGGUAUCCGCCAGGCCAUCCCUAGCAAUAGACCAACUUAGGGUAAAAACCUAAGCUUGGGGGAGUACGUAUUUCCCACCGACAUUACAUUCAUGUUCACACACACUCAUUGCUAGAUGUCGGUGUUCAUACUCUUUCACUGGGAUAUCCAUUCUAGUUUAUUUUCUGUUUCCUGCUUUCUUCUUGUGUGUUUAAUAAACCUUUAGAAAAACAAAACAAAAAUUAGUAGUAGUUUAUUUCUUUGCUGUAGUAAUUAAAAAGGAAAACCCAAUAAUAUUUCCCGUUCUUCUUUUGCUUGUUGGGAGCUUUCCCGUGUAAAUAGUUUUCCUUUUCUUUUCUUUGGGGGUCAGUAGGAGAAGACCAUGAUUUAAUUGUUGAAGUGGCUCUUACAUGCAUGAUUGUUUAUUUAACUUAGAGCCCAUAUUACUUGUCUUCUCCUGGUUAUUGAAUGCUUGCAGAUUCCAGCUUAGUCCAAUGCACGUGCACUCUUAUUAUUAUUCACAUCGUUCGGUCGUGCAAGUGAAAGGCAAUAAUGAUGAUAUAUGAUGGACUUAUUGGGAUGAGAAAAGCUGGUACAAACUCGACCUCUCUUGUUUUUGUAAAUAUGAUGAUUCAUCGUUCCUGAGUUAGCUAUUAUGAAGUAAGCAUAUUUGCAUUGACAUUUAGAGAUUAUAAUUGCUUGUGCCAUGCUUGAUUAGAUAUGAGUUAUAAUGGUUUACCUUGCGUGCCAACAUGCUAUUAGAAUGAUUAUGAUGUGGUAUGAUGGGAUGGUAUCCUCCUUUAAAUGAAUUGAGUGACUAGACUUGGCACAUGUUCACGCAUGUAGUUGAAUCAAAUCAACAUAGCCUUCAUGAUAUUUAUGUUCAUGGUGGAUUAUAUCCUACUCAUGCUUGUAUUCGGUGUAAAUUAAUUUUGAUGCAUGUUUACGACUGUUGUCGCUCUCUCAGUUGGUCGCUUCCCAGUCUUUUGCUAGCCUUCACCUGUACUAAGCGGGAAUACUGCUUGUGCAUCCAAACUCCUUAAACCCCAAAGUUGUUCCAUAUGUGUCCACUAUACCAUCCUAUAUGCGGUAUUUACCUGCCGUUCCAAGUAAAUUUGUAUGUGCCAAACUCCAAACCUUCAAAUAAAAUUAUGUUUUGUAUGCUCGAGCAGCUCAUGUUUCAACUAGGGUUGUCCUUAUCUUCCAUGUUAGGCGGUUAUUCUCAAGAGGAGUGGACUCCGCUCCUCAUUCACGAGAAAAUGGCUGGUCACCGGGAUGCCCAGUCCCACGCUUUAUGCAAACUAAAUCAAAAUAAUUGUAAACGAAACUCCCCUUGGGACCCGUUGAAUGUUGGAGGCACUCGUUGUUUCGAGUAAGCCAUGGAUUGAUGCUUGUGGAGGAAGGGGAGUAUAAACUUUAACAUUCUGUUUGGGAACCGCCUAUAAUUUGUUUAGCAUGGAAGAUAUCGUCAUCUCAUAGUUGUUGCGUUGACAGCAAAAGUAUGCCGCUCAAAAUGUUAUUCAAUCUCUAUUUUAAAACCGAGCUCUCGCACCUCUACAAAUCCCUGCUUCCCUCUGUGAAGGGCUUAUCUAUUUACUUUUAUGUUGAGUCAUCACCCUUCUUACUAAAAAGCACCUGCUGGAGAGCACACUGUCAUUUGCAUUCAUUAUUAUUGGUUUAUAUUGGGUAUGACUUGACCGGAUCUAUUUUACCAUGAAUUACAAUGUUUAGUCAGUCCUUGAUCUUUAAAAGUGCUCUGCAUUUAUGUUUUGCGGUCUCAGAAAGGGCUAGCGAGAUACCAUUCCGUUAUAUCAUGUUAUGAUUAUUUUGAGAAAGUGUUGUCAUCUGAGUUUUGUUAUUAUAGCUCGCUAGCUGAUUAUGCUAUUGAUAUGAGUAAUUGUGAGACCUUUGUGUUAUUGUGAGUAUGGUUAGGUCAUAAUAUUUGCUGAAACUUGAAUGCUGGCUUUUCAUGUUUACAACAACAAGAGCAAACAGAGUUUGUAAAAGUUUUUCUUUUUCUCUUUCAGUUUGUCAACUGAAUUGCUUGAGGACAAGCAAGGGUUUAAGCUUGGGGGAGUUGAUACGUCUCCGUCGUAUCUAGUUUACCAAACACUUUUGCCCUUGUUUUGGACUCUAACUUGUGCGAUUUGAAUGGAACUAACCCGGACUGACGUUGUUUUCAGCAGAAUUGCCAUGGUGUUGCUUUUGUGCAGAAAAUAAAAGUUCUCGGAACGACCUGAAACUCCACGGAACGUAUUGGGAUAAUUAAUAAAAAAUCUUCGCCAAAGAUGAAGAUCAGGGGGCCAACACCCUGUCCACGAGGGUGGGGGCGCCCCCCUGGGCGCGCCCCCCUACCUCGUGGCCCCCCUGGUGGCCCUCCGACGCCAACUCCAACUCCAUAUAUUGGCCUUCGGGGAGAAAAAAUCAGAGAGAAGAAAUCAUUGCGUUUUACGAUAUGGAGCCGCCGCAAGCCCUAAUCUCUCUCGGGAGGGCUGAUCUGGAGUCCUUUCGGGGCUCCAGAGAGGGGGAUUCGUCGCCGUCGUCAUCAUCAACCAUCCUCCAUCACUAAUUUCAUGAUGCUCACCGCCGUGCGUGAGUAAUUCCAUCGUAGGCUUGCUGGACAGUGAUGGGUUGGAUGAGAUUUAUCAUGUAAUCGAGUUAAUUAGUUUUGUUAGGGUUUGAUCCCUAGUAUCCAUUAUGUUCUGAGAUUGAUGUUGCUAUGACUUUGACGUGCUUAAUGCUUGUCACUAGGGCCCGAGUGCCAUGAUUUCAGAUCUGAACCUAUUAUGUUUUCAUGAAUAUAUGAGAGUUCUUGAUCCUAUCUUGCAAGUCUAUAGUCACCUACUAUGUGUUAUGAUCCGGCAACCCCGAAGUGACAAUAAUCGGGACCACUCCCGGUGAUGACCAUAGUUUGAGGAGUUCAUGUAUUCACUAUGUGCUAAUGCUUUGUUCCGGUUCUAUAUUAAAAGGAGGCCUUAAUAUCCCUUAGUUUCCAAUAGGACCCCGCUGCCACGGGAGGGUAGGACAAAAAUGUCAUGCAAGUUCUUUUCCAUAAGCACGUAUGACUAUAUUCAGAAUACAUGCCUACGUUACAUUGAUGAACUGGAGCUAGUUCUGUGUCACCCUAUGUUAUGACUGUUACAUGAUGAACCACAUCCGGCAUAAUUAUCCAUCAUUGAUCCGGUGCCUACGAGUUUUCCAUAUACUGGUUCUCGCUUAUUUACUUUUCUGUUGUUACUGUUACAAUCACUACAAAAUACCAAAAACAUUACUUUCGCUGUCUUUACUUUUGUUACCGUUACCACUACUAUCAUAUUACUUUGCUACUAAACACCUUGCUGCAGAUACUAAGUUUCCAGGUGUGGCUGAAUUGACAACUCAGCUGCUAAUACUUGAGAAUAUUCUUUGGCUCCCCUUGUGUCGAAUCAACAAAUUUGGGUUGAAUACUCUACCCUCGAAAACUAUUGUGAUCCCCGAUACUUGUGGGUUAUCACUAAGCGGAAGCGUUACAAGAACGCGGUUGAUGGAGUCAUACUCGCGGCGAUUCAAAUCGCGGAAGAUCCGAUCUAGCGCCGAAUGGACGGUGCCUCCGCGUUCAACACACGUAUAGCCCGGGGACAUCUCCUCCUUGAUCCAGCAAGGGGAGAGGAGAAGUUGAGGGAGAACUCCGACAGCACGACGGCAUGGUGGUGGUGGAGCUCGUGGUAUUCCUGCAGGGCUUCGCCAAGCACUACGGAGGAGGAGGAGAUUUACGAGGAGGGAGGUGCUGCGCCAGGGGAAGGGUGUGGCUGCCCGACCACCACCUCACUAUAUAUAGGAGGAAGGGGGGAGGGGGUCGGCCCCUCUAGAUCCCAUCUAGAGGAGGGGGCGGCGGCCAGGGGAAACCCUAGAUGGGUUUGGGCGCCCCCACCCCUUAGGAAACUCCNNNNNNNNNNNNNNNNNNNNNNNNNNNNNNNNNNNNNNNNNNNNNNNNNNNNNNNNNNNNNNNNNNNNNNNNNNNNNNNNNNNNNNNNNNNNNNNNNNNNNNNNNNNNNNNNNNNNNNNNNNNNNNNNNNNNNNNNNNNNNNNNNNNNNNNNNNNNNNNNNNNNNNNNNNNNNNNNNNNNNNNNNNNNNNNNNNNNNNNNNNNNNNNNNNNNNNNNNNNNNNNNNNNNNNNNNNNNNNNNNNNNNNNNNNNNNNNNNNNNNNNNNNNNNNNNNNNNNNNNNNNNNNNNNNNNNNNNNNNNNNNNNNNNNNNNNNNNNNNNNNACGCUUGCCGGGGCCUCCGAAACUCCUUUCGGACACGCUGGUCGUCACCCGGUACCCCCGGAACAAUUUUGGACUCUAAUACCCUACGUCCAAUAUACCGAUCUUCACCUCCGGACCAUUCCAGAGUUCCUCGUCACGUUCGGGAUCUCAUCCGGGACUACGAACAACCUUCGGUAACCACAUACUAUUUCCCAUAACAACUCUAGCGUUUCCGAACCUUAAGUGUGUAGACCCUAUGGGUUCGGGAAUCAUGCAGACAUGACCGAGACGUUCUCUAGCCAAUAACCAACAGCAGGAUCUCGAUACCCAUGUUGGCUCCCACAUGUUCCACGAUGAUAUCAUCAGAUGAACCACGAUGUCGGGGAUUCUAUCAAUCCCGUAUACAAUUCCCUUUGUCAAUCAGUAUGUUACUUGCCCGAGAUUCGAUCGUCGGUAUCCCAAUACCUCGUUCAAUCUCGUUACCAGCAAGUCACUUUAUUCGUUGCGUAAUGCAUGAUCCCAUGACUAACUACUUAGUCACAUUGAGCUCAUUAUGAUGAUGCAUUACCGAGUGGGCCCAGAGAUACCUCUCCGUCAUAUGGAGUGACAAAUUCCAGUCUCGAUUCGUGCCAACCCAACAAACACUUUCGGAGAUACCUGUAGUGCACCUUUAUAGUCACCCAGUUACGUUGUGACGUUUGGUACACCCAAAGCACUCCUACAGUAUCUGGGAGUUACACAAUCUCAUGGUCUAAGGAAAUGAUACUUGACAUUAGAAAAGCUUUAGCAAACGAACUGCACGAUCUUGUGCUAUGCUUAGGAUUGGGUGUUAUCCAUCACAUCAUUCUCCUAAUGAUGUGAUCACAUUAUCAAUGACAUCCAAUGUCCAUGGUCAGGAAACCAUAACCAUCUAUUUAUCAACGAGCUAGUCAACUAGAGGCUCACUAGGGACAUGUUGUGGUCUAUGUAUUCACACAUGUAUUACGGUUUCCAGUUAAUACAAUAAUAGCAUGAACAAUAGACAAUUAUCAUGAACAAGGAAAUACAAUAAUAACCAUUUUAUUAUUGCCUCUAGGGCAUAUUUCCAACAAUAACAUGUGCAAAAAAGUUGAGAGGGUUACGGCAAAAAUUGGAUGCACUUCGUGUACAAAAUGGACAAUCUCUUUCGAAGUAUAAGGGUUUCGAACAAAAACUCAUCUGUUACAAAGGCAUUUCAUUUUUUUUAAAUUUGUUACAACUCCAGACUUUUUGUACAUUCAAUAUGCACCAUUGAAAGCCACACCAUCAACUUUCAACCCUUUCUGACAUCAUUUGCUAUUUUUCAUGCAUUUACUGAUUUUUUUGAGCUAAAUGACUCAGAAAUUGAAAAGCACUUCAAAUGAACUCUGAAAAGGUUGAAAGUUGGCAUAGUAUCAUCAUUUCACCCACAUAGCAUGUGCAAAAACAUUGAGAGGGUUACGACAAAAAACUGUAUGCACUUCGUGUACAAAAUGGACAAUCUCUUUCGAAGUAUCAGGGUUUCGGACGAAAACUCAUCUGUUACAAAGGCAUUUCAUUGCUAUGUCGGUUGUAGUACCCACGUUCUGUUUUCUGUUGCCUGCGGUUGUCUUCUGUUAAGAUCAUAAUUUGUGGAAAGUUGGGUGAGUAUUACGGACCUCUAGACCCUGUUCUGGAGUUCCUUUCUUCAUUGUCUAGAGACCCUGUUCUAGACAUGUCGGUGACACAAAAUUUCCAUCUGGGUGGGUGCGGAAUUUAUCAAAAUUUUGAGCUAUGUAGGAAGUGUUUAUUGUGAUAUCAGAUUUGUUUGUUUGUGCUUGCAACCUGUCAUUUUUCUGUCGACGUACUUGCCGAACUCCCCGCGCUCAGCUGCUUGAAGCUGCCGUGCGAACCCGCUGUGAGGGAUGGCAAUCCAAGGUCGCUUCGCGACAUUGCGGUCUGUGGUGACACCAUCAAGUAUGUUGAGAUGCUGCCUCACCCCGACAGAAGCUCCUCUAAGACCCUCUCAUGUCGUUGGGUGGUCGCAGCAUGGAGCAUCAAGAAGGCCCGUCGGUCCUGGUGCAAGGAUUGGCGCAUGGUUUGCAAGCUCGAUUCCACCCAUAUAAAGGUUGAUGCAGCUAGUACCAUGGCUUCCUUCCCAACCUUGUCAUCCCUCCAUGUUGGCCUGCCCACACUCAGCCUGCAGAAUGAUGCCAUUGUUUACUUCCUCGCCAAGAUUGACUUCCGCACGAUGGAACACACGGCUUGGGUGCUUGCUGUUGACAAGAAGAACGCGACUGCUGAGCAAGUAGUGGAGUUCCCUGCUGGGAGGACUUUCUGUUUAGCCCAGGGCUAUGAUGCAAGUAGGAUCUACGCAUACCUCCAACCUGCUCCAGGUAACUGACUGUAACCCCUGCCUUGCUGCUGUUGGUUCCAACUAUACAUGCUAAACUACCAGAUUAAUCCAUGGUUCUUCUUGGUGGAGUGGGUGACGGCAGCGUCAUUUCACACACAUCGAUAGUGUGGGGUUUAGGGUGGAUAAUCCACCAAAUAGCUCAUAAUACUAUUCAUUAAGUCAGAUGCUGACAGUGAAUUUCUCACCGGAACAAUUCACACUUCUCUUGUGACAUAUAAUAAUUUGGUUAUAGGGUGAGCGGUGCACAUGCUUAUCAAGUUUGGUCUUUUUCAGUAGUCUUUCAGCAUGGAGAUUUUAGAAUAAUUAAUGGUUGCAUUAGCGCUAGUUGUUUGUGGACCAGUUUUUCUUUCCCAAACUAUUACUGAAGACAUGUGGAAUUUGAAAUGCCAGGUACACGGCAAAUACCUAAACGACCACGGGUGUCAUUGCUGAAAUACCCUCCCAUGAAGCAUAUUAAAGAUGUUGAAGAUCCUAAAGAAGACGAUGCCAUGGUGAUUUUUUCUUCAUGAGGUUGCAUGGAAGCUGUAUGACCUGAGAUUGGUGCCGGAUAUUAAUGGAGGGGGUAGUGGAUUAUCAUGUCUGCUAGUCUGUCCCUUCUUUUGUGUGUCUUAUAUUUAUUUUAGGAUUACAUGACCUGUGGAAUUGGCUGUUAACAUCGUAACCCUAUGGAGGGUGAGUAUUGUUUUUGACAUGAGUUGUUAGUGAUGCAAAAUCUCCAUUUGGGUGGGUGGGGAAUUUAUCAAAAUUUUAGGCUUUGUAGGAACUGUUCUUAUGAUACCAGAUUUGUUUGCUUGUUUGUGCUUGCAACUUGUCAUUUUUCUGUCAGAAUUGGUUAGCUGCUUUCUUAUUUUCUUGGCAUGUGCUAGCAGUCAGGCGGCUGUGGCUGGGGACUUGGGAUUUUAGUGAAGUCAUCAUCUGUUUGUGCUAAGGUGCUUAAGGUUGUCCAAGUGGAUGACAACACACAAUUCUUUCAUAUGAUUGCGAAUGGGAAACAUAGGAAGAAGUAAAUUAUACAACUUGAACAGGACGAAGGGACUAUUGUGGGUCAUGAGAAUCUGAAAGUGUAUAUCUCUAAUUAUUAUAAACAACUUUUUGGGUCUCCGGAAAUAAGCACGAUGUCCCUUAAUGAAUCUCUUAUUUGAGAUAUCCCUCAGCUUCGGGUAGAGGAAAAUGAUAUUCUAUCUGCACCGUUCGCUGAGAAGGAGGUUCUUGAUGCAAUUUCACAAAUGAAACCGAACAAAGCACCGGGACCAGAUGGGUUUCACGCGGAAUUCCAUAAGAAGUGUUGGCAUAUUAUUAAGGAUGAUCUUAUGCCUAUGUUCCAUGAUUUUUUUAAUGGUCAUUUGGAACUAUUCCAUCUUAACUUUGGCAUGAUUACGCUGUUGCCAAAGAAAUAAGGGACAGUCCGGAUCGAACAGUUUAGGCCAAUAUGUCUUCUCAACGUGAGUUUCAAAAUAUUCACAAAAGCGGGCACAAAUAGAUUGACGCAGAUUGCCCACUCGGUGGUACAAUCGAGCCAGACAGCUUUCAUGCCUGGGAGACACAUUCUUGAAGGGGUCUUCGUCCUGCAUGAAAUGCUGCAUGAAAUUCAUUUGAAGAAACUAGAUGGGGUUAUCUUCAAAGUGGAUUUUGAGAAGGCAUAUGAUAAAGUUAAAUGGCAUUUCCUUCAGCAGGCAAUGCGCAUGAAAGGCUUUAGUGAGGAUUGGCAGAACCAAGUGGGUUCUCUAGUCCAGAAGGGUAGUAUCAGAAUCAAGUUUAACGAUGAUAUCGGUCACUACUUUCAGACACACAAGGGGUUGAGACACGGGGACUCCAUGUCUCCUCUCCUAUUUAAUAUAGUGGCUGAUAUGCUGACCAUUCUUAUAGGCAGGGCCAAGCAAAACAGUCAAGUGGAUGGGCUAGUACCUCAUCUGGUCGAUGGGGGGAGUCUCCAUUUUAUAGUAUGCUGACGACACUAUCCUGUUCAUGGAACAUGACAUUGCAAAAGCACAAAAUAUGAAACUCAUUUUAUGUCUCUUCGAACAAUUGUCUGGAUUAAAAAUAAAUUUUCACAAGAGCGAGUUGUUCUGCUUUGGUAAGGCCAAAUAAGAGCAAGACACAUAUAGGCAAUUGUUUGGGGGUGAAUUAGGUUCCUUGCCUUUCAGCUAUUUGGGAAUACCAAUUCAUCCCCCAAAGCUUUCUAAUAAAGAAUGGAAGUUCAUCGAAGAUCGAAUUGAAAAAAAGCUUAGUUGCUGGAAGGGCAAGCUAAUGUCGUAUGGAAGGUCGGCUAGUGUUGAUCAACUCAGUACUUACUAGUAUACCGAUGUUCCUAUUAUGUUUCUACGAGGUACCCAUUGGGGUGCUAAAGAGAUUAGAUUUCUUUAGAUCUCGAUUCUUCUGGCAGUCAGACCACUAGUAGAAAAAGGGCCUAUUGUCCCGGUUCGUAAGGGCCAUUUGUCCUGGUUAUUGAACCGGGACUAAAGUGUCGUUACUAAUGCCCUAGACCUUUAGUCCCGGUUCUUAUACAAACCGGGACAUAUGGGCCUCCACGUGGCCGGUGCGGGGAGCCCAGGCAGGAGGCCCCUUGGUCCCGGUUUGUGGCACCAACCGGGAUCAAUAGGCAUCCACGCGUCAGCAUUUCAGGGGCUGGGGUUUUUGUUUUUUUAAAGGGGGGGUUAGGGGGUUUUGGGGGGUUAAUUUAGGUGUUUCAUAUUGUGUUAGCUAGCUAAUUAAUAGAGAGAAGUGUCCUCUCUUAUCUCCAUGCUUGGUUGACGCUACAUACUAUACGUAUAGAGAGGACUAGACACGGUAGCUAGUAAGCAAAUGAAGGAAACAGAAGAUCGUCAUGAACAUAUGCAUACAGAGAGAAGUGAUAUCGACCACCUCUCCUUCUGUGAGAGAUUGGUCGAACAACAAGUUCUCGUAUAUCUAUCCAACGCUACUGGCUACAUAUACAUAUAUACAAUAUAAUUAUCUCUUACAAUAUAAUCUCCUAAUUAUAUAUGAACUCAGGGUCCACAUGGUAUUCUCUGUCUUUAUCGAUCAUGUGGUCAAGAAAGAAUGCCGCCAAUUCCUCUUGAAUUGCUCGCAUAUGAUCUGGUGGUAGGAGUUCAUCCCGCAUCCGAAAUAUCUAAUUUGAAGAAGGGGGUCAAUACAUAUAUAUGAAUAAAUGAAACUCAACACAAAUGAUGGCAAUAAAGUAAAAUUGUGAAUAUUAUUAUUUACGCACUUCAUCUUGUUUGUCAGAGUAGCCCCGCUCACAGGUCGUGUGGCGGAUGGACUCGCAAAUGUAGUAUCCACAGUAAUCAUUCCCUUGUUCUUGCCACAACCAAUUUACAAGAAAUAGAGGUCAAUCAAACUGAUAAGCAAGCAUGCUAAAUGGUAUUGAUGAAACUAGCGCUCGAAUCACUAGGAGAUGCGCGGAACAUGCUACUAUAGUACUUACUUUCGGGUGUUUAAAUUGCAGCUUCUUCGGCAAUCCCGGAGUUUUUGAGGUGAAUUUUUUCCAAACCCUGCUAGACAAAGAAAACAAUUACUUGAUAUCAGGAAAUGAACAAAGUUGCUGAUAUGGUGCGAUAAUGAUCGAUUUAACUUACUUCUCUAGAAUUUCAGUCAUGCCCGCGUACUCCAUGGGAUCUUUUCGUCUCGAGUCUAAGACGGUUACAAGUCCCUGCUCAAGCUUAAUCUCUAGGAGAAUAUAGUGGAAGCUGCGCACGGAUGCAUAACUCAUCAAUUACAUUACUAUAACCUCGACUAAUAAGGGAAACCGAAUAUGCACAAGACAGUAACACUCACCUGUAUUCAUAAGGAAAGACUAUUAUAGCUUUGUUUUGAUUUAAUACAAACGACUGUAGCAACUUGGCCUCGGUAUCUCUGGCCUGAAAUUUAACCAUAUAUGCAUCUAUGAGAUUUGUGUUAAUGAACCCAAUAUCACCAAUUUGUCUUUUCUUCAAUUCGGUGAUCUUCAAUCUGCAUAAUAUAGUGAGGAUAAUUAAAAAUACAUGCAAUGAAAGAGCUGACCUAUAUAGAGAGACUUAAUGAUAGAAGUAGUACUACUUACAGGCAGUAGCAAGUGACCGUUGUCGGUGUCAAAACCGGCGGAUCUCGGGUAGGGGGUCCCGAACUGUACGUCUAGGAGGAUGGUAACAGGAGACGAGGGACACGAUGUUUUUAGCCAGGUUCGGGCCCUCUCGAUGAAGGUAAAACCCUACUCCUGCUUGACUAAUAUUGAUGAUAUGGGUAGUACAAGAGUAGAUCUACCACGAGAUCAGAGAGGCUAAACCCUACAAGCUAGCCUAUGGUAUGAUUGUUGUUCGUCCUACGGACUAAAACCCUCCAGUUUAUAUAGACACCAGAGAGGGUUAGGGUUACAUAGAGUCGGUUACAAUGGUAGGAGAUUUACAUAUCUGUACCGCCAAGCUUGCCUUCCACGCCAAGGAAAGUCCCAUCCGGACAUGGGACGAAGUCUUCAAUCUUGUAUCUUCAUAGUCUAGGAGUCCGGCCAAAGGUGAUAGUUCGGCUAUCCGGACACCCCCUAAUCCGGGACUCCUUCAGUAGCCCCCGAACCAGGCUUCAAUGACGACGAGUCCGGUGCGUAGAUUGUCUUUGGCAUUGCGAGGCGGGUUCUCCUCCAAAUUCCAUAUACUUGUUGAAUAGUGUCCGGCUUCUGAUAAAUGCUGCGCCCCUCGGCUUCCACGCCCAAUAAUGGCCAUCUUCCACAUGUUGAAUGAAUGCGAAAAGCCAGGGUAUCUUUACACUUACCCCCCUAGCUUCGUAAAUGAGCCGCCCAUAAAAGAGACGAGGAUCUAGAUCCGAAUCACACCAUCCUCCCUCCGCGAGCUUUCAUCGGAGCGCCUCUGACAAAAAUCCAUUCCGUCAUGGACAGUCGACGCGGAUCCUCCUCUCGCGCUCCCAGCCCUUAGCCUGGAGAUUGGGAGAGAUGCUCAGUCCCGCAUAGCGAGCUAGUGACGCUCCAAACCAAGGGAUUUCUUCCCCCAGCCUUCAUGGUUCCGGUCCGAGCCGGACUCGCCACCUAUAAGGGCGGAAAACAGGCGGAGAGCGUCCCCGAUCCCUCCAAAGGAGAGCGGGUAUGCUUUGUCUCUUAUCUGAUAAGAGGACUCGGAUUCCCAAUUCAUCCGUUUCUCCGGGGGCUCCUAGAGUUCUACGGCCUUCAGUUGCACCACCUUACGGCUGCCUCCAUUUUGCACAUCGCGGGCUUCGUGGCCCUUUGCGAACUGUUCUUGGGCAUCGAGGCUCAUUUUGCGCUGUGGAAGAGAUUAUUCUGGCUUGUACCCCGUUCUCAUGAGGGGUCAAUAUAUCAAGUGGGCGGAGCCGAGCUAUGGCGCAUCGCCGGGACCGGAUGUCUAUCCGGAACCCCGAAGAAGGCGUCUGAAGACUGGCCUUCGGAAUGGUUUUAUAUAGAAGACGUCCUGCUGCCGGAUCCUGUUCGGAUCGGCCUCCCGGAGUUCAGUAAUGCUCCCUUGAAGAAACGCCUAAGUUGGCGUCCGCGGAGCCCCCAGAGGGAAAAUGACAGGGACGUCCUUUACCUGAUGAGCCGAAUAAGGUUGUUAGCUCAUUCCGGACUAACCAUGAUCGGUGUCAUGGCCACAUGCAUUAUGCGGGGGGUGCAGCCGCUCCAGUUUAGGGGCCACCCCAUGUGGGAUUUCAACGGGGAGGACGAUGCCACCCGUCAUGGCCGUAAGGGGCCGGGAUCGGUCGCCGAUCUGGUGAAGAUCUUGUCCGCGUUGUACAAGGGGGAAGAGGAGGAUUUUCUCCAUGUCAGUCCAUUGAACGGAUUUUCUAUGAACAAUACUCGAAGCUGGGUAAGCGGACCUUUCUUUUUCGCACAUCCGAUCCGUAUUCCCAUGGUUAGGUAUCUCAUUUUGUGAUUUCGACGCAGGAACUGUGCCAGGCUGUAAAAGACAUAAACAGCCUGCCUCCACAACCCGAGGAUCCGGAGCGGUUCCUUGAUCUGGCCUCCCAAGAGGAUCCGGACAUAUUGGUGGAGCUGAUUGAUGGGGUAUUUCACCAACUGAGCAUCGAUAAUGCCUUGGUUGCCAUUACGGCUGAUUACCCCGGAAUACUUCCAGCCUCACAGGUAACUGAGACCGAAGUCCCAAUACUUUGAUAAUGACCCAUCCGUGCUUAUUUUUGAUAACCGUAUACCAAUGGUGUUUCGCAGGGGGUGCCUUUGAGGCGGAAGGCCGAGCCCGCGGCAGCUAGCCAACAAGGGGCAGCACGGCCCCGCAGGCUAAAAAGAAGUGCGGUCCGGAUCGAAACGCCGCUGCAACGGUAUGGCGUGUCACCAUAUUCCCAGGAUUGAUUCCUGGAAGGCAUAUUAAUGUUGGUGCUCUUUUCUGGAAAAAGAGCGCUCGCCGGACUGUGUCCGGAGAGAUUGCCAAUCGAGCCUCCGCCAGCCAGGCUCCAAAGCCGGGUCCGGAAGCGGAGGCGAGCACGAGGCAUGCGUCGGAUGCUCCUCCCACAGAGGAUGCCGACAGAUUGUCCGCCGCCCACUCCGAGGUGGAGAGUGCCAUGAAUCACAGGCGCUGCCGGACAGUUCUUCGUGACGCGUGUUUCUCCCAAGAGGCAUUGAAUGCCUUCAAUUCGGGAGAUGCGCACCUCCGUGCCGCUCAAUAUGGUCUAGCCAGAGCCGCGGAGCAGUAUGUAAAGGACAUACGGGUGAGGAAAUUUGACAGUUAUAUAUGCCAGUAGCCCCCGAGACUUAAAAUAGUUAGAAUCACUGAUUUAAGGAUCAUUUGUUAUGCAGGAUCUUACGGAAAAGAAUACCCGACUGUCCCAGGAGCUUGAAGAGUGCAAGGCCCAACUUGAGGCCGCACUAGCCGCGACAGGGGGAGCCACAGAGACCCCCUCCGGUAAUAUAUGCUUCAAAAGAUAAGUAGUUUGUGAAGUGCGGCGUGUGUAUAAGUCUGACAAUAAUAUUGCAGAUGGCGCUGGACUAGAUCCGGACAAGCAACAGCUCUUGCGCCGGUUAAAGGCCGGUGAGAAUGUGCUUACAAGGGUGAGGCAAGAGAAAAAUAAUCUCCAAGAUGCCAACACCCAGCUGGGUGAGGAACUAAAGGAUGUUCGUGCCCAGCUGUCUGACUCCGUUAAGGAGAAUCGGCGGCUUCGUCGCGGCACUUAUAGUAAGUGCUUGAGCGAACUUUGAAAAAAGAGUUUGGCGAGGAAGUCGACUAACAGAAAUAUGUCUGUAGGUAUGCUCAUAGGUCGUCCUGCAGAGGAAAUGCCCGGUUCAACGGGUGACCUGCUUCCUGAGCUGCUACAACUGCACGAACAAGUUCGGCAGGUGAUGAAAGGCGUCGCCCAGGCCUUGUGGCCAUCUAUCUCCCUGCCCGAAGGCCUUGGAGAGCUUGCAGAGAGGCUUCAGGGAGCACGGCGGCGCUUCCGACUAUGGAAGAUACCGGCCUGCCGUCAAGGCGCCAGGGAGGCCUGGGCCAUGGUGAAGACGCGGUACACGAAAGCUGACCCAAACCACAUGGCCGAGGUCGGACCUGUGGGGCCCGAUGGGAAGGAGAUCCCUGUGAGCUUGGUAUACGGCCAAGUAGAGUUGGCCGCAAAGUAUUCCCAGCAGGACUGUAAACUAGACAGCCUAUUAGAUGGCAUUGAAGAGGAAUACAAUCAGUCAAUUUGACUAUGUAAUUUAAAAUGACAUGUAAAAUGCCUUCUUGCCGGAUUGUAGAUCGUUUGUCGUAGCGGACCUUUUCGCUUCAACCUCGGGACCCAAUAGUCCGGAGUGUGUCCGAAUACCCUCGCGGUUAUGUAAAAACCGGGGCAUGCGUGGAGACCAGGCGUAGGGGUCAUGAGUGCUUUAUCGGACAAGUGCCCAACUAGUUAUGUUAUAUUACAUGGUUAGUAAGAAACAUCUUCCAGGGAGAAUAGUUUCGUUAGGGGUUCCUUUCCCUGGGAGGCAUGCCCUAAAGUGCAUGUCCGGACUGCGAAAAAAGCAGAAAAACAUCUGGGGGCAGAUAAAUGAAUAAGUAAGAAAUCGUCUUUUAGUUCACCGACCGAAUAUUCCCUUAAGAACGCUAGCUUUCGGCUUCACCCAGUCUGAGGUACACGUCCAGCUGACCCGGCGGUAACAAUCGCAGAGGUGCUCCCUUUACCACCUAGCCGAACAAUCGGGAACGUAGGGGUAAGCACAGGAGCCAGGCAACCCAGCUUGGCCAAAACUUAAGUCAUAUCGAUGCAUAUAAUGGUGAAUAAAAGGUACAUGCGGAAGUGUGACACAUGUGUUGGGCAUAAAGCCCGUAUAAAUAAGCUUCUGUUAAAGAAGCCCCCGGGUAUAAUGAGCGCGGAUAGAGCGUCAAGUGUGUGCGAACUAUGCGCAAACAGGCCUCCAACGGCUUCGGAAAAAAGGAGGGAGAAGGAGAGAAAUAAAAGACAGUUAAAGUAUAAAAUAUAGACGGAGGAAGGAGACGAACUCAGAAUCCGGCGCUAGGCAUAGAAUCUUCGGAGACGGGCUGCGUUCCAUGGGUUCGGCUCAAGUCGGUUAUCCGAUGCGUUUCGCAGACGGUACGCUCCGCCGGUCAGGACUUGGUCGAUGAUGAAGGGACCCUCCCAUUUGGGCUUGAGUUUGUCCUUUUUCUUGUCCGGCAGGUGUAGAACUAAUUCGCCAACAUUGUAAGCUUUGGCCCGUACUUCUCUGCUUUGGUAUCUUCAAGCCUGCUGUUGAUAGAAUGCGGAACGAGCUUUUUCCACGUCACGCUCCUCCUCCAAGGUGUCCAAACUGUCCUGCCGAUCGAGCUCGGCUUCUCUUUCUUCGUACAUGCGCACGCGAGGUGAGUCAUGAAUUAUGUCGCAGGGCAAAACUGCCUCUGCGCCGUAUGCCAUAAAAAAUGGUGUGAAUCCGGUAGUGCGAUUCGGCGUGGUUCCCAGCCCCCAGAGUACGGAGUCGAGCUCCUCUACCUAGUGCGCAUUAGAUUCCUUGAGGGACCGCACUAGCCUGGGUUUAAUGCCCCUCAUGAUUAGACCAUUUGCUCGCUCGACUUGACCGUUAGUUUGAGGAUGAUAGACUGAAGCGUAGUCGAGCUUGAUGCCCAUGUUUUUGCACCAGAGUUUGACCUCGUCGGCCAUGAAGUUCGUGCCGUUAUCAGUGAUGAUGCUAUGGGGAACGCCGUAACGGUGUACUACCCCUGAUAUGAAGGCUAUCACUGGUCCGGAUUCGUCCGUCUUAACAGGCUUGGCCUCUAUCCAUUUGGUGAAUUUAUCCACCAUGACCAAUAGGUAUUUUUGCUUGUGGGUUCCUCCUUUAAGGGGUCCAACCAUGUCAAGCCCCCAGACCGCGAACGGCCAGGUGAUGGGUAUAGUUUUGAGGGCGGUGGGUGACAUGUGGCUUUGAUUAGCAAAGAGCUGGCAUCCGGCGCAUCGUUGGACUAAGUCCUGAGCAUCUGCCGGGGCCGUCGGCCAAUAAAAUCUUGUACGGAAGGCCUUGCCUACAAGGGCCCGGGCUGCGGCGUGGUGCCCGCCGAGUCCGGCAUGGCAUCCCCUAAUCCGGGACUCCCUCAACCGUUAAUUUAUCGAGGGCCUUUUGAUUGAAAAACGCGAAGAACUCCUCAAAUGGAACAUUCAUCAGUUCAAUUCCAACGAGGUCAUGCUCCUCUAUAACUCUCAGCAUCAAAAUAUUCCUCCCCUCAGACUCGCUGCAGGUUUUCAUGUACCAAUCAUGGAAUCUUUGCAUCAUCGUUGUUAGAGAUCUUUCAUCUUUGACGAGAGGCUUCCCGUACUCAUAUUUGUGUUCGACUACCUCCAAGAAAUCAUAAUGUACAUCGUCAGGCAGGUAAUCUCCAAGAUCGUUAUAACCGGGCACCAUCCCCGGAUCUUUAGCGAUGAUAUCGCUAGACACCUAGANNNNNNNNNNNNNNNNNNNNNNNNNNNNNNNNNNNNNNNNNNNNNNNNNNNNNNNNNNNNNNNNNNNNNNNNNNNNNNNNNNNNNNNNNNNNNNNNNNNNNNNNNNNNNNNNNNNNNNNNNNNNNNNNNNNNNNNNNNNNNNNNNNNNNNNNNNNNNNNNNNNNNNNNNNNNNNNNNNNNNNNNNNNNNNNNNNNNNNNNNNNNNNNNNNNNNNNNNNNNNNNNNNNNNNNNNNNNNNNNNNNNNNNNNNNNNNNNNNNNNNNNNNNNNNNNNNNCUAACCUUUGAUCACUGACAGUACUUCCUGACCACUCCACUUCGAUAAAUGACUUUUCAAUAAUGCGCUCAUAGUUGCCUUUCGUCGGAGACUUUGGUGGUUUUUUCAGGGCAACAAGAGGUGGAUGUUUCUUUGCUUUCACCCCUUCAAAGAAGUUCUUCACUUCGGCUCGCACGAUCUUCGUGUUUUCCUCCAGGCUCCUCUCCUAUGGUAACUUCUCUGGAGUCUUCAGAGAAGGACCAAAUCUGUAUUGCGUCCCGCCUUUGGCUGUACUACUAGACGUCGGAGCAGACAGAGCGGCUGCGGCUGUCUUUCCUUUCUUACGAGGCGGACGAGAAGGACUACGACGCACCAGAGCAGUCGAAGCGGGGGCGGGUCUCUUCCUCCCUUGUUGACGAGGCAGAGAAGGAGGAGGCUGGCUGCUCGGGCGCGCCAGCGUAGGCAGAGAAGGAGGCAGAGUGCCGCCACGCACCGGAGAAGGAGUCUGAGUGCCCUGAUCACUCGCCGGAGGAGGAGGCGGAGUGCCCUCACUCGCCGGAGGAGGAGGAGGAGGCGGAGGCGUCCAGUUCGGAAGGUUGAUGAGAUCCUUCCGCCAUAGGCAUGGAGUCUUCAGAGAAGAACCCAGCCGAAUCUCCCCUUCACCCGUAGGGUGGUCAAGCUCGAGGUCCUCAAAUCCGUCCGUUAUUUCAUCCACCAUCACCCUAGCAUAUCCUCCUAGAAUCGAUCGGCAGUGGUAGGUUGCGCUAGGUUCAGUAGGGAAAACAGAGCCAACAGCCGCCUUGACUUUGAAUUUCAUCCAUUGCGUCAUAAGGUGGCAAUGUUGAGACUCCGUGAUAGCAUCCACGGGGUAGCUAGCAGGAGCCGUGAAGAUAGGCUCCAGCUGAAGCUACUAGGUGGAAGCCACGCUGCUUCUCCGCUGAGAUGGCGGGGUAGCUUCGCGGGAAGCUUCGGCAGGUCAUUUGCUGUGAUUUGAUUCUCGUUCCUCUAGCCCUUGUACCCUUGUGUGCAGCGCCUGCAGUUGGCUAUGCUCCACUUUCUUCCUCCUCUCCUGGCAUUUGUAACCCCAUGCGUCCGGAAACCCAGCCUUCCAUGAAACGGAGCCUGGCGUGCCUCGUGUCCAUCCAGGGUGCUCAGGAUUCCCGAGGGCCAUUGUGAGCUCAUCCUUCUCUCUGUCUAGAACGAACUUCCCUUACUGUGUUGCCUCGAUAUACUCCUGAAGCCUCGUGACGGGUAUUCGCAGUUGCUCGUCCGUCCAAACGCACUUCCCUGAUACAGGGUCCAAGGUUCUGCCAAGCCUGAAGAACCAAUUCCAGCAACGGUCUGGCCAGUUCAAUUUCUCUGGUUCGACCCCUUUAUCAAUCAGGUCAUUCUUAGCCUUGGCCCACAACAGUCGGGCUUUGAGGUAGCCACCUGACCCCGUGCGAUGGUGAUGCUUCUUCUUCACAGCAUUUUUCUUGUGUGUCGUUGACAUCUUCUUAAUCUUGUCGGAUGUCUUGUGGGCCACAAAUGCAGGCCAGUGAUCUCUAAUCUUCUCAUACCGACCGGUGAAUUCUGGUGUAAUUUCUUUGUCGACAAACGUUGUUUUCAGCUCAUUCUUCCACCUCCUGAAUAGUUCUGCCAUCUUCUUAAGAGCAUGAGACUUGAUCAAUUGCUCUUUAACUGGCUUCUCCGGAUCCUCCUCUGGCGGUAGGGUGAAAUUUUCCUUAAGCGUUGUCCAAAGAUCUUCUUUCUGCAUAUCGGAGACAUAAGACACCUCAGGGUCUUCCUUCUUAGGCUUUAACCAUUGGUGGAUACUGAUCGGGAUCUUGUCCCUAAUAAGAACCCCGCACUGAUAAGCAAAUGAUUCAUUUGUCCGGAUGGGUUCAAUCGGCUUGCCAUCGCGCGCGAUUGCUGUGAUCUCAAACCUUUCAUCCGAGCGCAACAUUUUCUUCAGGCCUUGUCUCUUUAACGAAGUUGUGCUCGAUCCGGAGGGCUAGAAAAAAGAAGAAAGACGAGAGUUAAUUAAUAUGUGUACAUACAAAAACAAUGAAUGCAUCAAUUAGCUAGUAAGCACAGGCUUAACUAAUAUAUAUACCUGGCUGGACUCAGUUAAGUCACCGGAUCCGUCAUCACGGUCUCCUUCUUGUACCGGCAUUGGGUCAUCUGAGCCAUCAUAAUCAAAGCCUUCUUCUUGUACCGUCAUUGGGUCACCGGAGCCAUCAUAAUCAUAGCCUUCUUCUUCACCCUGUCCUUCCAGACCAUCGCUGUCGUUGAGAAACGACAAGACGACAUCACUUCCUUUUACGAUUAUGUCCCCCAACAUCGCUUCUGUUGCUUCGUCUCAGGGGUGCUCCAUAGUUUCUGCAAAUAUUUACAACAUGGCAAUUAUUAUUCAAACAUGACAGAUGGAUAUAUUAGUGGCAAACAUAGAACUAGCUAGCUAAUCACAAUAAGGAAUCAUAUUAGUGGCCUCGAUGCUGCUUCUCUAGGGUUUGGGGUGGCCUUGGCAAUGCUUCAAGGGUUUGGGGUGGCCUCGACAACGCUUCAAGGGUUUGGGGUGGCCUCGACGACAACGCUCUUUUAACUUGGUGAAUUUGGGUGGCCUUGAGAGAGUUUGUCGGGUAGGGGCGCGACGGGAGGGGGUAGGAGACCGACAUCGUUUUUUCUAGGGUUUGGGUGUCCUNNNNNNNNNNNNNNNNNNNNNNNNNNNNNNNNNNNNNNNNNNNNNNNNNNNNNNNNNNNNNNNNNNNNNNNNNNNNNNNNNNNNNNNNNNNNNNNNNNNNNNNNNNNNNNNNNNNNNNNNNNNNNNNNNNNNNNNNNNNNNNNNNNNNNNNNNNNNNNNNNNNNNNNNNNNNNNNNNNNNNNNNNNNNNNNNNNNNNNNNNNNNNNNNNNNNNNNNNNNNNNNNNNNNNNNNNNNNNNNNNNNNNNNNNNNNNNNNNNNNNNNNNNNNNNNNNNNNNNNNNNNNNNNNNNNNNNNNNNNNNNNNNNNNNNNNNNNNNNNNNNNNNNNNNNNNNNNNNNNNNNNNNNNNNNNNNNNNNNNNNNNNNNNNNNNNNNNNNNNNNNNNNNNNNNNNNNNNNNNNNNNNNNNNNNNNNNNNNNNNNNNNNNNNNNNNNNNNNNNNNNNNNNNNNNNNNUCUUCUUCCUCUCCUCUUCUUCUCCUUUCUUCCUCUUCUUAUUUUCCUUUUUCCUCUCAUUCUUUUUCUUCUUCUUCCUUCCCUAGCUAGAUAUAUAAAAAUUUUCUAAAAAUUAAACUAACCUAAAAUGUACUAAAUCAGAGAACAUAUAUAGUCUAACUUUUGCAUAUAUGUAUACUUUAAAACAUCAUUACAAUUGAAAAAAUACAUACAUACAUACAAAAAACAUGUAAAAAAUACAUACAUACAUAUAUGAACAUACAUAAAAUAAUACAUAUAUCUAAAAAAUACAUACAUACAUAUAUGAAAAUCUAAAGACAUGUAAAAGAAUAGCAUAUAUAACUAAAAAAAUAGCACGACGGCGGCUGGGCCGGCAGAGGCGCGGUGCUCAUAGAGGGAGGAGCGCGCGGCGGGCGGUGUCGGGGCGAGUGUCGGUGGCAAAACCGGCGGAUCUCGGGUAGGGGGUCCGAACUGUGCGUCUAAGGCUAAUGGUAACAGGAGACUGGGGACACGAUGUUUACCCAGGUUCGGGCCCUCUCGAUGGAGGUAAUACCCUACUUCCUGCUUGAUUGAUCUUGAUGAUAUGAGUAUUACAAGAAUUGAUCUACCACGAGACCGUAGAGGCUAAACCCUAGAAGCUAGCCUAUGAUUAUGAUUGUUGUUGUCCUAUGGACUAAACCCUCCGGUUUAUAUAUACACCGGAGGGGGCUAGGGUUACACAAAGUCGGUUAGAGAGAAGGAGAUCUAUCAUCCGAAUCGCCAAGCUUGCCUUCCAUGCAAAGGAGAGUCCCAUCCAGACACGAGACGAAGUCUUCAAUCUUGUAUCUUCAUAGUCCAGCAGUCCGGCCAAAGUAUAUAGUCAGGCUGUCCGGAUACCCCCUUAUCCAGGACUCCCUCAGUAGCCCCCAAACCAGGCUUCAAUGAAGAUGAGUCCGGCGCGUAGAUUGUCUUCGGCAUUGCAAGGCAGGUUCUUCUCCAAAUCUAGAGUACCUGUCGUAGCAAACAGUGUCCGGCCUCCCAUUAAUGUUGUACUCCUCGGCCUCUGUGCUUCAAUAAUGGCCAUCUCCACGUGUCGAGCGAAUACGAGGAGCCGGGGCAUUUUUACAUUUGCUACCCUGACCCUGUAAGCAAACCGUCUAUUUGAAGAGACGGGGAUCCUCAGAUCGAAAUCACAGCAUCUUCUCUCGAGCAAGCAUUCCACAGAGCACGUCCGGAAAAGACCAUCCCAUCAUGGCCGGUCGCCGCAGCUCUUCCUCUAGCUCCCCUAGCUCGAAGCCAGGGGAUUGGGAAAAGUGUUUCGUCCCUCAUAGCCGUCUAGUAGAGUUGCAGACCCAAGUGUUCCUUCCACCUGCAUACAUGGUCCCCGUCCGUUCUGGACUAGCCACCUAUAAUGGCGGGGAGCAAGCGGAGAGAUUUCCUAACCCAUCUCAAGGAGAGCGGGUAUGCCUUGUCCCAUAUCUGCUAAGAGGAGUCGGGUUUCCAAUCCACCCAUUCCUCCGCGGGCUCCUGGAGUUCUACGGCCUCUAGCUGCAUAACUUUACCCCCACAUCCAUACAGCACAUCGCGGGUUACGUUGCCCUCUGCGAGCUAUUUCUGGGAUGUGAAGCUCAUUUCGAGUUAUGGAAGAGGUUAUUUUACCUCGUCCCCCGCAAUCAGGAGGGAUCUAUAUAUCAAGUGGGCGGAGCCGAAAUAUGGCUAGUCGCCCAGACUGGAUACCUAUCCGGUACUCCAAAGAAGGCGUCCGAAGACUGGCCUUCAGAGUGGUUUUAUGUUGAUGGCGUUCCCCUUCCGGAUCCAGUCCGGACAGGCCUUCCUGAGUUUACCAAUACUCCACUGAAGAAACGCCAAAGUUGGCGCCCCCGGAGCCCCCAGGAGGAAGACAACAGAGAAGUCCUCUAUCUGAUGAGCAGGAUAAAAACCCUGGCCAAAUCAGGACUGACAAUAACCGAAGUUAUGUCAAUAUGCAUAAUGCGGGGGGUGCAGCCACUUCAAUAUAGGGGGAAACCCAUGUGGCACUUCAAUGGAGAAGACGACGCCUCCCGCUGCGGUCGUAAAGGUCCGGACUCCGCCACCGCUCUGGCGAGAAUAUUGUCCGACCUGUAUAAAGUAGAGGAAGAGGAGUUCCUCCGCAUUAAACCGCGGGGUGGAUUUUGUUCGAAAUAUGCCCUAGAGGCAAUAAUAAAUUAGUUAUUAUUAUUAUUAUAUUUCCUUGUUCAUGAUAAAUCGUUUAUUAUCCAUGCUAUAAUUGUAUUGAUAGGAAACUCAGAUACAUGUGUGGGUACAUAGAAAACACCAUGUCCCUAGUAAGCCUCUAGUUGACUAGCUCGUUGAUCAAUAGAUGGUUACGGUUUCCUGACCAUGGACAUUGGAUGUCGUUGAUAACGGGAUCACAUCAUUAGGAGAAUGAUGUGACGGACAAGACCCAAUCCUAAGCCUAGCACAAAGACCGUGUAGUUCAUAUGCUAAAGCUUUUCUAAUGUCAAGUAUCAUUUCCUUAGACCAUGAGAUUGUGCAACUCCAGGAUACCGUAGGAAUGCUUUGGGUGUACCAACCGUCACAACGUAACUGGGUGGCUAUAAAGGUGCACUACGGGUAUCUCCGAAAGUGUCUGUUGGGUUGGCACGAAUCGAGACUGGGAUUUGUCACUCCGUGUAACAGAGAGGUAUCUCUGGGCCCACUCGGUAGGACAUCAUCAUAAUGUGCACAGUGUGACCAAGGGGUUGAUCACGGGAUGAUGUGUUACGGAACGAGUAAAGAGACUUGCCGGUAAUGAGAUUGAACAAGGUAUCGGGAUACCGACGAUCGAAUCUCGGGCAAGUACAAUACCGCUAGACAAAGGGAAUUGAAUACGGGAUUGAUUGAAUCCUCGACAUCGUGGAUCAUCUAAUGAGAUCAUCGUGGAACAUGUGGGAGCCAACAUGGGUAUCCAGAUCCCGCUGUUGGUUAUUGGCCGGAGAGUUGUCUCGGUCAUGUCUGCAUGGUUCCCGAACCCGUAGGGUCUAUACACUUAAGGUUCGAUGACGCUAGGGUUAUAGGGAAUAGAUAUACGUGGUUACCGAAUGUUGUUCGGAGUCUCGGAUGAGAUCCCGGCCAUCACGAGGAGUUCCGGAAUGGUCCGGAAGUAAAGAUUUAUAUAUGGAAAGUUGUUGUUCGGGUUCCGGGAAAAGUUCGGUUUUUUCCGGUAUUGUACCGGGAAGCUUCCGGAAGGUUCCGGAGGAUUCCGGAGGGGCCCGGAGGUCCGGAAAAUGUUCCACCACGUCCAAUACAGCAGCAUGGGCUGUAGGGGGGCGCCCUAGCCUUAAUGGGCCAGGGGCACCAGCCCCCCCAAGGCCCAUGCGCAUGGGAGAGGGGAAACCCUAAAGGGGAGGGCCUCCACUUGACUUGGUAGGCACUCCUCCCCCCCUUGGCCGCCGCCCCAACCCUAGAUGGGAUCUAGGGGGGCCGGCCCCCCUCUCUCCCCACCUAUAAAUAGUGGAGGGGUGGAAGGGCCGCCGCACCCCCAAGUUCUGGCGCAGCCCUCCCCCUCUCCCAAGUCCUCCUCCUCUCCCGCGGUGCUUGGCGAAGCCCUGCAGGAUUGCCACGCUCCUCCACCACCACCACACCAUCGUGCUGCUGCAGGAUGGAGUCUUCCCCAACCUCUCCCUCUCUCCUUGCUGGAUCAAGGCAUGGGAGACGUCACCGGGCUGCAUGUGUGUUGAACGCGGAGGUGCCGUCCGUUCGUCACUAGGAUCAUCGGUGAUUUGGAUCACGACGAGUACGACUCCAUCAACCCUGUUCACUUGAACGCUUCCACUUAGUGAUCUACAAGGGUAUGUAGAUGCACUCUCCUUCCCCUCGUUGCUAGAUUACUCCCUAGAUUGAUCUUGGUGAUGCGUAGAAAAUUUUGAAUUUCUGCUACGUUCCCCAAUAGAUUUUCCAUGCACAACCCCCCAAGCUGGGUAAGCUGCCAUUUUUUACUCGACUCUGUCCAUUUUUGCCUCCUUUGUCAUAAUCAUUUACCUUGCUAUUUCAAAGCAGGAACUAAGAAAGGCUGUGAGAGAGUUCAACAACCCAUCUCCGCAGCCAGAGGAUCCUGGCCGGGCUCUCGACCCCGUACUUGAAGAAGAUCUGGACAUAUUCAUGGAGUUUAUCAACAGGACAUUCUACCAGGCAAGCUGCGACGGACCUUUAGUGGCCAUCAUCGCGGAUUAUCCCGGACUGCUUCCUGUGUCGCAUGUAAGUAAAGCCGGGGUCCUAACUUCCAAAUAGGAUUCCUUCGUUAUGCCAUAUCUUAAGCACACAUGUUGCAUCUUUAUAGAAACGUUCAUCGGGGCGCCGUGCAGAACCCGCAGGGGCUCAUCAGCAAAGGGCGUCCGGACAAGGCAGGCUUAAAAGGAAGGCGGUUAGGAUUGAGAUGCUGGCACAGAGGUACAAAUUAAACUUACUCCCUGAUUAUCUUUGCCGAGAUAUGACAGUUUUAGUUAUGUCCUGGCAUAAAGAGUAGUUGUCGGACUAUAUCCGGGGACCCCGCCGGCCACGCCUCAAGCAGCCGGAUUCAUGAACCGGACUCACGGGUGGAAGCUGAUGUGAGGACAACGUCGAACUGUCCUCAGGCAGAGGAUAUGGAUAGGCUUUCCGCCACAAAUUCGGAAGUGCAGAGCGCCAUGAAUCACCGGCGCCGACGGGCCGUACUCCGUGGUGGUAUUUUUUCCGAAGAGGCGUUCAAUGCCUUCAACUCCGGAGACGCAUAUAUCCGCGCUGCUCAAGAUGGACUUUCCAGAGAAACGGACCAGUAUGUGAAGGAUAUACAGGUAAGAAAAUUUGAUAAGUAUGUGUAGUAGUAGCCCCUGAGACUUGAAACAGUUGGCAGAACUGAUUUAAGGAUCAUUGUAUGCAUAGGUUCUUGUAGGGAAGAAUGCCCAGUUAUCUCAAGAGCUAGAGGAAUGUAAGACCCAGCUGAAGGCCACUGUUGCCGAACAAGAGGAGUCAAAAAGGGCCUCAUCUGGUAAUACUUGCCUUGAUAACAAAAUUUGUUAUGACGUAUACCAGUUACUUAUUCGGCAUGGUUUAGAAAUCUAACAAAAGAUUCUGCAGAAAAUCCCAGAGAAAAUCCGAAGAUUGUGGGAGAUAAUGAGCCCCAUCUACGAAGUCAGGUGAAGGCGGGCGAGCGCGUGCUGACGCAGGCUAUUCAAGAGAAAAAUAGUCUCCAAGAUGCUAAUAUCUGACUGAGCGUCGAAUUAAAAGAUUUUCGGGCUCAACUCGCGGACUCCGUGAAGGAGAAUAGGAGGCUUCGACGCGGCAUAUAUAGUAAGUGCUUUAAACAAACUGUAGUACAGUUCGGCGAGGAAGCGUAUUUACAGAGUUAUGUCUGUAGGUAUGCUGACGGGCCGUCCUGAAGAGGAGAUGCCCGGAUCCGCAGGUGAUAUGCUGCAAGAUCUUUCACAACUGCACGAACGAGCUCGACAGGUGACGCAGGGUAUUGCCCAGGCCUUGUGGCCAUCCGCUUCACUGCUAGGAGGCAUGAGCGAGCUUGUGGAGAUGCUCAAAGGAGCACGGCGGCGCUUCCGAUUAUGGAAGAUAUCAGCUUGCCGACAAGGUGCGAGAGAAGCUUGGGCCAUGGUGAAGACGCGAUACGCCAAGGCUGACCCGAACCAUAUGGCCGUAUUCGGACCGGUGGGGUCAGAUGGGCAAGAGAUACAUGUAAGUCUGGUAUAUGACCAAGUAGCGUUAGCCGCAAAGUAUUCCCAACAGGAUUGUAAGCUAGACAGCCUGUUGGAUGGUAUAGAGGAAGAAUAUAGCCAGUCCAAGUGACUAUGUAAUUAAAUGGACCUAUGUAGUCCCUAGCCGGAUUAAAAAUCAUUUGUCAUGGCGGACCUUUUCGCUUCAGCCCCCGGACCCGACAAUCCGAAGUGUAUCCGAAUACCCGCACAGUUAUGAAAAACCGGGGUAUGCAUGAAAAUCAGGCGUAGGGGUCAUAAGUGCGUGAACAGACAAGUACCCAACUAGUUAUGUUAUAUUACAUGGAUAGUAAGAAACAUCUUCCAGCGAGAAUAGUUCCGUUAGGGGUUCCUUUCACUGGGUGCGCAUGCAUCGCUGUGCAUGUACAGACUGCGAACAGAAGUGCAGGAAACAAAACAUCUGGGGAUUCACGUUGUAAUAAACGAAAACAUCUUUUGUUCACCGAGUGAAUAUUCCCUUAAGAACGUUAGCUUUCGGCUUCAUUCAGUCUGAGGUACACAUUCGGCUCAACUGGCAAUAACAAUCGCAGAGGUGCUCCCCUUAUGCCCUAGCCGAAUUAACGGGAACGUAGGGCAUAAACACAAGCGCCAAGCAACCCAGCAUGGCCAAAACGCAUAUAAUGGUGAAGAAAAGGCACAUAUGGAAAGAAAACGCAUAUGUGGCUGGCAGGAAGCUAUUAAAGUAGUUAUGUUUAGCUUCCAUAUAGGAAGCCCCCAGGUAUAGUGUGCAAGCAUAGUGCGGCCGGAGCGAUCAAAGCAUCCGUACAGUUUUUAAGGAUGUAUGUGAUAAAGAAAAGAGGGCGAGAAAGGAAAAAGGAGAAAAAAAUUGAAGAGGCGGAGGUAAGGAGACGAACACUGAGUUCGGCACUAGGCGUAGAAUCUUCGGAGUCUGGCCACGUUCCAUGGGUUCGGCUCGAGUCUGUUGUCAGAUGCAUUGCGCAGACGGUACGCUCCUCCGGUGAGAACUUUAUCAAUGAUGAAGGGACCCUCCCAUUUGGGUUUGAGCUUGUCCUUCUUCUUUUCCGGGAGGCGUAGAACUAGUUCGCCAACGUUAUAGGUUUUGGACCGUACUUCUCUGCUUUGAUACCUUCGAGCCUGUUGUUGAUAAAAUACGGAACGGGAUUUUGCGACGUCACGCUCCUCCUCCAGAGCAUCCAAGUUGUCCUGCCGAUCUAGUUCGGCUUCCUUCUCUUCGUACAUGCGCACGCAAGGUGAGUCAUGGAUUAUAUCGCAGGGUAGCACUGCUUCUGCACCGUAUACCAUAAAAAAUGGUGUGUAUCCGGUGGUACGAUUCGGCGUGGUCCGCAGCCCCCAGAGUAUGGAGUCGAGCUCCUCGACCCAAUGCGUGUCCGAAUCCUUCAAGGAUUGCACUAGUCUGGGUUUGAUGCCGCUCAUAAUGAGACCAUUUGCAUGUUCGACUUGACCGUUUGUUUGGGGGUGAUAGACAGAGGCGUAAUCCAGCUUGAUGCCCAUGUUGCCGCACCAAGUUUUCACCUCAUCGGCUGUGAAAUUUGAGCCAUUGUCAGUGAUGAUGCCGUGGGGGACACCGUAACGAUGUACAACCCCUGAUAUGAAGUCUAUCACUGGUCCGGGUUCAGCCGUUUUAACUGGUUUGGCCUCUAUCCAUUUGGUGAACUUGUCCACCAUGACCAAUAAGUAUUUUUUCUUAUGGCUUCCCCCUUUAAGAGGUCCGACCAUCUCUAGCCCCCAGACCGCGAAGGGCCAAGUUAUGGGGAUUGUUUGGAGAGCGCUAGGGGGCAUGUGGCUCUAAUUGGCGAAGAGUUGGCAACCAACGCAAUGUUGGACAAGGACCUGUGCAUCUGCCCGAGCUGUCGGCCAGUAAAAACCUGUCCGGAAGGCCUUGCUUACAAGUACCCGAGCUGCAGCAUGGUGCCCGCUGAGUCCGGAAUGGAUUUCGGCUAAGAGCUGCCGCCCUUCCUCUUUGGAGAUGCAUCUUUGGAGCACUCCGGUAGUGCUUUUCUUGUAGAGAUCUCCUUCAUGGACUUUGUAGGCCUUAGAACGUCGCACAAUACAAUGUGCCUCGUUUUGGUCCUCAGGGAGCUCCUGCCUAUUUAGGUAGGCUAAGAAGGGCUCGGUCCACGGGGCGAUGACAGCCAUGAUUUCGUGGGCCGAAGGUGUUAUUUCGGUGGCAGGGCCUCCGAUUACGUCAGAUGGUUCGGAUCUUGGGUUGUAUUCGGAGAUGGACUAAUAUUGCCGGACUCCCCUUCCCAUAGCACAGACGGCUUGAACAGUAUUUCCAAGAAGAUAUUAGGUGGGACGGGGUCCCGUUUAGCGCCGACGCGGGUGAGGAUAUCCGCUGUUUGAUUAUUUUCUCUGACCACAUGGUGGAAUUUGAGCCCCUUGAACCGAGCUGACAUUUUGAGGACGGCAUUACGAUAAGCCGUCAUUUUCGGAUCCUUGGCAUCAAAGUCUCCAUUUAUCUGAGAUAUUGUGAGGUUCGAGUCUGUGUAUAAUAUUUAGAGUACGUAUUGGACCGUGUCUCCGGUGGGGGAUGUCAGGACAACACCCGCUCCCAAUCCGGCCAGCAUUUUAGAGCCGUCGAAGUGCAUGAUCCAAUUGGAGUAUGCGCCGUACUCUUUAGGGAGUUCGGCUUCUAUCCAUUCGGCGACAAAGUCAGCCAGUACUUGCGACUUAAUGGCCCGCCAUGGUUUGUAUGUUAUGUCGAACGGAAGGAGCUCAAUAGCCCCAUUUAGCGAUUCGGCCCGUUGCGUCGCGAUUGUUUAUUGUAUCAUUGAGUGGUACUUCGGAGGCCACCGUAGUUGAACACUCUUGGAAGUAGUGUCGUAGCUUCCGGGAUGCCAUGAAGACCGCGUACGCUAUCUUUUGAUAGUGUGGGUACCGAGAUUUGCAUGGAGUGAGGACAGUGGACACGUAAUAUACCGGCUUUUUGAGCGGGAACUUGUGUCCGUGUGCUUCUCGUUCAACGACGAGCACUCCGCUUACAACUUGGUGUGUUGCAGCUAUGUAUAAUAGCAUGGGUUCGCCAGUAUUUGGCACGGUCAGGACUGGAUUGGUGGCCAAGAGUGCCUUUAUUUCUUCCAGUCCGGCCGUGGCCGCAUCCGUCCACUCGAAGUGUUCGGUGCGUCGAAGAAGGCGAUAAAGGGGUAGUGCCUUUUCUCCUAAUCGGGAGAUAAAGCGGCUUAAGGCAGCCACACAUCCAGUUAGUUUCUGGAUCUGCUUGAGGUCUGUUGGGAUAGCCAACUGUGACAGAGCUCGGAUUUUUGCCGGGUUUGCUUCAAUUCCUCUAUUGGAAACGAUGAAGCCGAGCAAUUUGCCGGAGGGUACACCGAAGACACAUUUCUCUGGGUUGAGCUUGAUGUCGUAUGUUCGGAGAUUGUCGAACGUGAGCCUCAAGUCAUCUAUUAAAGUUUCAAUGUGUCUUGUUUUGAUGACCACGUCGUCUACGUAAGCCUCUACUAUUUUGCCGAUUUGUUUUUCCAGGCAUGUCUGAAUCAUGCGUUGAUAGGUUGCGCCGGCGUUUUUGAGCCUGAAAGGCAUGGUGUUGAAACAGAAGGGGACGUAUGGCAUAAUGAAGGCCGUUGCGGCUUGGUCGGACUCCGCCAUCUUGAUUUGAUGGUAUCCGGAGUAUGCGUCGAGGAAACACAAUGAGUUGUGUUCUGCGGUGGUGUCGAUGAUUUGAUCAAUGCGGGGGAGGGGGAAGGGAUGCUUAGGGCAAGCCUUAUUGAGGUCCUUGAAAUCGACACAUAGGUGCCAGGAUUUGUCCUUCUUUGGUACCAUUACCAGGUUUGCUAACCAAUCCAGAUGUUUGAUGUCUCUGAUGAAUCCAGCCUCGAGUAGCUUGGCUAGCUCUUCUCCCAUGGCUUGCCGCUUAGGCUCUGAGAAGCGCCUAAGAGUCUGCUUGACUGGCUUGUAUCCUUUCAGUAUAUUGAGCCUGUGUUCGGCCAGCCUGCGUGGGAUGCCCGGCAUGUCUGAAGGAUGCCAAGCGAAAAUAUCCAAUUCUCACGCAGCAAAUCUCACAGUGCGGCGUCUAUUGUGGGGUUCAACUGUGUCCCAAUGGAAGCUGUCUUUGUAGGGUCCGUUGGGUGGACCUGGAAUUUGACUAUCUCGUCCGCGGGUUUGAAGGAGGUGGACUUGGGUCGUUUGUCGAGUAUCACGUCGUCUCUGUCCACUGUGGCUCGCAGCGUUGUUACUUCUUCGGCCGCGAGGGCUUCUGAUAAUGCCUCCAGGGCUAGUGCUACAGUUUUAUUUUCGGUGCGGAGUGCGACGUCCGGAUCACUAGCUAGAGUAAUGAUUCCAUUGGGCCCGGGCAUUUUGAGCUUCAUGUACCCGUAAUGGGGUAUAGCUUGGAAGCUCGUGAAUGCGUCCCGCCCUAAGAGGGCAUGGUAUCCGCUGCUGAACGGGGCCACUUGGAAUGUAAUUUCUUCGGACCUGUAAUUCUCCGGCGUGCCGAAUACCACAUCUAGUGUGAUUUUUCCUGCACAUCCAGCCUCCCGACUAGGGACGAUUCCCCUGAAGGUCGUGCUGCUUCGCUCAAUGCAGCUCUUGUCAAUUUCCAUCUUGUUGAGGGUUUCUUCGUAGAUGAGGUUUAGUCCGCUUCCGCCGUCCAUGAGCACUUUAGUGAGCCGGAAGCCGUCCACGAUUGGACUAAGGACCAAAGCGGCUGGUGCCCGGACUGUUCGGAAUUGAGGUUCGUCACUGGCAUUAUAAGUUAUAGCCGUGUCGUUCCAUGGAUUUAUUGCUGCCACGUGGCAAACUUCGGCGAGACUGCGUUGAGCUUGCUUGCGCCUAUUAUUUGAGGCGAAAGUCUCGAAGACUGUCAAUACCGUAUUGUUGUUUCCGGCAGGAUGUUGCUCUGCUGUAUGGUUUAUGAGGAGAUCCUCGCCGCUCUUUGCAACCUGCCGGAGUAUCCAACAUGCUCUAAGGCUAUGUGUUGGUGUGGUAUCCGGUGUGCUGUGAAUUUUGCAUGGCCCAUUGAGCCAUUCCUCUAAUACGGUUCCAUGACUUGCAUCGGGCUUUGGUUUUUUGGUAAUUGAAUCGGGUAACUUACGAGAGUUUGCCCUUUUAGUUCGGACGAAGGGUUUAGUGAGAGCCGGAUUGUCCCAGAAGUUUGUUUGGGUUUUCCAAGCGCUUUCCAUCGCGCAGUAUUUCUGCACUAUAGCCGCUAAGUCAGCGAAGUGUACUAUGUCACGGCGACUUACAGCGUUGAGGAUCCCUUUGUCCGUGCAAUUUUUGCAAAAGAGGGAGAUUGCGUCCACCUCGCGACAGUCCUUGACCCUGUUUAUCACAAGGAGGAAUCUGGCCCAGUAAUGAUGUACUGUCUCUUGGGGCUCUUGUAUGAUAUGCGAAAGAUUUAAUAAAUUUGGGUGGGUGGGCGGUUUUGAAUCCGAAUCCUGACCCAAUCUGAGACCCAGGGGCAAAGAAGCUUCCGAGCUUAACGGCUCGGGUUCCGGGACGUUCCCAAUUUCUUCGGCACGCCGCCCGAUUCUGAACUCGGGGCUUGGGUCAUGUCCUCCCAUGAACGGGUGUCCAGCUCGGAGAGCUCGGAAACCCAGACAUAGUUCGUCCUCAAAAUAGAGGGAGAAUUCGUAUGAUGCUCUUCCACUACCGCUAUCUCAUGGGUGACCGGAGGAGAAUAAAUCUCCCUUUGGUCGGGUUUAAGCCCGAUCCAGCCAUAGUCCGUAGCGACGCCCAGGGCGGCGAUGCGAUCCAAGAGCUCAUUAAGGGAGGAGAGAUCCAUUGGGUCCAUCUGUUCGGCGAGUUCCGAAUCGACGUGGAGGCUGUUUUUGAUGACCUGAGAAGUCAUCGUCGGCGCGACAGCCGAUAGGGCGGUCAUGAUGAAGCCACCCAGCUGGAGAGUUUGGCCUAGGGCCAGGGCUCCCUCAGAGGUGAUGUUGUCCUUGACAACGAGACGAGCCAUCAAGCCUUAUCACAACGACACAGUGGAACUCUCAAUGAAAGCACCAAUGUCGGUGUCAAAACCGACGGAUCUCUGGUAGGGGGUCCGAACUGUGCGUCUAAGGCUAAUGGUAACAGGAGACUGGGGACACGAUGUUUACCCAGGUUCGGGCCCUCUCGAUGGAGGUAAUACCCUACUUCCUGCUUCAUUGAUCUUGAUGAUAUGAGUAUUACAAGAGUUGAUCUACCAUGAGAUCGUAGAGGCUAAACCCUAGAAGCUAGCCUAUGAUUAUGAUUGUUGUUGUCCUAUGGACUAAACCCUCCGGUUAUAUACACACCAGAGGAGGCUAGGGUUACACAAAGUCGAUUACAGAGAAGGAGAUCUAUCAUCUGAAUCUCCAAGCUUGCCUUCCACGCAAAGGAGAGUCCCAUCCGGACACGGGACGAAGUCUUCAAUCUUGUAUCUUCAUAGUCCAACAGUCCGGCCAAAGUAUAUAGUCCGGCAGGGGCGCGGGGAGUGGCGCGGCGACGGCGUCGGGGUAGGGACGGCGCGCGGCGACAGCGUCGGGCGAGGGCGAGGGCGCGGGCAACGGCAAGGGCGCGGGUGACGACAACGACGGACGCGGGCGACGGCGAUGGUGACGGCGGGGACGGCGGGUGGCGUCGGGGCAGCCUGGCGGCGAUGAUGUGGAGCAGGGGCGUCGGGCGGCGACGACGAGGAGGAGCAGGGGCGUCGGGGGAGAAGAAGUGACGGAUUUGGUCGAAACUGCUAAGUGUUUUCUUAUAUACCCAGUGCAUUGGUACCGGUUCGUGGCACCAACCGGGACCAAUGCACCCUUUCGUCCCGGUUGGUGCCACCAACCGGGACCAAAGGUCACUUUUCAGCAGCCCAAAGGGCGGGAAGUAGAGGCCUUUGGUCCCGGUUGGUGGCACCAACUCGGACUAAAGGGGGGCAUUGGUACUGGUUUGUGCCACCAACCGGGACCAAAGCCACCCUUUAGUACCGGUUGGUGCCACCAACCGGGACCAGUGGCCUUGCACAGCGGGGUGGUGGUGGGAGUUUAGUCCCACCUCGCUAGUUGGAAGCGCCCGACACCUGUUUAUAAGCACCGUCGCCUCUUCCCUCUCGAACUGCAGGCAUAUGGGCCUAAACUAACACUGAUAUGCCUGUGGGCCUGCUGGGCCUUCUGCGGGCCUGAAUCCUGGCCCAUGGAUGGGUUUCUAGUCGUAUUCAGGCCGUGGUGGCCCAGUAGGUGGCAAUUUUUUUAUUUUUUCCCAGUUUUUUUGUUUUCUUUUUUGCUUUAUUUAUUUUGUUUUGUUUCUACUUACAACAAAAUACUUAUUUAUUUUAUUUUACUUUGUUUGUAAUUACUUAUUUAUUUUAUUUUAUGAUAAUUCUUUUUGCUAUUAAAGUUUCUAAAAAAAGUUCUUUAUGAAAAUUCUUUUUGCUUUUAAUGAUUUUGAACAGAGAAUACUUUGAUAAUUUUAGUUUCAUAAAUUUUAUUUAUGGUAUUAAAGUUUAUUUUGUUUCUGUUUAUACAUUUUAUUAAAGUUUAUAUUAUUUUGUUUCAAAUUACUUAUUUAUUUUAUUUUAUGAUAAUUCGUUUUGCUCUUAAAGUUUGUAACAAAAAAUUUAUUUAUGAACUAUGAACCAAAGGGAUUUCAUACGGAAACUCGUGUGUUACAAAGGCAUUUCAUUUUUGUUAUCAGGGUUUCAUAUGAAAACUCGUCUGUUACAAAGGAUUUCAUUUUUUGGAACUUAUUUGAACUCCAUAGUUUUUCUGUGUUCAAAAUGCACCAUUCAAAGCCACAUCAUCAAUUUUCAACCCUUUCUUACUUAAUUUGUUAUUUUUCAUGCAUUUACUGAUUAUUUUGAGCUAUAAGACCAUGAAAUUGAAAAGCAUUUGAAAUGAACUCUGAAAAGGUUGAAAGUUGGUAUGGUAUCAUCAUUUCACCCACAUAGCAUGUGCAAGAAAGUAGAGAGGGUUACGGCAAAAACUGGAUGCACUUCGUGUACAAAACGGACAAUCUCUUUCGAAGUAUCAGGAUUUCAUACGGAAACUCGUCUUUUACAAAGGGAUUUCAUUUUUUGAACUUAUUUGAACUCCAUAGUUUUUCUGUGUUCAAAAUGCACCAUUCAAAGCCACAUCAUCAAUUUUCAUCCCUUUCUGACUUCAUUUGUUAUUUUUCAUGCAUUUACUGAUUAUUUUGAGCUAUAAGACCAUGAAAUUGAAAAGCAUUUGAAAUGAACUCUGAAAAGGUUGAAAGUUGGCAUGGUAUCAUCAUUUCACCCACAUAGCAUGUGCAAGAAAGUAGAGAGGGUUAUGGCAAAAACUGGAUGCACUUCACAAAACGGAUUAUCUCUUUUGAAGUAUCAGGGUUUCAUACGGGAACUCGUCUAUUACAAAGGGAUUUCAUUUUUUGAACUUAUCUGAACUCCAUAGUUUUUCUGUGUUCAAAAUGCACCAUUCAAAGCCACAUCAUCAUUUUUCAACCCUCUCAUGAAUAGAUAAGUGACCAAAUUAAUAGAACUUCAUCAUCACAUUAAAACCAAAGUACAUACAUAGUUCUCACUGAACAACAUAUAGCUCUCCAGAGCAUCUAAUUAAACAAUACAUUGAAAUUAUGUAAAACAUUUCAAUGCAACAAAAAAUGCGAUCAUAAUCGCAACCAAGGUAACAACUGAUCCAACUGCAUAAUGAUACCAAGCCUCGGUAUGAAUGGCAUAUUUUCUAAUCUUUCUAAUCUUCAGCCGCAUUGCAUCCAUCUUGAUCUAGUGAUCAUCGACGACAUCCGCAACAUGCAAUUCCAAUAUCAUCUUCUCCUCCUCAAUUUUUCUUAUUUUUUCCUUCAAUUAAUUGUUUUCUUCUUCAACUAAAUUUAACCUCUCGACAAUAGGGUCGGUUGGAAUUUCCGGUUCAACCACCUCCUAGAUAAAUAAAAUCUACGUCACGUUGGUCGGCAUAAUUGUCAUAAACAACAAAUGAACCAAAUAGUUAUCAAAAGAUAAUAUAUACCACAUCUGAAUCAUAGACAGGACAAGGGCCGACGGGGGCUGAUACCAAAACCAUCGCACUAUAUAAUAACAAGGAAUAAUAAAAGUAAGAAAAUUAGACAAGUAUCUAUCUGAAGUAAGAAUUUUUUUUCUUUCAGAAUGAAGAUAAGAACAAGAGGCUCACCACGGUGGUGCCGGUGACGAGAUCGGCGCGAGCGAUCGACGGUAGUGAAGACGGGCACGGGACGUGACGGACCGCUAAACCUAGACAAAUCUCGGGGAAAGAUUAACUAGUGUGGCUCGGACAUUUCAUAACACCUCAUGUGCAUAGGAGGUGAGCUAGAGCACCCAAAUGCCCUCCCCUCGCCGGACAGAAAAAAUAGAGCACUGUGGAGUGCUCUGCUGUGAUGAUGGGGUAUAUAUAGGCAACUCAUUUGUCACGGUUCAUGGUCGAAACCGAGACUCAAGCCCAGCAUAUUGUCCCGGUUCAAGCCACGAACCGGGACCAAUGGUUGUGGGCCAGGAGCGAGGACCAUUGGUCCCGGUAUGUGCCUGGAACUGGGACAAAUGGGUCCAUACGAACCGGGACUAAUGCCCACGAGACCCCGGCCGCCCCCCUGGGCUCAAGAACCGGCACGAAUUCCCCCAUGGGUCCCGGUUCAUGACUGAACCGGGACUAAUGGGUUGGCCAGGCCCAAACGAAAGCCCUGUUUUCUACUAGUGGACGAGGCCAAGAAGAAAUACUGUCUCGCACGAUGUGAUAUUCUAUGCCGACCCAAGGACCAGAGGGUCUCGGUAUUGAAAACCUGGAAGUUAAGAAUAAAUGUCAUGAGUAAAUGGCUCUACAGGUUAGAAACAGAGCCGGAGGGUAUGUGGGCACAGAUAUUACGCAAUAAAAAUUUACAAUCGAAAACGAUAGCCCAGACCACCGUGAGACCAACUGACUCGCCGUUCUAGAAGCGACUCAUGCGAACGAAAGAUCUUUCUUUCUUAGGGUCAAAUUCUUGGUUGGCAAUGGGAUGUCAACAAGAUUUUGGGACGAUACGUGGUUAGGGGAGACGCCACUAGCCAUACAGUACCCCAUCCUAUAUAACAUUGUGCAACGUAAGAAGGAUUACGUAGGCACCGUAUUUCAAUCGACUCCCUUGAAUAUUCAGUUCAGACGUGCGUUAGUUAGUGAGCGAUGGACUGCCUGGAUGCACUUGGUCCGAAGAUUGAUAGAUGUUCAAUUAUCGGAUCAACCCGAUUCGAUGCACUGGAAUUUAGCUAGAAAUGGGGUGUUUACGGUGAAAUCUUUUUACAUGGAUCUAAUUAAAUCUGGCCCAAUCUCGAGAUCGUUACAUAUUUGGAAGGUUAAGGUUCCCUUGCGUAUUAAAAUUUUUAUGUGGUUUGUUCACAAACAAGUGAUCCUAACCAAAGAUAACUUAAUAAAGAGGCGAUGGGUAGAUAGUUCACAUUGUUGUUUUUGUGAUCAUGAUAAAACAAUACAACACUUAUUCAUAGAGUGCCCACUCGCGAAAUUGCUUUGGAGAAUGAUCCAUAUAGCCUUUAACAUAACUCCUCCAGUUGACAUUGAAUCGUUAUUUGGGACGUGGUUAGCUGGGGCGGAGCGUCUUACUGCGGCUCGUAUUCGGAUUGGAAUUUGUGCGCUUCUCUCGGCUAUAUGGAAUUGCAGGAAUGAUAUGACUUUUAACAGACAACAUAAUCUAACUUUCUUGCAGGUCAUCUUCAGAGCUACUGCUUGGAUCCGUACGUGGUCCUUACUUACUCCUACGGACUCCAGGGAGCCUUUGGUUACUGGGUGCAACCAGUGGGAGAUGGUAUCACGGCUAUAUUCAACCGGUUCGGAUGGCGGUCGCACAACAGGAUAUGAGUCUAGGGAGCUUGUCCUUGUCAUACCGGUUGUAAUAUUGAGCAUUCGCAUUUCUUUUUCUUUUUUCGCUCCGUUUGCGAGCUGUAAUACUUUUAUGACUUUGUGCUACUUCGAAACUUCUUAACAAAAUGGCUGCAUGCAUCGUUUCGAUGCAGAGGCCGGGGCUGAGCCUCCAUUUCCAGAAAAAAAAAUCAUCUGUUUGGUCGUGCUUGCAAUUGGUUAGCUUAUCCCGUUGUUGUUGCUGUAUUUUUGUCUGGAAAAUCAAGUAAAAGCAGUGUAGUAGACAGUGGCAGAUGAAUAGAGAAGUAUAAUGGGAAGUGUGUUGGCUUCUUUUGUUUGGAAGCUGACUCUGUAUAUGGUAAUUCAUAUGGUAACAUAGCUUUAAGCAACCUUUAGAUUGUGCCACUUUUGAGCGUCAACACGUCCAUGGCAGUAUGUGUUUUCGCUGUUGUAGUUCUCUUCCACCACGGAGUAGUACGUGUACAUGGCAACAUGCAUGCAUGUGGUAAUCCCCUUUAGUUUCACUCCGACCUGGGCUGGGCUGCGCCCUAUGUCGAUGGGCUCGAUCCCCUUAUACUCCGACUCCCACUGCAAUUGGAUUUCAUCUCGAAUCGAUCUCCACCCAACUCGGUUUGAUCGCGUCAAUCCCACUCCAUAAAUCCAUCCACACACACCCGCCGAGACGAAGCAACGAUUUGUGAUCCAUAUAUCCAGCUUGAACAAGGCAAUCGAUUUGGGAUCGAUUGACGGCAAACUUGAAGACUGGGAGGAUCCGAUGGCCGAUUACGGCUAUCCCGACGGCGGCGGCGAAGAGGAGGACAUGCAGUGGCCACCGGCUCCUCCCGCCUACGGCUACCCUGACGACGACGGCGGCGGCGAGCGGCCGCCCUUCGUCCUCAUCGAUCCACGCGCCUACUUCGCCGACCGUAAGAACGCCACCACCGCCGUCAUCGAUAUGGAGGCCGGGGCCCCCAAUCUCAGGGGCCGACUCCAGGUCACCUUCUGCGCCGUCGCCCCGCCGCUCGUCUCCUACUUCUGCGUCCACGCCUCCCACAUGGACCGCACCGAGUUCCCCGUCGCGCCCUCCAUCCUGGCCACCGAGACCGACGGCGGCCUCGCCCUCCUACGCGUCGCCACCGUCGACCCCGUCUUUCCGCCCGAUCACGUGCGUCCCCAAAAUUGCCAAUACUUCGUCUACGACGCCCUCGCCCGCAAACUUCACCAACUCCCGCAACCCGGCUUCCAACACCGACUCAGCGAGCCCUCGCUCGCCAUCAUGCGCAAGCCCAACAAAAGCUCCCAAAACACCAGCAAGCACGUCAGCCUACGCCCCCAUGUACAUGGAGAGGCCGAGGCCGAGGCCGACUUCGUCGUUGCCGCACAAUCCUACAUUUUCUGGGGUAAAGAAUCUCCUCACAUCUGCAUCUAUGACUCUGCUAUCAAGACCUGGAGCAACAAGCCGGUGGUGAUGGGUUCAUCAUAUCCAGAACGCCACCUCCCAAGCAAGACACUCACCAUCGGAGGAAGCAAUGGCACCGUGGCUUGGGUGGAUCUCUGGUACAACAUCGUCUUGUGUGACGUUCUCGCCAAAUGCCCCAAGCUUCGCUACCUGAAGCUGCCGACCGAACCCUGCGAUGGGGGUAUCAAUCCAAGGUCUCUUCGCGACAUUGCGGUCUUUGGCAACACCAUCAAGUAUGUCGCGAUCCUGCAUCACCCCGACACAAGUCGUUGGGUAGCCACAGCAUGGAGCAUCAAGAAGGGCCGUCGGUCCUGGCCCAAGGAAUGGCACAUGGAAUGCCAGCUCGAUUCCACCCAUAUAAAGGUUGAUGCGGCUGGUCGAGUCGCUACCUUCCCAACCUUGUCGUCUCUUUUCGUUGGCCUCCCCACACUCAGCCUGCAGAAUGAUGCCAUUGUUUACUUCCUCGCCAAGAUUGACUUCAGCCCAAGGCAACGCACAGCGUGGGUGCUUGCUGUUGACAUGAAGAACGAGACUGCUGAGCAAGUGGUGGAGUUCCCUGCUGAGAGGACUUAUUGUGUAGCCAAGGGCUACGACGCAAGUAGGAUCUCUGCAUAUCUCCAACCCGCGCCAGGUAACUCCUGCCUUGCUGUCUGUUACUUCCAACGAUACAUGCUAAACUAGCAGAUUCAUGCAUGUUCUUCUUUUCUUGGUGGAGUGGGUGACGGCAGCAUCAUUUCACACACAUUGACAGUGUGGGGUUUAGGGUGGAUAAACCCACCGAAAUUAGAUACCAUAGGUCAUAAUACUAUCCAUCAAGUCAAAUGCCAGCAAAUUCUUUUAGGGGGAGGGGGUUGCUAACUGUGAAUUUCUCACCACAGCCAUUCACACUUAAUCUUGUGACAUGUAGUAAUUCAUUUAUAGGGCGAGCGUUGCACAUGCUUAUCAAGUUUGGGCUUUUUCAGUAGUCUUUCCGCAUGGAGAGUUUUAUAGAAUAAUUAAUGCUUGUGUUAGCGCUGGUUGUUUGUGGACCAUUUCUUCUUUCCCAAACUAUUACUGAAGACAUGUGGAAUUUGACAUGCCAGGUACACAGCAAAUGCCUAAAUGACGAGGGGUGCCGUUGAUGAAAUGCCCUAGCAAGAAGCAUGCUAAAGAUGUUGAGGAUCCUAAAGAAGACGACGCCAUGAUGAUUGUUUCUUCAUGAGGUUGCAUGGAUGGAAGCUGUAUGACCUGCCUUUGGUGCCGGGUAUCAGUGGAGGGGGUAGUGGAUUAUCAUGUCUGCUGGUCUGACCCUUCCUUUGCCUGUCUUUUAUUUAUUUUAGGAUUAUUAUGGCCCUCUAGACCCUGUUCUGGAGUUCCUUUCUUCAUUGUCUCACCGCCUACUCUACCCGGCUUGUCUAUUAUACAAGCUGUAUUAUUAAAACUCUGUAUGAACUAUAUGUGUUAUGUCGGUUGUAGUACCCACCUUCUGUUUUCUGUUGCUCGCGGUUGUCUUCUGUUAUGAUCAUAACCUGUGGAAAGUUGG
rnacentral:lncRNA from 1 species